rnacentral:lncRNA from 1 species
UUUUUUUUUCUGGCCCAUCUUCAUGCCAAUCGCCUCAGCCUCAUCUUCCUGGCAACACACAGUGGACUCCAGUAGCGCCAGCCACCAGCGCCCGCUGAUCUCGUUUCGAUUCUCUCUCGUCCGAAUGUUUCUCCUCAAAAUGAAAGCAUCCGAAUUAUUUCUCAUCACCCCACGAACCGAGUCCGACUUUCAAUUCCACGUUUCAUCUCCUUAAUUUUCCGAUUUAUGAAUCAUCUCCGACUUGUAAUCGAGGCAAAAAUCCUACCUUGCUCUAUGUCCUGCGCUCCAACGGUCAAUGUUGCGCCGGCAAGGAGCUCUUGGCGCGUGGGCAGAUGGCACUAGCAGUAUGCUGCUGUUACAACUCGGUGGGCUCAAGGCCGCCGUCGAUGACAUGCAGCGCCGCCGGCCCGGUGGCGGUCGGGACAGUGGUGGGGAGGAUGGGAGGAGUAGCAGCGGUCAUGGCAAAACUCUGGCGGCCAGAACGGAGUCGGUCGGUAAGAAGAAGGGGUGAUGGAGGGGUAGCACGGCCAUGGCGAGAUUUGGUUCUCUCGCUCUCUUGAUUUGGAUCCGAAACGGGGGACGGGGUGCUAUGUGUGCGAGGAGACGGAUCGGGCGGGCGUGCAAGGAGGUGGGGCGUGGAAGAGAUCGGCAAUCUGGAUCCCAUUGCUCGAAUUCGUGUUGGAGAUGGGACCUGAGGAGACAGAGAGUGGGGAGUUCAUGUUUGAAUUGGAUAGGAUUUUGAGCGAUAGAGGUGACGUACGGGCAACACACGCGAUUUUUAACAUCAACUGCAAUUUAAUACGGAGUAGAUAGUAAUAGACACUCCCUCCGUUCCAUAUUAGAUAAUAAUAUCACAAACACAUGCAGCCUCGGCUCGGCCCUAGGGACAGGCCGCUCCGGGGAUGCCCUGUCUGUGCUAGCCGUUUUAAUUAGGGGUUUAAUUAGUGGUGACGCAAGCGCCUAGCGACAGACAUGCAUGUACACUUGUGCGUGUCACCAGUGAAGCUCAAGAGGGGCCGCCGAGACUGGACUCUGCACCGAAAGCAACGGAAACCAACCCAAGAAAAGACAAGGUUUCUUAAUCUUCAGUGUUCCAUCCGUCCCUUCCAUGUGUGUGUGUCCGCUAACUAACCCUCUCAACUCAAGCGUAGCUGCGUACUCUUCGCGCUCGCCCGUCUGAUUGAUCCAUCAAAUCCGGGGUCCCUGCUUUUGCCCUGAAACGCUCCAACAAUAAAAGAGUCGCACCGUCGAUCAUCUCGAUCGUCAAGGCAUCUCAUCUGAGUUUCUCCUAUCGUGGCAGCGAUGCCGAUAUACUUACGAUGGGCGCUUUCACAUGCCUGACGACGAGGUGUAGCAGUGGACUUGAAAUGGAGGCAUGUGCGAGUUAUUUUGUUUAUAUAUACGAACUUGAUCGACCAAAUAUAUACGUACUUGAGUAAGUAUAUACAGUAGUAGCAGUAAUAGUAGGUCGGGCAGGUGGUUUGAAUUGACAAUUUCCUUGGCGUAGCGUGCGUUUCGUUGAUUAUUGCACGGAUUUGUUGGGUCCAAUUAGUGCAGGCGAUGAGUAUGCGUCAGGUCUGUUAGUUUGACUGAUACACGUCGAUAUUUUAGUCCAGCACAUUGAUAAUACAGUGGGCGUUUGCCGCUGUUUCGACAUCUAGUCAACGGUUCGUAACUUGGUGGUUUUGUUUACCGCAAAAAAAAAGAGGAAAAUUAUACCUAGAGAAAUAUGUCUGAUAAAAUGUAUAGGAUUGAAAGACAACCCUGGGGAUGUAGCUCAAAUGGUAGAGCGCUCGCUUUGCAUGCGAGAGGCACGGGGUUCGAUCCCCCGCAUCUCCAGUUUUUUCACCUUUUGCGUUUUGUGGUGCCAGUAAGUCCAAAUGAAUGCUUCGCAUCUUAUCCGAUCAAGAAUCACUCUUCACAUUGUUCUUCCUCUGUCCUGUCGUAUUCGUUUCGGUAAAAUUCCAAACUAACAUGCUUGGCAGCUUUAUAUCUUUACUCAUCAAGCGCCCGCACUCUCCAGCGCUUUGUUUUGCUAGCCGCCUCACAUAAAUCCCCAUGCUCCAGUCCAGCAAACUACAACUCCUCCUCCUGACCUCACGCAUGAUCAAAGCAGAUCGCGUCGCUGCGGAAUUUCCGAAGGGCUUAAUACAUCAACGUCGAGCACGCCUCCAUCCCAAGUCCACCGUAGCAGGUCAUAGGUUCCGUUCCGUGCAGGGACAUACACACACAGAUCGAUGCGGCGAUGUUGAUCUACCGUACGUCCUCCUGCCUGAAAUCUCCUUCCGGAAGGGUCAAAUCCGUGGAAUUUCGUUGCUUGGCUCCCGUCCAAGAUCCUGCUUUUAAGUCUUUUUACCAUGCCCGAUACACACGAGGGGGGGAGACGAGGAGAUCGGGUCUUCAGCUGAACCGAAAACCGGUGUCGUAUCGUGUCGUCCGUCAUCCAGCCCACCGCAUAGAGCGACGCGCGGCGGAGCCACCACGCAUGUUCUUGCACGACAAAAAAAAAGAGAAAAACCAACCUCUGCUUGCAUUGUUGGAUGCCUGACCUGUCUCCGCGUCAUCCCAGCCUGUGACACACACAACGUAUAGUAGCUCUAACUAACUUAAUUAGCCGCCUCCCGGAAUCUCAUUAACUGCACUAAUGAUUCACUGUUCCAGCUGAGAGGAAAUAGUUACUUCGAAGAAGCGACCGUGACGCGGAGCAGAAGAAACAACAAUGCCUGGACUGAAACCACGCAAGUUUCCAAGAUUGUUUUUACUGAAAAUCUCAAUCCCAGUUUGCUGUAAAGACUGUUUUACUUACAAAAGGAAGUAACUGUGGCGUGUGAGCUGAAGCGGUCUCGGGACCAUGGAUCGGACACAGCGGGGCCGCAGCGUGGUGCGAUUGCGUUUCCAGAUCCCACGGGACGCAUCCCGAUGCGCUGACAGCUAAUCCAGGGGGCCCAUGUGGCCCCAGCCGGCCGCUUAAUGAAUAUUACUCCGACACCCCUCUUUUUUAUCUUCAAUCCCAGUUCAGCCCCUCCUCUUCCGGAGACUUUUCCGCACAACGGAAACCUCCGCCGCAUUUCCCCUUUGUCUAUAUACAACUCGCAUCGCACUAACGCUCUCCAGUUAUUACCGGCCUCGCUCCCCUGUCCCCUUCCCCCUCUGGACUCUGCUCUGCUGCUCCCUUCUCUAGCCUAGCCUAGCCUGCCUGGGAGAGAGAUGGCCGGGAUGGCACCGGCGACGGUGGAGGUGGUGGAGGAGCUCACGCGGUUGUACCGGGAGCUGCCGCCGCGGCCGGCCGUGGAGGACGUCGAGGCGGCGGCGGCGGUGCUGGCGUCAGCCGACGCGGAGGAAGAGGCGCGGCUCGGCGAGGUCGCGCGGGAGGAGGCGGCGCGGAUGCGGGAGGGCGUGCCCGGGGAGCUCCUCUCCGUGCUGAGGGAGGCGAGGCGCGCCGCCGUCCGGCUCCACGCGCUGCAGCAGCGCAAGGAGGCCGCGCACGUCGUGGAGCUCGAGAGGCGGUUCAAGGUGCUCGACGGCUUGAUCCAGCGGGCGUCGCGGGUCCUGUCGUCCGCUUCUUCUUCCGGUGAAGGAGGCGGCGGCGGUGGUGUGGAGCAGGAGGGGGAGGUCGUCGCGGAGGAGACGGAGGCCAAGCGGCGGAACGACGUGGCCGCGGCGCCGGCGAUUGUGGAGAUAGAGCGCGGAAACAUGGGCCUUGGCUUCGGCUUGGAGGCCGUCUCGUCGCUCCGUCGCCAUGGUUCUACAGGUGAUUUUUUUUUAAAAAAUUCCUUUACUUAUUGAUUAGCUUCCCCAUGGUUCUGUUGGGAGAGCUGUGGGGAUUUCGUUACUGCGAUAGGUUGUUGGAGCGGUGUGGUUUGGACGGAGUUUUGGGGAUUUGUUAUUUAAUCUUAUAUACGAAUUGGACGUUUCCGGCUAGAUAUGCGAGUGAUACUUCCAUUACGCUGCACUGCUCCAUUUUUUAGGACAGUUGACUAGAAACUCCUACUACUAGUACUUUGGAUAAUGCAGUAGGAGUAGCAAACAAUCUACUUCCACCAGAUUUGUUGGCGUUGCUUUUAUUAUCAAGAACUAUGGUAAAGGGAAACUAUUAUUUUUUCAUGUUUGUUUCGUAAAAUGUACUAUUCGAAAGAUGUCAUGAUAGUACUCCCCCCGUUUCUCAAAAGAGAAUGGCACUCGCAUUUUGAGAUUUUAACUUUGACCAGCAAUUAGAUCAAUAAUACGCGGAGAUAUGUGGAUUAUGCAUUGUAAUUUGGCCAUCAAUUAGACCAAUAAUAUGUUGUUAUUAUGUGUUAUAAAUUUUAUAUCAUUGGAAACAAUUUUCGAAUCAAAUCAAAUGAUACAAUUUUUUGUAGUAGCAUGUAACCCAUAUAUCCUUGGUCUAAUUGUUGGUCAAAAUUAAACCUUGGAAUGCUUAAGCAUCAUUCUUUGAGAAAGGAGUGAGCAGCAUUCACCACUCGGUGAGAACACCAUUCUUUGAGAAACGGAGGAAGCAGCAUUCACCACUCAGUGAGCAACACCGGGAAUACUGGAAUAGUGGUGCCCACUAUUAAUCUAUGCUUUCCUUUUCAGUAGUUUACUGCUGUUAGCCUGUUGGUGACUGUAACUAUGGGGGAUGGGCCAUGGGAUUUGUGAUGUUUCAUCACAAGUUUGCAUGUUUUUUAAGUCAUGCAAAAAGCUGUAUCAUCACAAGUUUGCAUGUUCUUUAAGUCGUUAUAGUCAAUUUUCCCCAUGCUAUUUUGUUUAACUUUUCUUUAGAAGUUGGUUUUUGGCAUACUUCUAAUCAAUUCUUAGGCAGGUAACGACCAUCAGUUUGUAACUGUGACAUAAAUGUGAUUAAUGUUUUGAGCCCUUGGUACUUAUCCUAACUCUUGUGAUCACCCUGCAGGUAGUGAUAUGGUGGACCAGAAACUCAGCCUUAUCCAAGUGGCAAGCCUUAUAGAGUCAUCAGCAAAGAAAGGGAUCACAGAGCUCAAUCUCCGAGGGAAGCUGGUGGACCAGAUCGAGUGGCUCCCUGUUUCACUUGGGAAGUUGCAAGAUGUUACUGAGCUUGAUAUAUCUGAGAAUAGGAUCAUGGCACUCCCAUCAACAAUUGGUAGCCUUAGAUACUUGACAAAACUUGACCUCCACUCAAACCAACUGAUCAAUCUGCCUGAUUCAUUUGGGGAACUCUCCAGCCUAAUUGAUCUUGAUUUGCAUGCAAACCAGCUUAAGUCUCUUCCUACAUCAUUUGGAAAUCUCACAAGCCUAGCAAACCUUGACCUGAGCUCGAAUCAGUUCAGGAUUCUGCCAGACUGUUUAGGAAAAUUGACGAACUUAAGAAGAUUAAUAGCUGAGACUAACGAGCUUGAAGAGCUACCCUAUACUAUUGGAUCUUGCAUGUCUCUUGUGGAGCUUAGGUUGGACUUCAAUCAGUUAAAAGCCCUUCCAGAAGCUAUUGGGAAGUUGGAGAAGCUAGAAAUUCUCACAUUACACUACAACAGAAUCAAAGGCCUGCCUACAACAAUUGGCUCGCUUACCAGAUUGAGAGAGUUGGAUGUCAGUUUCAAUGAAGUUGAAGGUAUCCCUGAGAGCAUUUGCUUUGCGACUAGCCUUGUGAAGUUGAAUGUCAGCAGGAACUUUGCUGAUUUGAGAGCGCUACCAAGAUCAAUAGGAAAUCUUGAGAUGCUCGAGGAGUUGGACAUCAGCAGCAACCAGAUACGAGCACUGCCAGAUUCAUUCCAGUUCCUUGCAAAGCUUCGUGUAUUUCAUGCUGACGAGACUCCGCUGGAAGUACCACCAAGAGAAGUUAUAAAGUUAGGGGCUCAGGUGUGUACUUGGUGUUGCUCUGCUAUAUUUACUAUCUAAACUUGUACUAGCCAACUAAAUGCCUAAAUUAUGUUUUCUCUUGCAUGUCAGGCGGUUGUCCAGUAUGUGGUUGAUAUGGUUGCUUCAAGAGGAGCAAGCCAGAAGGAAACAGAUCAGGCAAGCUUCUGGGCCUGGCUUCGCUCACUGUUUGGUUGCUGCAAAAAGGAUGAAGAACUGGGAUUGGUUGCAGCGUAAAGAAGUUCAUAUGUAUGUAUCAUCAUGCAUUAUUUGUGCUGUUGGUAUCAAUUCAUAUAUCCGAAGUCAGCAAUGAAAGGAAGGUUGCUCUUCAUGUUGAUUCUUUUCAUUCUGCCCUAAGUUUCUGUAUAUGUUGUUUUGUUUUUGCUGGGAUAUGUAUAUGUUUUCUUGUAUACAAGAUUCAUUUCUUGUUCUUUCUGCAAGAACUUGUAAGAUUCACUGUUGUGUGUAACUUCACCUGUACUAUAUACUGGAGUACUACAUUAAAUAAAAGAAUGUCUGUUUGACAUUUAUAUGCAAUCUGUCUAGUGCUGAUACCUAUUUUGCCUUCCAUAUUAACACCACCGAUUGUUCACUGUCUUACAAACCUCCUCUGUUAUCUUAGAGGUGAGAGGUGAUGAAGAACUACACGUGCAACUAAUUCUUAUCCUAAUCAACAUACCUAUUGUGCUAGUGUGCUGAAACUUGGAGUACCAUAUUGUCUCAUCUACUUCCAAACCUGACGCACUGAUACUAUUGCAAGACCUGUCAUUGUUUAUUUAUUUACUAAUGCAUGAUGUCUUCUGUAAUUUUUCUUAUGUAAUCACUUUGUCUAGGUACUUUCCAUGUAGAGUAAAUCUACAUAGCAACGUGUUUUUUCCAAACUGAAGUCCGAAGGACUCAAUCCAUUAAUAUAGAAGAGAGUUGCCUAGUAAAUUAAAUGGAAACCAGGCAAAAAUCAUAACAAUUCAAAGAUAGAAAUGAUGUUGCAAUAGCUACGAGAUUCGCAGAUUAAAAAAAUGUAAACCAAUUCAAACAUGAACGAAGGAACAAUAUCUGUUAUGUAUUCCCGGCCCCAAAGCAUCAUCAGGCUUGUCGAUUUGCUUUUCGUUGCAUAUUAUUUUCAGACACACAACACCCUUUGGUGUCUUAUGCGUUCCUUCUGCAGAACAUUUAUUGUGGUAUUGCACUUGCUGUGCUAGAGAACAAUGGCUUCCAUGUCCAUCUAUGUUAUUUCAAAUCGGGAGAAUUUCAUUCACAAAUUCAGAAUAACAAGAGUAGCAACAUUUUUUCUGUUUAGAGACAUACAAAAGUAACAACAUGUCUGUCGUAUCUAUCCCCUUGGGUGCACAUCAUGGUUACUAAAGUCAGUUAAGUUGACUAGGUGAGAGUUUUGCUAAUUGAAUGUACUUCUUCGUAGAUAAUUUGUUAUGAUGGCUCAAGACUGAUGGCUCCAGCUGAGCUCUCUAAUACAUAUGCGGAGAAAAACCGGACAUGACGUAGAAUGACUUUGUUUUUGUGUCGAGAGGCAGAUAUAGGGGUCACAUCAACAAUAGAAGAAGUCAGUGAUAAUCCUUGGGCACAGCGACAUUUAAGCUUUCUUUGAAUAUGACAAUAGCCAGUUAAAAAUCAUGUCUAUUUACGUCGUUACCUCAUUGUAGGAUAGAGCCGGAUUCGUUCCAUACAGACUGCAUGCACAUAUGCACAUAAUAAAAUUCAUACUUCACGAAGAAAAGUGCAAAUCAAUUUCUCAAAAUUAAAGAGAAAUUCGCAUCUAACAGCAGGAAAAUCUUCACAACAACAGCAGAGGGAUAGCACCAGGGAAGGAGCUCUCCGUCGCUGGAUCUGCGUGGAAGGGAAGCGAUGAUGGCGAGCAGAGCGGCGGGUGGACGAGAAGCUCGCGCUGGUCCGUAUGCCCCGGAGUUGGCCGGUGAAGGGCGGAGUUGGUCAGGGAAACUCGCCGGCGGCGGGGUCAGGGGACUCGGCAGCGGCGGGAGGAGGAGAGCGGGGAGAGCGCGGACUCGAGGGAGGACUGGAGAUACGCGGACGAGGCCGCAGAGGCCAGCGUGGUGGCGGGCGCGUGGAUCCUCCCCAGACUAGGGAACUCGGCAGCGGCAGGCGGCGAAAGAUGGCCGGGGACGGGCCCAUCGAGCCUUGGAGCCACGGGGGGCACUCGAGGGCAGCGGCGGGAGGGAUACUCCGGGGUGGUAUAUUCACCGGAGGAUGCUCGCCGGAUGUCCCAUCUUGUGUGGCGGCGUGGAUCUGCCGGCGGAGGGGCGGCUGGUGGCUCUGCCCGGAGAAGAGGGAGGGAGGAGGGGGGGUGGAGGCUGGGGGACGGAGUUCCGGAAAGGGCAAGUUGGCCGUAAUGUUGGAGAAGCUCGGGAAGCGCCGAUUUCGCCGCUUCCUUGUAGCAACGGGAAAAUGAAUGGGCUUCCGGAAUUGCUUUUUUUUUAAAAGGGCUUCGGGAUAAGCAGUUUUUUUUAGGGGAUCCGGGAUAAGCAGUUAAGAAGGGCUGUUUGGUCUGCAGGCAAAAACUAAACUACUCCAUAUCAAAUAGUUUUGCUGGGCUAGACUUGGCGUUUGGUAUUCCGAAAUUGUCAUGACUUCUCGGAAAGUAUAUCAAGAUAAGCAUGCUAUCGGUUCCACACCAUCUGUUCAGUGCCCGAUCGUCGCUAGGUUUUUCAGGAGCAUUGUCGUAGCCGCCGUCACCGGAGAUUUUCGGUUCCCCUCGCCUCCGGCCGCCGCCUUGGCGCUGCGAGGUCGGGGAAACCUCGGUUCCUUAUAAGAUUAUCCAAAAGUUUUUGCUUAUAUCGAUUGUUUGGUUCGGCAACGCCGUGGCGGAGGGUGCGAUGCCGUCAGGAAUAAACGUACUCUGGUUCUUCCUCUGCUGUGGUGGUGCCUCAACGGGCGUUGCUGCGGAGCCAGAGAUUUUAAUCCUCGUGGAUUUAGUGUACCUGAUCUUGUGGAUCUUGGGUUUGUGUACUCGCAGAUCCGUUUACACGUAUCUGUUGAGUUUUUGUUAGUGUGUCAUGGUGCUUUUGUUGGUUUAAUGUUUUGUAAUUUUGGAAUACUUAUCUGGCGUUCUGAUGAAGAUCUUGUGGUUCGACGACCUGCACGUUUAGGGGAUUAUCUCCAGCCCAAGUAUGUUCAACGCUCAUGGCUUCUCAUCUUUUUGGAUGAUCGACUCAAGGGACUUUUCGAAACCUUUGAAGGUAGUCAAGUUUGUGCAGGGAUACCAGUAAUGAUUUUGCUGCUACAGUUUGAUUGCAGUCUCUAUGUUGAAGCCUCAGCAGAAUUUCAUGUUGCAAAGUAUGAAAUCACGGAGAAGAUUUUUUUAAGAAAUUUCAUUGUAAUUCCUAAGUAUAGGAGUUACCUUAGAGUUUAUAGAGUCUAUGAUCCAAAACAUUGUAUCUGUAAUGGUUCUCUGUUUGAAUAAAGUUACAAGUUAUUCUAAAAAAAAAGAUAAGCAUGCUACCUUGACAAAAGGGCAGAGUAUAUCAAUAUGCCUGACGAGGGAAUGACCCAUUGGGUCCUCAACUUCGGUAUACCUACUACGGCCUAACAGGGGGUCCACUCGGAAGCCCACUACAAUCCGUGAAGCCCAACUACCUCGGCUUGCGGUUCAAGAUAAGAACAGAUAAUUAAGGAAAACAAAUCAGGUUUAUCUCUAAUUGUAACCGACCCGGACUCUAUGUCCGAGACCUAGCCUCCUAUAUAAAGGACUAGGAGGGGGAGCCGGGGAGGACAGAGCCAGACAGAUUGAGACGGAUUCUCUCUCACCAGAACCUCUCCUUCUAAACAGAUCUCAUCUCUCAUACACGCCUUCAUAGCAACCUUGUACUCUUUCCAUCAAUACAGAUCAGACAAGUAGAGCGUAUGGAUAUUACCUUUCGAGGGCCCUGAACCUGGGUAAAUCGUGUCCCCUUGUGUCCUUGUUAGCCGACAGAAUCGUCAACACACACCCGUGCUGUCCCUACUUGAAAGCCCUCUAGUUUGGGGUAUGCCGAGGUAGCCCCUCGUCAAUGCCCAUUGCUUCAUUUGAUCAUAUGGAGUAUGUAUUUCAAGAUAAGCAUGCUCGCGGAGAGUUCUUAGUUCUGCAAACACCCUAUGACCAUGUUUCUUCUCGUGACAAGGAUUUUGUUGGUGAUAAGAAUGUGAGUGAUGUCGAUGUUGAUCCUACAACGCAAUAUGAUUCGGAUUGUCUUCCCGACGACACCAACAGUGAAAGCUCCUCUUCAAAGCGCCCUAGAGGUGGUAGUCUUGACAAAGGUAAGAGAGACAAGUGUGAUGACAACGUAGUUACAGACGUAACAUAUUCUCUGCGUGAUAUAUCUGAAACCAUGCGUUUCACACAUGUGACUAAUCCAAACGAGAACUUAUACAAAAUAAUUGAUUACAUGGAAGAAUACCCUCUCUACAUUCUCCUUGUAUUACAUACAUCUAUGGCCACGAAUGAACAAGUGGCUUCCAUGUUGAAGGAGCGUCCAAUGCAUUCUAUCAAAGAGUGGGUGCGGCGAUGGGUCACGGAUAACUAUUCUUCUUACGUUCCUACUAAUAUGUGAUUUAUUUUAGUUGUAACUUUUGAAAUAAGUGUUUAUUCCAGCAUUGUGCCAUGUAUGUAAUAAUGUGACACAUUUAUUCUUGAAUAAUAAGUUUGUUAUUCAAAUUAUGAUCUAUCAAUGUCUCAAAUUAAUUGUCUUGCAGUUGCAAUGUUUCUCUAUGAGUGAUUAUCCAUUGAGUAGCUAUUUACAAUUUUAAUUGUGUAUGCAUUCACAUGAGCUGGUUGCCUGCGCCUGAGCUGAACUAAUCCGUUGCUAGUAGUUGGGCUUGCCCUCAAAAAUAAAUCAAACAAACGACUAACACCUAGCUUUUGCCGGCCUAAGCAAAAUAACCAAAUGCAUAGCCGAGGCAAGGCGAGCUAAGCUCAGCUGCGGCUAGCUGAGCUAGCUGGGUAGCACCUAAGUGAGCAAGGGAACCAAACGGACCCGAAGCUUUCCCUUCUAGAUGGCUUAUGGCUUCCUGCGGCCUAAAGCCAUACAAGAAGCUGUCCCCUAGAAGCCCGGUAUCCUUCUGGUUAGCCUUAAUUGUGAUCUUUUUAUUUUUUGUUUAUAAGCAAAAAGCCAAAACCAAACGCACAUAAGUAGAUGUGUUUGUGACUUAUAAGCCAAAAGUCAAGUCAUAUUCAAACCUAACCAAACAGGUCCUUAAAUAUUCAUGAGGUGUAGCUAGGUUCAUUAGUUAUUUCUAUUAUGUACAUCUUCUUAUCGUGCUGGGCUAUACCAUUACAUCGUCGAAGCAAAAUGAGGUUCUUUUGUUAUUUUCAGGAAAGAAAUGAGUGGUUUUCGUGUUAGGCCCCAGAUUUUAGAUCCACGACAAAGGAGACAUGAUGAAUCAUAAAGACUCUGCUCGUGUUUUCACAACGAUUCAUGACUCCCACUCUACAAACCAUGGUUUCCAAUAGCCGUGAUAUAACCUUUUGACACAGUAACCGUUACGCUAUUGUCAAGACCAUGUAUAGUUGGUGAAAAAAGAAGGUCCUGGAAGUGGAGCCACUUACGUUGUGGUUAAUAGCAAAGGGUAUGAGUUAAGAUCACUUAGUUUGGGCAUCUUACAUGGUGGGAUGUUGGUGAUAUGGAGUGUGGAUUGCUUCAAUUGCCUAGCAUUGAGAAGUUGCAUUGACACAGUUCUAAUUUGCAUAAAAAGAUGGAUAAAUUGAGCAACUUUUGUUUUGGCUAUUGAGUAAAUUUUGCGAUAUCAUGUAACUAGUUAGAAGAAAAGCAUCAAUACACUAAAGAUUCUCACGACAGAAUCUCGAAUGUGGUUAACAUUUUGAACAACAUGGGUAAAGCUUUGGGUGCUCCUAGAGGGUCAGUACGUACAUAAGAGAGAACCGACCUGAACUGUGAAACUCUUAUGAUGCUAGAAAGUUCACAACCCUUGAAUCUAGCUAAUUCAUUAUGAUUUUUGUUUUCUUCAGUGAAAUGUUACUACUUGCAAAAUUUAUAAGAAAAAAUAUACAAAUAUUUUACUCAAUUGAUAGCAAUAACCAAAAUACAUAACAUAAGUAAGAUACAGAUUAGCAAUUCAACAAAUUGAUACUUGCCUUACUGUUCCAACUCCUUGUACCGAUAAAUAGAAUCCUCAAAUUACUCCUUGGUGCUUCACUCUAACGAUAAGAAACUAAGAAACAUCCACAAACAAAAAGAGAGAGAAAAAAUCAAUAACAAAGAUUUUAGACAUCAUGAAAUGCAUCAUACCAAAUGGAAUAUUAAGAUACGAAACUAAUGCAACUGAAAUAAAACAAAAUGAAGUUCUAAAAUCAGGGUACACAUAUUACAAGUUUCGGCACUUUUAAGAUUUUCACACUCCACAUUAGUGGCGAACCACCACGUCACAUGUCAUAUUUGAUAACUAAUACCAAAUAACGAACGAAGUAAAUAUGUGCUCCCCACAACAUAAAUGGCUCAACCUCUAGGACCUUAUAGUCUCACAAAACGAACAUGGGUUUUCCAUGCACAUCACCACGUAAGAAAAACCGGUAACCCAUAGUAUGCCCACUCUAGGAUCAAUCAAUUGUUUAGGUGUACAUGCUUAACUUUAUACUCGCUUUUCAUGCUACGGCCAACAUGUGGCCACAUGGAGAUGUGGUGGACCGUCUAGACAAUCUAUCAGCUUGAUCACAUCUCGUGAGUGGUACUUGUACGAUAUGUGGCAUCUAGAAAUGGGCACAGGGGCAGACACACUUUAGGGGUUGUGGGGGCAGAUGCCCCCACUGCAACGUUUAAUCUUCUUGUAUUUUAUUCAUGAUAUAUUAAGAUUGCUCCCACUGAUGCUAAAAUAUAUUUGCCCCAUUCUUUUAAUUUUGGUGUAUAUUUUCAAAUGCUUGCAAUGUUUACCCCAUGUCAAUUAAUAUUCUGGGUCCGACCCGGAAUAGGCAUCUCCUAUAAAUACCCCAACACGAUCCUUCUCUCAUUGCAAAAGUCGAGCUGGCACACAAGACAAUAAGUCAUGUAUCCGUGUGAGAGGAGAACAAUAUUGUGUGUGAGUGGGAUCAAGCUUGGUUCAUCUCACGAGGGCAACCAUGGGAUGGAGGGCAUCGCUAGAGGACGACCCGAUCUCAGAUCUGGAGGGGUACGACUCUGUCAAGAUAGGAGGAAACCACUCAUGGACCCCAAGGAGGAGCUCGGGACAAUACGAAGACGGAGGAAGAAGGCGUCAGCUGGGAACUCAUCGAUGCAGAGGAGCAAAGGUGUGGCGGAGAUUUACACAGAACGAGAAGGAAAUGUGCUGAAGGUGUGUAGACAAGCCCCUUUCUUUCUUUUUGUUCUUGUUGCUUUUGCAUGUAAAAGAUGCUUGUUUUGGCUACUAGCUGUGGACUGUGGUAUGGUCAUUUCGAAGUUUUCGUUUUGUACAUCCGUUGCAACAGAAGUGGAAUAGGAGGCAGCCACGCAAGAUUAGGGCACCUGAAGACGUCCAAAUCUCACAGUAUAUAUACUCACGUUGGCUUGUCGAGGAUGGUUUGUGGGAGGAUCCUCGUUGUUGUCCGACGGCUCGAAGGAGAUUGUGUAAUAAAAGAGGAAGAUAAGGCAGCCGUGCAAGGCCAGAUUGCUUGACAUGCUGAUCCCAUUGCCGAGCGAUCUGGACUUACGUGAAUGCUCUAUCUUCCUCUUAUGUAACACAAUCUCCUUUGAGCCAUCGGACACCAACGAGGAUCCUUCCACAACCAUCCUUGACAAGCCCACAUGUUGGCCGUCUUAGAGUGCCUUGAUCUUGCGUGGCUGCCCCUCCCCUCUUUUCUUACAAAGGAUGUACAAAAUAAAAAUUUGAAAAUGACCAUACCACGACCCGUUGUUUGCUAGUAGCCAAAACAAGCAGCUUGUAUACGCAAAAGCAACAAAAAAAAUAAAAGAGAAAGGAGAAUGUCAACUCACCUUCGCCAUGUUUCCUUCUUGUUCUGUGCAAAUCUCUGCCCCACCAUCGCUCGUUUGCAUCGAUGAGUUCUCAGCAGACACCUUCAUCUUCUUCCUCUAUCUCCAUGUUUUCCUGAGCUCCUCCUACGAGGUACAUGAGUGCUUUCCUCUCACCUCAUCAAAGUGGUACCUCUCAGCUCUGAGAUCUGGUUGUCCUCUAACGAUGUCCUUCGUCACAUGGCUCCCGUCUCGGGAUGAACCACACACACACACAUUGUAGUUCUCUUCUCACACGAAUACAUGAUCUAUUGUCAUGUGUGCUUGCCACAUACUCAAUUUGCAUCAAUCACGAGACAUGAUAUCGUGUUGAUAGAUAGUACCCCCGGUUCACUAUAUCUCCAUGUGCCCCACAUGCCGAGGAUUGUAUGGAAGAUUUGAAGUUAAGCUUGCGCACCUAAACGAUUGGCUGAUCCUGAAGUGGGCGCACUAUGGGUUGUCACCCGUUUUGCUUAGGUAUUGAUGUGCAUGGAAAGACCAUAUCCGGUUGGUGAGAAUAGAAGGUCCUAGAAGCGGAGCAACUUAUGUUGCGGAGAAUAGCAAAGGGCAUGAAUUAACAUCACCUAGUUUGGGCAUCUUACGUGGUAGGAUGCUGGUGAUAUGGAGUGUGGAUUGCUUUAAUCACCUAGCCUUGAGAAAUUGCAUUCACAUAGUUCUAAUUUCCAUAAAAAGAUGGAUAAACUAAGUAAAUUAUGCGAUAUCAUGUAACUAGCAAGAAGAAAAGCAUCAAUACACUAGAGAUGCUCACAAUAGAAUCUCGAAUGUGGUUAACAUUUUGACAACAUGGGUAAUGCUUUGGGUGCUCCUAGAGGAUCAGCACGUAAGAGAGAACCGACCCGAAUUGUGAAACUCUUAUGAUGCUAGAAAGUUAUCAACCCUUGACUCUAGCUAAUUCAUUAUGAUUUUUGUUUUCUUCAAUGAAAUAUUUACUAUCUUGCAAAAUUUAUAAGAACAAACAAUAUAAUUAUUUUAUUCAGUUGAUAACAAUAACCAAAAUACAAGGAAAUAAACAUAACACAAGUAAGAGACGGAUUAGCAAUUGAACAAUUUGAUACUUGCCGUACUGUUCCAACUCCUUGUACUGAUAAGUAGAAUCCUCAAAUUACCCCUUAAUGCCUCACUCUAACGAUAAGAAGCCAGAAACAUCUACAAACAACAAGAGAGAAAACAUCAAUAACAAGGGAGUUUUGGAUGAAUAUGAUAUCCAUAUUAACUUCUCGAAGAUUGUCUAGAUAUAUACAAAUUGGUGUGCUGAUAUUCCCAAAGGAAGGUGCUCAAGUUGUAAACCUAAGAAAACUUGUUUUUACCCAAAAUUCUUCAUCACUAAUUUCUGCCUGAGAUGAUUAUGUACUUCAUCAACAUCUUGGUGGUCAGCAAUGAUGUUUAGAUCAACUACAUGUUUGAGAUUUCGUGAUGAGCGCAUGAGCAAUCAUUAUUUGAGGAAACCCUUUGUAUAAGGAACUUGCUAGUCGGUUGUACCAAUUUGGUUGUGUGUUAACUCAUUAGUGGCUUAGUCAAUUAUACAUGAUUUUGGUGAGUGUUAACUCAUUAGUGCCUCAUUUAAUCAUACAUGAUCUAGUUUACGUUGUAUGCGUAUUCAGAGUUUGAACUCCAUGUAGAACGAUCAUGCAUAUGUCCUAAUCUAGCAUGCCAUAGAGAUAUCCUUGCGUGGAACCUUAUUCUACAAGUAUUGCUCUGAAUCUCACUCCAUCUCCGGAUGGAAACCGGUGUUGGUAUUACUUCUGUGCAUACCUUUUAUUGAAGGGGGCCAUUUCUACUUGGACUACACCCUUCGAUUGAGUCUGCUCCAAGUUCUUCUAAAUCACCAUGGUCUUUGGAUCAGGAUCACUCAAGAGAUUUUUUGCGAUCAUAAAACAAAAAUUUAUGUUUGAUAGUUUGACUUAGACUUCGGUUACACGUUUCUUGAGAAUCUAGAAAAUAAUAAUUAGAAAUUACAUUUACCUAUUACCAAUGCAAUUAAGUCUAGGUUCUCCCAUGUCCUGGCAUUAGUAAUUGAGUACGCGAAGUUGUGGAGAUUUUCCAUCCAUUGGGUGUACACAACCCAUUUUAUCUUUGCCAACUUGGGGUUGACUUACCUAUUUCCUUUGGUAACGCACGGGUGACCUAGCAGGUGCGGGUCGACACAGCAACACAAAGGCGGUGUAGAGGGGUUGCGGGAUGCUGUAGCGGUGGAAAGAGGGUUGGGCAUUUGAUAUAAUCGAAUGUUAGGUUACUAAAAUUAGCAACUAAAUAGGCAAAUUGUAAAGUCGGUUAACGCAAAUUUUGGUUUGAUGGCACACGCAUUCAGUUAGCAUUUCACCAGAAUUUUUUACCACAUGUGCUAAGGCGUCAAUGGGGUGUAGUAUUGGGUGGCAUGUGAGACUACACCAGCAAUAGGUGGUAAACAACAGCCUAGCAGCGCCACGAUACAAGGCCAAGUUCGAGGGCAGGCGGCGAAGACGUACUCGGUCGGUCCAACAAAGCCACGAGACAAUAGCAACGAGGAUUAGAGAAGAACGUCAACAACGCAAUGACGUGGGGUACUACCCACGAGGAGUCGGGACUAGUCGUGCUCUGUGGCGACAGGAAGUUGAUACGAGGGAGACGAUCAGGUGCAACAAAAGUAGAGAUUUCCUAGUCCCUUAGUUGGGCUAUGGUGCGACAGUGGGCCCUUGGGCCUUACAAACUUCGGUUUUCUUGGUUAACCAAAGAAAGUACCGAACCGGCCGAAUCUUGUACGGUGAGCACCAACCCAAUCUACUCCAUCCGAUCCUAAAUUCUUGUCGUUGGUUUAGUUCAAUUUGUACUAAAACAACAACAAGAAUUUAGGAUCGAAGGGAGUCGUUUGGUGAGCUACAAUAAAAACCGAAAAACACUAAGAGCAUCUCCACUCGGCCCCCCUAAACGGGCUUGGGGGGCGCCGGCGCGUAAAAUCCGACCUAGCCGGCCUUCCCAAUUUGUUUUUUUAGCCGGCGCGGCCCAAAGGUUAUCCGGCGCCCCAGGCCGAACCCAACUUUGGGGGCGAUCGGGGGCGCCGGCUGAAGCCAAAAGGCAAUGCGGGCCACACCUGUCAGCGAGAUAAUCCACUCCAAAUUUUCGGCGGCUACCCCUUCCCCCCCCCCCCCCGCCUGGGCGCCAAGUCCCGCCAUUUCCCCCCUUUCUCGCCGCCGACACCACCGCCGCUCCAAGAAAAACCAUGGCGACGAAGAGGUAUGCAGCGCCUCGUUGCACGCUGGCCAGCGACGAAGCGGCGAAGAAACCAAAGGAAAAGGAGCGGCCGCCUGGGAUGAGCAACGCCGACUGGGCGGCGGAUGUUACCCGCCGCAAUGUCAAGAGUGCCUCCCGCCGUGAACGGGAGAGGAGGGCCAAGGAGAGGAACGCCGACCUGGCCCGGAGAUGGAGGCGCAGAGGGCCGUGGCAUCGGCGCAGAUGGCAGCGCAGAGUGUUGCGGCCUCGGCACAGAUGGCUGGCAUUCCUGUGCCGCGACCACCCAGCACUGGAGCUGCAGCCAAGGGAGCUCUUCGUCGUCCCCGUCGCCGGUGGGCAUAUCGCCGGUGUCGCCCCAUAUGCCCCAUGACCACCAGGGGAAUGCCACGCCGUCCCUCUCGUGGUUCUCGCCGGACUACCCCGACACCGAUUCCCUCGACGGCUUCAACCCCAACACCUUCGCCACAGAUCCCCUCGGCGGUUUCAACCCCCAACGCCUUCGCCUCACCUCCUCUGCGGCGGAGGCCUCUCUCCUACGGCGGUUCCUCGCCGUCCGCCUCCUUCCAGCAGUUCCCCGCCGGCUGCAGCCAGCCCGCGCCUAACCCGUUCGGCGGAAUGUCGCAAGGCGACUCCAUCAUGGCCGACAUGAUCAACAACGGCUCCCAGCACGCCCACUACAGCUACACCCAAGAAGAGGAGCCUUACGCCGCCGAGGACACCAAAGCGUGAGAAGAACGGGCCGACGAGACAGAGGAGCCCGUCAUUGCCGCGCCGAAGGGAAAGAAAAGGGUGCGACCGAGAAAUUAAGGCCGGCGGCAGAGGCCGAGGCCCCAUAUGGACCGCCAAGGAAGACGAGUGCCUCGCCGAAGCUUGGAAGGUCGUGAGCAUCGAUCCCUUCACCGGCGCGAAUCAAUCCGGCGACACCUAUUGGUGGCGUGUGAAGACAGCAUAUGAUGAGCGCCGGGUCAUCGACCGGGAGUUCGCGUCGGUGACCCACGAUCGCAACGAGUCCAGCUUGUCGCACGGGUGGCAAAUGAUCCAAUAAGCAUGCAACAAGUGGCAUGGCAUUCAAGAAGACCGCCGGCUACCCGCAAGCGGCAGCAGCGCCCACGAUCAGGUAAGCUGGCGCCAUCUUUGAGCUUUUCGUCGCCGAUUUUACAUUUGACGCCCUGUCUUGUAGAUGGUCGCCAUGUUCACCACCUUUCAAGACGACAACGAAGACGCCGACUUCAAGUUCAUCCACGUCUUCACAAGAAUUGAGACGUGCGACAAGUGGACGAAGACGCGUGCCGGCCUCGCCAAGACCGGCACCUACGACCCGAAAGCAGCUCCUCCGGCAGCAGCGGAAGGCCGACCCAUCAGCUACAAGAAGGCAAAGGCAAUGAGGGAUGCCGCGCCGGCCACGGAGCGCCUGUACAUAUGCAUCAAGAAGUGCAUGUCCGACGACGCCGCACAAGCCGCGAAGAGGGACGAGCUCGCCGCCAAGAGGGAGACUGUCGCUGCGUCACGGUGAUCAAAUAGCAAGAUGACAAGCUCGAGAGCCUCAAGGCGAAUGUCACGGCAAGAAGAUGCGGGAGGACUUGUUAAUCUUGACAUGCGACACCAGCGGCAUGGACGACAAGGUGAAGGCGUGGUACGACGGCCAGCGCAGGUUCAUUUUGGCCAAAGCGAGAGCGCCAGCGUCAGCGCCCCAAACAGCAACAACGGCCACCUCUACUCCAUCGGAGCCCUCACCGCCCGAAAUAGCAACUCUUGCCACUUCUACACCACCGGCGGGCACAGAAGAGCCAUCAGCGCUGACGGAAGACGAAGAGCCCGAGUGAUUUCACUUUUAUUUAAGUUUGAUGUUAUUUUGAUCGCCAAAACUUGUGAUGAACUUGGACAAUUUCGUGAUAUGUGCCGGCAUGAAAAAUGGCGCUUUGUUUAAAUUGUAUUUUUUUUUGGGGGGGGGGGGGGGGGGGGCGGGGUCGACGUUUAGAGGGUGCGGCUGGAUCCGACGCCUCCUGAAAUGGCCUACCGCUGGAGGCGAAAUGGGAGGGCCGAGUGGAGUUGCUCUAACACCAAAAAAAAUCUGGUUUCUUCCCACUCCUAGGCACGGAGUGGAUGCAAUGCCGAAGCGGCAGCGCGGCAACAAAGGACCACCCGCCACCACCGCUUCCUCUCCAACAGUGAGUUUGAGGUCCACAGCGUCCCACCGUCAAACAUGGUGAGUUCAAGAUCCAACGAGGGUAAAAUGUGGGAUUGGGCGCAUACCUGAAGCUGAUGCAAAGGACGUGAUAACGAGGCCACAAAGCUGCUCGUAGUGGCAAGAAAAGCCUCCGAAGGGGUCGUUUGGGCUUGGUUGUCCUCCAACCUGAAUCUAUAUUUGGCUCACAACCGAGCUGGGAUGGCUUCCCCGAAAGAGUAGUUGUUGGAGCCUGUUUUUCAGUUGCAGUAGCCAAAUCAAGGAUGGCUUGUGGGGUAGCGCAGCUGUUGGACAUGCUCCAAGGCUUGUUCCAGUUGCCUCGCCCUGCCGAUGACCUGCAAUCUGGAGAGGAGAGCGUUUGGUAGCAGAAACUUCCUAUAGUACACGAGAUCCCCCGGGCUCAACACCUACCAGGGCAGGGCUGGCAAAUCGCUACACCUGCAAUGACCAAAACCAUCAUAAAAAUAUAAACGGACAAACAGAAGAACUGUUCUACUACAAACAAACGUAUGAUUUUGGGCAUGGAAGUAAAAGAAUAUCGAUAUUACAUCCUGACCCAACUCUGCAGCCCUUAAUAACUAACAUAGCUCACAAGCCCUUCCACAGGGACGACAUUACAGACAUCAAUAGAAAGUUAGAAACCGUGGAACUAGGAAGGUGACUGUUUGUUUCCACCGUUGUGUUACUAACUAAAAUUAACCAAGAGAGUCUGAACAAUAUCCCAAGACCAGAAAUAUUAACAAAGCAACCCCACACAUUGUUUAAGCUCUGAUUUGAGAUCCUCCUAGCAGGGCAGUCAUAUAUAUAUAUAUAUAUAUAUAUAUAUAUAUAUAUAUAUAUAUAUAUAUGUAUGUAUGUAUGUAUGUAUGUAUGUAUGUAUGUAUGUAUGUAUGUAUGUAUGUAUUGCUUUUAAGUUUAAAACAUCCAGGUUCAUCAUUCUAAAUUCAAACACUGAAGUAAAACCUUCUGAGCUAGUUGGAUGAAGCUGAGGUACUCUGACUUGCAUGAGUAAAUGGAGGAUAAUCGUAGAAAUAUCAUAUUGAACAAAUGGUGCGUGGCUAAUUUAAUAACUUGCACCAUGUAAGAUGGCCUGAUAUCAGAACUAGUGGUGUACUAGAAGCUACGGCAUUUUCUAAGGUCUAGACUCAAAAAUACUUUUCACAAAUCAAGAUUAACUUAAGAUAGUAACUACCUACAUGUAGACCCUGCAUAAUUUGAUGUCAAGUUAAAUGUUAUUGCUUUAAACAGUACAUCGAUUGUUUGCAUGCAGUACUUUGAACCAAUACAAGGCCUAGCGUGGAGAAAAGCAGCCCUUUUGAGGCGUGAUGCUGUAGUUUGUACCAUCACGACCAGGCUACUAUAACUUGCAGCUACAAGAUGCUAUAUGGCAAAUUAGAAGAACAUGAUCUCGUAUGAAAAUAUUCCAGUUUAUAGAAAAUUAGCAAACAUAUGACGUUCAGCGACAGUGUUUAUGGGAAUGUACAUGCCAUGACCCACCACAGCUGAAUCUCAGCCACUGAUCAGCACACAUCAUAAAUUCAUAGAAAUGAGACGGGGAGCUGUAAUGACCAAAAGGCAGAAUAAAAAAAGAUAAAGGUCUUCGAGAGGCAAAAAAGAUGACUGUCGCAUGAGAUGUUGACAGAGCUGGGGCGGAGCGCCAAGAGACGGUAGUCACGAACGAAACAUACAGUACUAACAUAAUCCCUCUGAUCCAAAAUAAAUGUCUCAGUUUUGAACUAACCCUAGUUCAAGCUUAGUUCAAAGCCGCAAUACUUGAUUUUGGAUUGGAGUUAGUAAUAACAAAUACUAGUAUAUAUUGUUCUACAUAUCAAAUGUGAUCACUGAUUGGCAUGGGCAAUACAAAAGGUAAAUGCGUACUCCCUCCGUCCACAAAUAAGUGUACUUCUGGGUUUUGUCCUAAGUCAAACUUUUUAGAUUUGACCAAUUUUGUUGAAAAGAGUAGCAACACAUAUGAUAUCAAAUCGGUAUGUUAUGACUUAUGAAACUACGUUUCAAAACGGAUCUAAUAAUACUAAUAUAGUGUCAUUAACAUUGCUAUGUUUUCCUAUAAAGUCAGUCAAACUUAGGACAAAACCUAGAAGUACACUUAUUUGUGGACGGAUGGAGUAUUAGUUUAAACUUGGCCCUGCAACUACAAAUAAGAUCAAAGAUGUUAACAUUAAUUGGAAUUGAACUUUGAUGCUAGUUCAUUUUCAAUAUAGACUGUUGUGCAAUGUCGAAGAAAAUAAUCUCCCAUUUACAAAACCCAGUUACUGCUUUCAUGUUCUAAUUAUACAGUUCUAUAGCACAAUUUAGGAGAUCUGCAAUUUGGGAGUUUAGUCAUUCGGGGACUAACAGCAGAAAUUCCUUAGCGUUGUCACCGGCACCAAUUGGGUGCAGAUUGAAAUUGAAAGAUUGAGGAUAUCCUGACAACUUCCGUCCUGGGCGAAUUGCCCUAGACAGGGGCGAGAAGAAAAUGUUCGAGAGAAGAGAACCCCCUUCCAAUCUAAUGGACUGGACAAUAUAGUGUUUUGGCUAUUCUAUGGCUAGUUGGUAGCCUUCCUGAUUUACUUGCAUCGACACCUUGAUCAUGGAAUGCUCGACCUAUAUGCCAGGUAAAGGUAGAUCAAGAAUUUUGGCUUGGAGGGGUAGUUCUGAAGAGUGGGUUUACCAUUGACAAGUAGCAAGCAGUAAGUAGGUAAAAUUCAGAAAAAUAAGUACUCCAGAAGUGAAUCUAACAAUGUCAGAUUUGAAUUAUAUUCUGGGACAGCAAUGAACGGUGGCCCAUGGAUGAUAUUUCUAAGUGUUAGUUUUCAAUAUACACAUUUGGACAAUGGUACACAUCACUCAAUUCUCAUGCAUAAUGAAAAAUCGAAGCUGUAAAUUUAUGCCACUGCCACAUCACAAAAGGCUUUACUUGAGUUUUCUUAGCAUGUCUACUAUUAAUCGUCACAGCACAUACAUGUUUGCCAAUUUGCAUCGCCUUCCAAAGUGCAUGCAUGAACUAAAGUUCGAGCACUAACAAUAUGCUGCAUAAUUUCAAGACCUCUGUGUUGCACGUGAAGGCAUGCCUUUAGUGUGGUUCUGCAGUUCUCUGAUAUGCUUACUACAUACCACGCGUCGUUAUUAGGUAAUACAGUGAUGUGAGGUGACUCACCCCCUACCUUACAGCUGAAGAGCCUAAAGCGUACAGCAAGAAGACGUCAUACACACAUCCAAACCUAGUAAAGCAAACACAGAAAAGUAAAUCAGCUAUCUGGUCAGAUAUGCAUACCUAGAUGUUGCUGGUUCUUGAGUCAACUCCUUUGCUAUUCUCCCAUGAACCAUCCAUCCCUCAAAGCUCUAACAUCUGCCUUGUUACAAAUGUAACAGCACAGUAAGUAAUUCAAGUUCCAGUUAAUUGAACAAAUAUGAAUAAAGUUGCAUACCUUUUUAAAUAUCUCACCUCCCAACUUCCAUUAUCUCACCUCUCUUCUCCUAAGAAAAGAUGAGUGGCGACAAACUGCAUGUCAAUAUUUGGUUCAGUGCAUGUCAAUAAAUGUAAUAGCACAAUACAUCAUUUAAGCUACCAAUUAAAUACACAAAUGCAUGAACAAACAUAAGCCUACACGCAUAGAGAAUAAAGGCAGAACAUGAUCCAGCAUCAUUCAGCAUUAGUAUCAAGACAUCAACGAUUAAUAGUAGUAUCAAGUCAUCAAGAAUUAACACUUUACACUGGCAAGUAUCACAGACAGAUGGUGACGUGAGAAUAGCUAAGAGAGCAGAAGAGGUCAGGGAGAAGAAGAAAAAGAGAAGGGGGAGGGAAGAUCAUUCCUUCAACUCCUUCCUCGGAUCUUGAUAUUUUUUGCCUGUCGGUUUUGCUCCUUAUUUAGCCCAAUUCUUUACCACUCAGUCCUACCAAAUGGCAACUGCUUCAACUGUCCCAACGCUAUACUCCUUCAACCCAGCUAAGAGAACACCAGAUAGCUUCUCGUUAUUAUUGUAAAAAGGGAUGGUUAUCUAUAAAACAUUCCAAAUACAAUAUAGUGCUUGCGAAUAUGAAGACAACACACAAAGAUGCAACAUAGUGUGCUAAAAGCUCAGAAAGAACAUUUUACAAUGGGCAGUUGUUAUCUUUUUUAGGCCUCUCUACUACAGUAGAUUGUAGUAUCUGAACUCACACACAAACGCAUGGCACACGCACACCACACUCACACACCCUACCUCCAGUGCGCAAGACAGACUUACAACCUAAUACACGCAACUAGAUUCCCAGAAUCAGUAGACUCUGUCGGCAACGAGUACGUUGCACUACCACUAAGGAACAGGCGUGAGAGAGGCAGACCAAGAGGGAAUUAAUUCCCGGUGAGACACGCAGGAAUCGCCCCAACCGGGGAUCGAUCCCGCGCGGGGUGCCUGCAUGACAGCAGUGCAAGCCAUCCGAGCAAUGCUCAGUUCUCCAAUGGGCAAUUGUUAUCCCCAAAGCAAAUGAGCAAUUAAUGAAUAAAGAUUAUCAUGGUAUGUUUUUGCCUGAGGAUUGGUAUUAACGGGAAUACAUUGCUACAAAUUGCCUCCAUGAUCAGUUCUCCUAAUAAGAGCAUCUCCAAUGGGAUCCAAAGCCGCCAAUCAUAUGGGCCCCAGUAUUCCGAUAGGUGGAAGUGAAGCAGAAGAGAGAAACGAUGCUUAUGCAUUUGUCGGUGCUAGGAACAGACCCCAAACUACGUAGGAGGGAGAGGGAUUGAAUGUUAAAUUGUCGGGGUGUGGAAGGGAAAAUUGGGAGUAUGGGCGCAGAGGGUACCAGCAUGAAUUAACAACAAGGUUUUAAAUCGCGGUUUUCACGGCUUCAGCUGUGAUCCUAGCUAUAACUAUGGUAACUAUUGCUAGCUAUUGCCAGUAGCACCUUAAUAUUAAAAUAGAAAAUAAACACAUAACAAAAUCAUAUUCAGAUAAAGUCAUUUAGAAGUACUGAUCCAUGUCCAUGGCACCAUAAUUAAUGUCUGGAACCGGUCAAAGUAGCAUUACAACAUGUCUAAAAGAGACUAAACGUAAGUUGGAACUGAGAAAGAUAACAAGAGAAUCAAAUCGUGAUAGUUAAUUUAAUUUCUUGCUGGCCGCGACAACAUGAGAUGUAUGUAGAUGUCGUGGCCGGUCGAAGCUUCAAGACGGAGCAGUAGGCACAAGUCUUUUUGACAUCAACCUAUUCGGAUUUUUUCUGUUUUUUCACGUGAUUUUCUCAUAUACAUGGUUCUUGGCUUAGCUCACGACUACUAUUGAGGACAUGAUCACAUGAUGUUGUUCUGGCCCAUUUCCAGUUACAGAGAAUAGCGUCGACUAACCAGAUUUCGCGUUAACACAAAUAGCACAGCUAUUUCCCGCAGUCGCCACCUUAUCAAGAAUAGCAAUACAAAGUGCCAUAGCUUAGCUUUUGUGUUCCAAAAAGGUAUAGGUCCACUAUAGCUAGCUACUCCCUCCGUCCAACAAAGGAUGUCUCAACUUUGACCAAAUUUGAAUGCAUUUGUACACUAAGUCAUGUCUAGAUACAUCCAAAUUUUGACAAACUUGAGACAUCUUUUGUUGGACGGAAGAAUAUUUAAAACCAUGAUUAGCAACAUGCAUGGAGGGUCGGCCAUUUAGUAAUAAUAUAUUGAACACUACUUGUGAUGAAGGUGCCAUAAGCAGAAAGACUCAAGCCACGACAUAGUUUGAGAACAAAAAUGGUUCCAUUUUUUUUACCAUAUUGGUCAACCAUGAUAACUACUGUAACAAAUACUCCUAGUUACCUGAAGUUGCAUAGGGAAGACUUUGAGUUAUGCGUCCUGUUGUUGACUGCUGAUCUCAAGUAUAAAAACUUUCCAAAUACAGAAUGGAGAAAACAGGAGUAAUAAACUGCCAGCUGUAGGCUAACAUUCUAUAAGAUGUCAUAGAAAAGAAAAGGUACCGUAUAGUUGCCUGUGGAAAAGCCUCAGCCCUCAUGAAACCUGAUAACUCCUACACCACAGCAUGGCCAAAUGAAAUCGAAGUUCAACAAAGAAGAGCAAUAAUUACAACGAAUCAAUUGAUAACAAUUGACGAGACACAUGCACAUACCUAAUUUGCAUGCAAAUUUGGUUAUUUUAAAAUUUUGUCACAUAAACCAUAGGAAAAACUUCCAUCUAUAAAACCGUUCACAUUCCGCAACUAAAACUCAAUAUAUCAAACAAAAUGCAGCAGUCAAUACCAUCACUAGACCAGCAUCAACCAACAACAGCAAGAGAUGCAUAGAGCAGUGAAAUAAGACCAAGAUGUUCAUAAUUUAACAGCUAUACCAUACUUCUACCCUGUCUAGACUCCAUAAAGUUAAAGACAGCACAAAACUGUACACCCGCAUAUCUAAAGAAGAAACGAAGUGUUUAUGCCAGGCUUCUCCGGCAGAAACUGCUUUAUCUCGAGAGCUUGGUUUCCUUCCGCUACACCAGGGAGAGGGAGCCCAAGAGACAGAGACAGUGACUGAUCAUCUCCCCUUUCAGAACCACCAAGAUUAUGUGGUUUUGCCACUGUAGACAGGGAAAGUGACAAUAGAGGGGAGGAUCCCUCCUCUGCCUUCAACGAUGCCUUAUUCAUACCAGUACUAGGUUCUGGAGAGUCUUCAUCAUCGGAUGAAAGAACAUGAACGAUAUGAUCUGAGAUGGUUUUUGUUGUAGAACCUAGAUCAGCAAGACAGCUGUGGGUAUACUGUGUGUCAUCUAAUGGAGUACACCAACCAGCUGGCAAUGAUUGUAUCUUUGACAGGCAUUUGCUAGGCAUUUGUUUAUCUCCGCUGGAAGUCUUCUGCCUUUUGUAGCUGGACUCAGAAUCACGCAAAAUAAAGUCCACCUUCAAGGUUGAUUCGCUAGGAUGCCGUAGGGAUACUUCUGUUGAGGAUGUGAGUGCUUGCUUCUCAAGUAAUAUGUUGUCAGAUAUUGAUCUGCUUGCACCUGCAUGCCGUUCAACAUAGCAUGGAGCUUCAUUCGGAUUAAAGUCCUCCUCUUCCUCCAUGUUGUCUCUACCUGCAGUUCCCAUGACACCUGAAACAAGUAAAAAAAGUAAGGGGAAAAUGAUGAGAUGAAAAAUCUAGCUUCAUCAGUAGCUUCAUGUCAUUAAAAAAAUAUCAGCACCUAUCAUAUCAUUUGGAUAAUAUGGCUUCAUGUUGCAACCUCCCGAGCUUGAGGGGAUAUAAGAUUCACAGACAACUGCAGAAGCACUUCCCAACAUAAUUUUUUUGGUGACUGCAGUAUCUUGGUGGUAUAUGCCACAGGUAUCCAGAUUUGCAACCUCAUGUUUUGACCCAAACAAAGUACUGUAAUCUUCAGUUGCACCAGAAUUCUCUGUCUCUGAUCCAAGUGAUAUGGGUGCAUCAUAUAAUUCAUCACCAGGACACUGGUUCAAAUCAAUACACAAAGAUUGAGGAACCUUAGGGGAACACACAAGCUUAUCACAAGGUCCAGCGGUUGAUUCUAGUGGACAAGGAUCUGUCACUCUGACAAGAAGCUCUGCUGGCCUAUUUGCUUUCCUGGCAUAGAAGACGCCCCAGAAGUAAAGCAAGCCAUUCCACCCUGGAAAGUAUUGAAUCAUUUAAAUGAGUAACCCAGACGUUUUUAGACAAUAACCUUAACUAAGAUAGGUCUUACGUUGAAUCUUCUCCGGUAACAUAUCAGAAGACAAGAUGAGUAGCUCAAAGCCACUAAUAUUUGCUGUUAGGGACAAAUCUCCAACAAGCAUUUUUUCCAAGAGCUUCGUGUAUACUCUUUCAUAACUACAUAAUGAGACAGGAUAAUUCAGCUAGCUUAUUGAGGGCAAAAGAUAAAAGUACUCCCUCCGUUCCUAAAUACUUGUCGUGGUUUUAGUGCAAAGUUACACUAAAACAACGACAAGUAUUUAGGAACAGAAGGAAUAAUAAACAUUGACCAUUACCUUUCAACAUCUUUAGCAAAGAAAAAAAGAGCAAUGUUAUCUUCACUCGGCUGUGCUUCCUUAAAUUGCUGUGGCCAUGAGGAACAUCGAGGAACUUCUACCAGCUGAAUUCUCUGAGGUAAUUGUUUGACUACUUCAAGUGCUUUGGGCGAGGCACAGGUAGACAAGUGAGCCUGAAACCCAUCAUAUACUUCGGAAGCGUUUCCAGGUCUCGAAACCUCGAAGAAACCUCUGGAACAAAAAGAAUAUACAUGUUAAAGACUUCAUAACUAGUUAAGAGGGCUAAGGUGAGAGGACAUACUGCCAGAUGUAAGUCUGCUCUGGAAUAACUAAAGCUGUACAAAGAUUCCCAGGAGUGGGCAUUUGAUCAAAAGAAUCUUGAUGCUUCAAACUGGGCUCACUCAAUUUGUUGUCAGGGGCACACAGUUUCUGUGCCACUGAAAGGCCAUGUGGACUCUGAAGCAAUAUGCCUUCUGAAGCCUGAACUGCCUCAGAACUUUGACUUGACUUGUUUGCCGUGGUUUCAAAACUCUUUUGUUGGAACUGUCCCACAUUAGGAGUCAAAUCUUCUAAAGCAAUUGCUCUUGGCACAAUAUCUUGUAAAUCUGAUUCAGAAGCAGCAGCCAGUGGCGUGGAAAGUGCCUCAGGCUUAGUUGGCAUUUCACUAUCAUUUGUCAGCAAAAUGAAUGAAGCUUCACCAGCACAAUCAUUUAUGCUACCCUUAUUAACAUUUUCCAAUGGAACUGGUGGCUCAGAAGUCUUCACUGUGCAAGCAUCUUUAGCAGAAACAGCUCCUGUUGACGUUGAGUGAACAGCAAUGGCCCGCUUCUCACUUUUAGAAAAAACAGAGCUCUGCUUCUUUUCAAUGUUACCUGAUUCCAACAAGCCAUAAAAAGGAAAGUUUGUCAAUUACCAAACCCUGGUAUUUCCUUGAGAAAAUGUAUUACGGAAAUGACCAGCUUACCUGGCUUUUUGCUAGUUUUAAGUAUGCUUGGUCCAGGCCUUGGAGAAUCUUGGUCAAUUUUUCGAUCCCCUGACUUGAUAGAACAAUCAGUCCUUGGUGAUGAAGGAAUAUUUGGUUUCUGAAGAUUAAAAGAAGCCCUCCUUUCUAAGAAACUUCUAUCGUUCAUCGGCUUCAACAUUCUUGGUUUUUCAUCUUGAGACAAAAGAAACGAUUGCUUCUGCUUAAAUGAACUUGAGUCUUUACAAACUGAACCUUCACGUUUAAAUGAUCCAGAAUUGACAAGUUUUCUCAUGGUCCCCUUUUCUCCAAGAUCUAUUGAGGAAUGUUUUGCAGGCUUCAGCUUGCUUGGCACACCUUCCACUAACUGCUUGACCUUUGGUUCGCUGAUCGAUUUGUUGAAAGACAAUUGCUUCGAUAAAGAACCUAGCAGACCAAGCUAUAGAAGGUUAACAAUGCAGUACUAAAAAUAAAUGAAAUAAAGAUUUUAUUGCAAAUAUAAGCCAAAAGGGUUUGGUCAAACCACGUGGUGAAGGUGAAGGAACUGGUGCUUUCACAUUUGCCAUGCUUCCUAACGAAUAUGACCGUGAUAAGCUCGCGGAACUUUUGACUGCCUGAAUACCCCUCACUGGAACAUUAUUAGGUGACUUAAAAUCUCCCUUGUUAGAUUUCUUAAAUGAGUUCUGUCGAGAGAAAACAUCAUGUUUCCUAGGGCUUUCCGUCUUGAACAGUCUCGGAUUAGAGGAUGAAGUAUUUUCUGCAUGCCUCUUGCAUGAUUUAGGUGGACUCAAUAGGCCUUCACUUGGCAGUGGUGAUUCCAUAUUAGUUGCAAUUCGCAACUUCUUACAAUUCAACAAAACUUCCGAACUUUCAUUCUUCUUGCCUAAUCUUCCAGCUGUUGGUGUGCCACAAGUGGGUGGCCGUGCUUCCAUGUCAGAGGUAAGAACUUGCAACCGCUUACGAUUUGCCAUACCCAGAGAGUUUUUAUUCUUUGCAUCCAGCCUUUCAGCAGUUGGGGCAGUACACUUCACCUGCCGGCCCUCAGGAUCAGUUGCCACUGAUUGCAGCUUUUGACUAUUACCAGACAAGUGAACAGCUUUUGGUGGUGCACAAGCGAGUUGUUGAGCUUCAACAUUACUGACAGCAACCUGCAACGUCUUAGGUUUGCUCGUACUUUCUGAAUUUGGGUUCUUUCCAUCCAAAAUAUCAACUGACGAUGCACCAUGGUUACUUCUUGUUUUAUUUUGAUCUUCAUUAAGCUGGCAUUCUUCACAUAACCAUUCACCUUCUGGAACCUUCUCCAACUUCACUCGCAUGCAGUAACUAAUCAGCAAUAAACAGAAUGUCAAUAGCUACCAUAUUAUGGCAUAUGCUUUUCUGUUACAACAUACACAGAAAUGUACUAGCUAAGAAGGUAACACACAACAAGCAGAAUAGUCUAAGUAGGUAAAAUGUAGUUCCCUUACCUUUCAUCUCAUCCAUCUACUCUGAUAGAAUUGGUAUGCAUGUAAAUGUUGUAGGAAAAAAUUGCAUUCCAUGUGUAAAGCCAUUAGCUCGGCAUGCAUUGUGAGAACAGUACAUUAAUGUAUUAUUAUUAUUAUUAUUUUCUUCGAGAAACUAUCCUACUCCCUCUGACCCAUAUUAAAUCUGCGACAAGUAAUAUGGGUCGGAGGGAGUAAUAGAUUUGGCAUACGUAAACAUCCAGAUUUAAUUCUCUAUAGCGCCACCGUCAUCAACUCAUCAUACAUGUCUUAAAAGUGAUGUAAGAAUAUCAUCCUCACUUCCACAGAAAGCUAGUUAACUUACGCACAGAAUUCACCAAAUAGCACUUCCAGUGUGAAAAGCAAAGUAACUUUCAACUUUGAUGAAAGACUUUCUGAAAAAGCAAAAUAAUAAAUAAGGUGUUUUUUAAAAUCUUACGUAUGCUCCGCCCCUUCAAGGCACCUAGUGCAUGUAGCCAGAAAAUACUCCCUACCAACAUCUCCACAUAUAUCACAAACAUUAACCUGGAGACAAUGGAAGCCAGAGAAGUAAGUGUUAUAAUAAUUGUAAUGACAAAAUACAAGUAGCAAAAAAGGCCAUGAAAUCAAAGCAUAAAAUAAAUUAAAAUCUCCAAGUAUAUGACAAGUCUUAAGACUUCAGUUAGGAGAUGAACCUAUAUGCAAAUACAGAACAAAAGGUUGCGCAUAAUAAAGAACCAGAAUACAUCUUCCCUUUCAAAAAGAAAAAGAAUACAUCUUCCCUGUCACCAAUUUUGCAUGAGUAGGAAUGUGGGAUAUCCUAUAUGCAAAUGCAGAACAAAAAGUUGCACAUAAUAAAGGACGAAAAUACAUCUUCCAUGUCGCCAAUCUUGCAUGAGUAGGAAAGUAGGAUAUAACAAUUAUAUUUCAUAGUACAAACUUCCAAUUGGGUGGGUUAUUAUAAGCACAAGAUUGCAUGUAAGAUUUUAAGUUAUAUUUUUCCAUGGAGGUUGCUAAUCCAAAAGAUAAUUCUAUGUACUGAACUAAAAAUAUUUACAUGGUCAUCAUGUGUAACUGAAAAUAUUCAACUAGCUGUGCUUUAUUCUAGCAUUUCAUAAUUUCAUGCAUUGCUCUGACGGUAUAAAUAGGAAUCCAAAUCAAUGUCCCUGAGGACUCAAACCCAGAUGGUGGGAUUGUGCAUUUACUCCUCCGCCAAGUGAGCUAAGGACAGAAGACUACGUGGCUUCAAGCUUAAACUUGAAACUUCACCACUUCAAUCUAUCUUCCGCAUGAAACAAUCAAACAAGUAUUGCUCAAUAACUGUCAACAGACUGUGAGGUGUUAAGUGUGUGUUACACACCAACUAAACAAUGGCCUGCAUAUUAAACCUUUGCGAACAACACUCCCGGUCAAGCCAAGCCCACCUUAAAACAAAACAAUUAUGGAUAUGUUACAUUCAACUUUUCGUCUAAACACAUGUUAAUUAGUAAUUAAGGUUCACUUGCAUAUUAACAUGGUUAUAGGAGUUACAUUUUGAGGAAGCACACAGUAGCAGGAAAAGAAAGAUCAGGAAAAUACUUACAUCUAUUAAGCUUUCUGAGUUCCCGCAGUCUGUCAUCACAUCAUUCUGUGUAUUCAACUCCCUACCACUCGACAUGUCCGUUGAUAAAUCUUCGUUCUGAUCUUGCUGAACAUUGUCAUUCCUCUUAGCAACAUCAUCAGAUUCGGUGUCAGCGUGCUCUUGACUGCCAUUCCUCAAGCAAGGGGUGCCACUUUCCAGAUCCUUUGAUGAAGAUCCAGCUUUGAUUUUAUUUCUGUUACUUGUACUGCAACUAGUCAGCAUGCCAUGCUUGUCACCACCAAUCACAGACAGGUUUGAUUUCCCUCCCAGUGAAUGAUCUACGUUAUUAUCUAAAAGAGGAACUUUGUCGUGAGGUUGUUGCACUAAAUUAUCUUGUGAAUUCCCUAAACCCUGGCUUGGUCUUUUAGGAGAUGAUCCUUGAGAUGCACUGGCAGAGGAGUUCCGGAGUAACUUUUUGAUCAGAAAUGAAGGAGAAUCUGCAGGAACUGAUCGAUCAGAUGAGCUAGGAUGCGUAAUGUGCACAUCAGAUCUCUUCUCAUGUGUAGAUUCUUCAGCACGGGAAUUUCUUAGUCCGUUGUGUCCAGAAAUGUUCUUGUCUUUGUAGUCCUUAACAGAAAGAUCACGACUUGAUGCAGAAGUAGAUAGUUUAUCCUUUCUAUCCAACAGUACUUUGUUUCCUGCUGAUGUACCAGUAACACAUGAGUUACUAUCAUCGUGACAAUCUUCUCUAGGUGACCUCGGAUCAUGAUUCAAUAGCCUUCUACGUUUUGCUGGCAUGUCUACCUCCGAAUCUGCUGCAACGGAUGACCUUGCCAUCGCCUUAUUUCCACCAUUUUCAGAAUAGGAAGCAUGGCUUGAAGUAGCACUGAAUUCAUCAUCAUUCUCUACUCCCUUGGCAUGGAGCCCUUUCCCAGUACGAACUAACAAACUGUUUUUUGAUUCUGACCUUGCACAGCACGUUUGAGAUGAUCCGCAGUCCAUAUUAGAAUCCACAGGUGUAAGACUUCUGUGUAGGCAGGAGGAGCAAGGAGCAGAACAGACAUUACAAUUGCCAGAUUCUGCCUUCACGCGAGGACUAUCGCUUGGCACUGGUCUUUUUGUUACUGUAGGGUUGUCCUGGCAAAAGGUGAACUCACAUCAAUGUUCAAAAUCAUUAUCUAAGAACAGCGUAAACAUAACGAAGAUAUGGAAGCCACAAAAAUGCACUUUAUAGUACAAACAAGAACAUAACAUGGGUUGGCUAGAUAGUACAUCCAUUUAACUGAUUACAAGAUCAGAUUAAGCAUUACUGGAAUUAACAAUCAUUAUAUUAUCUCGUUCUAAUUAGCAAGCUGCCAGUUUGACCUAAAAUGUAUUACCUUGAUCCAGAAACAUUUCUAAGACUAAGAAAUGAACUGUUUGGCAUACAUUGUUUGCUCCCUUUGCAUCCAUUGAUGUACACCAUACGUAUUCACAACACACAAAAUCAUGAUCACUAACCAAGUAAACAAAGGGCAUGAGAGUGUAGCAAAGAAAGAUCAUUGAAGGGUCCAGGUACUGUCAAGCAAGCGAGAUUAAGUCAUCCAAAAGUAGGAGAUGCACUCAUCACAUAUUCAUAUAACCCUUACUGUACAGCAUUAUGGGAUCAGAAUCACCUCCAAGCAUCUGAUACCACAACAGCUAAACCACAGGCCAAUAGCAUAAACACCGGACCCAUAAACACCGAGGAAUAAUCUUAGACUAAACUCAGGCAUCAGAUCAUCAGAACAACAUGCAGAUUUGUACGAAAUUCUGAAAGAACCAGAAUAUUUCCCUGCAUAUUCAGGGAAAACCACACACUGGUAAUGCUCACCUCAAUCUUGGGGGCCACUUCACGCUGUUCGGACCCCUCCGCCCGUCCUGCACCACCGCGUCGGCGUUCCUUGGCCGAUUCCUGAAAAUCACAAACAAAAAAAUAUGACACCGCACGUCAAUCACCAAACCCUUGGUGCUGCAACUCACCUAAUCUCUCAGAUUGACGCCUAAAUCGGUGAGAAAAUAAUACCACAGAUCAUAUGGGGGAGAUUCAACUAGAGGGAAUCCAUCAAAUCCGAUCGCCUCUCGCAAAAUCGCAUCGCCCCCCACACAAAACGCGAAAAAAAAUAAAACCUAAGGACACCCAGGAACGCGCACCGAUAACCAAACCUCGAAUCGCGAAACCCCAACGCCGCCGAUCUCCAAUCCCAUCCCCAUCCAAUCGCCCGCGAAAGGGUUAUUAAAACCCACGGCCGCCGCCGCCUCCGCAAUCAACAGCCGAACGGAAUCGGCAGGGGGGAGAUAGAACGAACGAACGAACGAACAUGGGCGGCUGAUGUACGUACCUCGGGGAGCGCGAGAUCCUUGUGGCGCGUGCGAUCGUAGAGAUCCCUCAUGGUGCGCUCCUGCGGCGCCCUCAUGCCCGGCCCCACCCACCCCCCUCGCCGAUCGGAACGCCCCCUACCUCCCGGCGGCGAGCGGCGCGGCGCCGACCAUGGCCGUCCAAGAGGAGAGAGAUGGAGAUUGGUUUCGCUCGGUCUAGCGUGGGAAGGAGCACAGCGGAGCGGAGCCGAGGAGAGAAGGAGAGGGGAUGAGAGAGAGAGAGAGAGAGAGAGAGAGAGUGCCCCUGUGUGAGUUUUGGAGUCCUCGGGAGAGGCGGACGGUGACGCGACCGGGGAGCAAGCAAAGGAGGGGGGGUCAGGUCAGGGCAGGGGGAAAUGAAACGGGACGGGAACGAGGAUGAUGGGCCGGUGGGCCCGCUCGCUCAGUCGCACGUACGUACGUAAGCCCGUCGCGGCGGAUUUCCAAUGGCUUUUUCGUUUUCUCAGAAAUGUUUAUACUCCUCAAAAGGCACGAGGUAUCGCAAAUAAUUUAUUUUUACGAGAGGUUACUUAACUUAACCCCGUAAUUUAUACGGUAAAUAAACGAAUACAUAUGUUUUUUUUACAUUCUGCUCAUAAAUCUAAACUUGGAUAUAGAGAAAUGCCAUAAUGACUUGCUUUCUUUUGCUGGCCUGCUCCAAACUUGGUGAUAGAUAAAUACAAUAAAGGCCAUAUGUUAACCUCCUGCCUUUUAUAUGCUCCCUCAAUCUGUACGCUGCAAAUGGCAUACAAGUAACUCAUCCGUCCAAAAAUAAAUGUCGAAUUUUUGUCUAGAUACGUAUUAUGUAUCUAGAUAUACGUAUCUAAACACGUUUCUCGUGUAGAUUCACUCAUUUUGAAAUAAAAUUAUAACACUUAUUUUGGUAUGAACUACUGUGAAGAAAGUAAUCCAUACUAGUAGUAUUUUUCCUGUCUGUAAUUUGAUCUUGCUAAUUAAUCCACCCCGCGCGCGUACCUCCGUGCGUUAUCUCGCCGAGUUAAGAGCACCUACGAACGUACGUACUAUACGUACCUAUUACGACGCAGUUUGAUACGGAGUAUGUCGUUUAUUUCAAUGCAAAAUCGGUAGAAAUAUUGAUGUUACGCAUGCAUGUGGUCAGUACGUACAUACAGAUCGAUCAUAAGCACGUACUCCGUACUACGUACUACGUACAGAAGAACGCAUGUACGUACGCGCACAUGUGCCCGCACUGACCGACGUACCAGAGUUUCGACUCCGCGCGCUUCUGUCUCUAUGUAUGCAUGGACGACUUGCGAGUACGUCUUCGAUCGUUUCUCAAAACAAAACAUAAAGUACUCGUAUGUGUACUGACAAAGAAUCAUGCAAGACCACGGCAACACGCUUAGCUGCAACAAUAUUCUAACUCGAUCUCUAUCUACACUUACCAGAGUGGUUACUAGUGACUAUGUACGGCCUAGAUCAUCGAUCGAAAGAAAACACAAGGCUGGCUCGAUCGGUCUAGCUAUAGCUAGCUGGUUAUAAUAGUUGCGUGGAUUUCUAUUGCAAAAUGUCCGAGCAAGCUGAUCAUGAGUAUGUGUGCUCGGUCCAGGUGCACGAGUCCAGUCCACGCCUCACGUUGGAGCCAGCUGUUUGCCUCGCCGGCCCCAGCUUUUCUCGAUAUUUACGACUUGCUCGCUCCGUUCUUAAAUAAUUGUCGCUGUUUUGUUUUAGUGUAAAUUUGUAUAAAACAGCGACAAGUAUUUAGAAACGGAAAGAGUAAAAUUUUUUUCAGGUUUAUAUUUACAACUUACGUAUACAAGUUAAUACAGUAAAACUAGAAUUCGUACUAUGUAUGAGCUGGAUCUAUCCUCAUCAAACAGGAGCUAUAGCUGCGUGUCAGUUUCUUUGUACUCAUAUACGUACACACGCAAAGCAAAUGUACAUGUAGUGUACAUGCAUGCUAUACGUAUCCGCAUGGUAAAGAAGAACGAAAAGUCUAUAGUGCAUGGCUUCAUGCCAUCGAGUGAACGAGGAACAAGAUUCUGCGUCCCGUCCACGUGCCACGAAAUGACACGUUGCCUUAUCUCGAACCACGUCUCCGAUCUCCCCCCUUCUCUCCUUUUUUUUCACCACCUGUUACCAUGCAACUUGCAAGGCAUCUUUCAUCGCCAUCCUCCCAAGUAUACGUAGCUUUAUUUUCUUGUAGAUAGGUAGGCAGGAAAUUACUAUAAGUAUAUAUGGUGCCGGUGCUGUGCAUGCACAUUCUUUUUUCCAACGAAAAGCAAGAACUUGUGGCGAAAAGUUACCCGAUGCUUACUUGCACGCACACGACAUGCCCAAAUUAGCAUGUAGGAGUAGAAUUUUAUUUUUUUCAGACCCUACCGCGAGGUCCGCGACAGUAAUAUAUAGAGCUAUUCAGUACCGACAGAUGCGCAAACACACUUGCGCUGUCCACUGACAAAAUGGUCCAACCAAGCGCGUGGUCCCACUUGUCGGUCAGCUGUAUGAUGAAUGGAUAGGUGAACGAGGGAAAUACUAGGGCGGGGGGACAUGGGUGGGGGAAGGAUCAGACGUGUUUCACAAGGUAUCCCCGUAGAGUACAGUGACCAUCCCUGACACGUGGUCGGCCAUGCUUUCUUCGUAAACAAGUAUAGUACGCGAGCAUGCAAUGCCCCUGUGAUUGACUAAAUCAUUUUAACCCCCUUUCUCAACGGACAAUGAAACAAUAUUUCUAGGUGGAUUUCAUACAAGUUGGAUAUCAUCUUAUUAGAAACAAUAUUUCUAGCUACUACUUUUCUCGUAUAGUAUUAAUUGGCCUGGAUUUAAUAAAAUUAAUAUGGAACGGAGAAAUUACUGGUUGUUCCAUUAUCCAGAAAAUGGUCAUAUACACAGCUGAGAAUCAGUUUUUUUUGUUUUGUUAUCUAGGAGUAUCGCGUUAGAUGAUGAUAGCUAGACACGCAGAUAAACGUCCAGUCCGAUCACGACCCACGAAAGCGAGGAGGAAUUCGUAUAACCAAGCAAGAAGGAAAUCUACACACUCGGUGCAUGAGCAUCCAGAUCCAGGCCAGGCAGACGUCUGAGAGUCAUCAUCAGAUGCAAUCAAUCACAUCAAGUCAAAAUCACAUCAUCGAUCAAUUGCUUAGCGUCCUACUACAAAUGUCUAGCUAGCCUAAGCAUUCAUAGCCUAAUUCUGAUCAUCAAAAGAAAGAGCAUGCAUAAAUAUAAGCAUAGGGGCAUAUAGCCCUCGUUGAGUAUGGGGUUAUCUUUCGUAGUAGUACUACGCCGUGACUGCCCUAGCAUGGAGCGGCGUGCUUCGUGACGGUUGCGCGGUGCAGAGGUACGGAGUACUAGGCAUUUUCAUGGCGGCCGGCGGAUCGGGCAACGUGGCAGACGGGUCCACUGGUGGUUGACACGUGGAGGUCCUCUCCUGCCACACCGUACACGUAGAGUACGUUCGAACCGUAGAGCCGGAUGCGUGGGCAGCCUGCCCGGCCGCCUUCCAGAAGCCCUGGCCGGCGCGCGGCGGGCCUCAGAUCCGCCGCUGCCACGCGCGAGGAAUUGCAUUCUUUGUUGGAGCGGUGCUAGCUGUGUGUACGCAUGCACGAUGGCGCGCACGUACGUACGGAACGGCAGCGGGAGAGAUCAUGCAUGGUUGCAUGCAUGCAUGGACACUGCUCGAGUGCUAAGCUGGACGAUGGUUACAAUAAGCCAGCCAGCAGCCAGGACAGCACGAGUGAUCGAUGGAGUAGCUAGCUAGAAGGGCAUGCAUACAUUAUUCCGGCCGGCUUUACACGUACCUGCUGGCUGCUGGCUUGCUGCGCGUGCUUACAUGUUACGAGCUGGCUAUAUAUGGCUACGUCGAUCCGUCGAUUUACAAUAAUUAAUUAGAUUAUAUGUUAAUUUGUACUACUCCUCCGUUCUGCUCCCUCCGUCCUAUAUUAAGUGUCCAAGUAUUACAUGUAUUUGGACGCUUUUUAGGUGUAGAUACAUUCAUAUAUGAACAAAUUUGAGACAUUUAAUAUGGGACGGAGGGAAUAAAAUAAAUGACUUGGAUAUGUAUAGAUUCUUAUUAAAAUCCACAUCAUUUAUUUUGGGACGAAGGAAGUACAUACGUGAUUAGUAUGUUUUGUGUUCUAAAACUGUAUAGUACUACGUUACUACGUACUCCUAUAAAUGUACAGAGUUAGGAGGACUAGAUCACGCUCUUCGUGCCUAUAGGGAUCGAUCCCCAGUGAUACAGGAUAUACAUACACCCAUAAUAAAACGUAGCGCACCGUCAAAAUUAAGAGAAGCGUAAGGCGCUGUGGCUUGCAGCUUUCAACUGUACCCUUUGAUGAACGAAUUAACGCGUUUAUAUUAGAGAGAGAGACAGACAAGGUGGACGGCUGGGCCAAAUAAUUAAGGCGGCCGGCCCGGCGACGAAUCACGUCGACGAAGAAUUAGCUACGGAAGAUUGAUUUUCGACAUACGUGUUGGAAAAGUUUGACAGGUCAGAGAAAGCAGAGGCUGCUAUACAGAAUGGACGUGGCUCCUGACGGAGAGCGCGUUGACGUAUUAAUCAGGGACUACCUAUAUACGUAUGCAAAACUUCACUGUAAACCACUUUUGCCGAUUAUUACUUAAUUGUAUGAUCGAGUAGGUACGAAUAUAUAUAGGUUGGAGAAUUGUCAGAAAAGAGAAGAGAGAUCAGUAGGUACGUAUAGCUAGGUUGGAGAAUGGAGACAUAUAUACGUACACGUCGAUUGAUAUUUGAUUCGAUUCGAUCGACAGGCCAGUAAUGAAUCCGUCCGUCCGCGAGCAAAGUCCAACGUCAUAAUUAACAGGCCUCCAUUAAAUUUAUCUGACAAGAUAUACACACUGCAGUACGUAUCCUAGAUCGAAAAAGAGAGGGGGAAAGCGCCACGAUGUGAUAGUACGGCACAUUACAUACGCGUAUGCAGAGCUUGUAGGACCGGCCUCUAUACCACGCUCCUUUUCUCUCUCACACGCACGAAUUAAAGGGGUGGUCUGUGGUCAUAUAUAAUUGAUGAUUUUUCUUAUUUGUCUCAGACUUAGUACUAAUUCGUACUAGCUUUGUACAAAACUUGAGCCAAGUAUUAUGAAUCGUGGUAUAAUUUACGUACAAAAUUUAGUUAAAAGGUGUUAAGGGCGGUUGCGAUCUGCGCUCUAUUCAUGAUGCAUGCCGCGUGGAUCAGCUAGCUAGCCAGAGGAUUUUCUUUUUCUCAAGUGAAGUACUCAACGGGGACGGGGAUCAUCACGCGUACACAUCCAAGCAAGUCGCGGCUAAUGCACGAGGGUAACGUACGUACAAAGUACACGGCACAUCGCUAGCUUGAUUAAUCAAUACAAACACGCACGCAUCUCUCGUACGCCUCAUAAAAUCCAUCACCCCGAUCACGCGGUGCGUGCAUGUAGCCAUACAGCAGGCCGGCCGGCCGGAGGGCCGGAGAAGGGCCGGGCGCGGGCGGUGUCGGUGAGACGACUCGACCAGUCGACCGGCCAGAAAGUCGUCGUCGUCGUUGCUUAAACUGGGUGCAUGCAUGCGUCGACACACGCGUAAAUUAACUGCAUGCCGAUCGACUCACCCCCAACUUCAUUCUCCGACUGUACGCAGUCCUCGCCAAAAGGGGUGGUUCUUAACUCGCCAAACCGUAGCUGCUGCUAACUUUCAAAUCCUUUUAGAAAAAACAACACCGGCUAGCCUGCUGCUUUUGCGUCCCUAGCUACGUGCCAUGCACGUUGUUGUGAGAUACGGUAAGCUAGCGCGUGUAUAUAUAUAUAUAUAUAUCUCAUGGAUGUGAACGCCGGUGACGGACUGACGGAUAACCUCAAAAGAGAAGCAGGACCAGACCAUACGCUGAAAGGGAAAUGUCAGGAGAACUUCCCGGAGCGGAGUAACUGUGUUAGAUGAGUAUACAAAUUAAGUGCUGGGGCCGCGCUAGCUAGUGGUUGGUUUUAAUUUCAGUUCCAUCGGUGCAUGCGAUGAUACGCACGUGCACGCGCGCAUGCAUGCCGCGCGUGUUGCCGGCCGUUUUAUUCCCACGCUCGUGUUUUUUCUUUGUUCUGCAUGUAUACGGAGCUUCCUGCUCGUGGUUGGAAUAAGUAAAUCCAUACGGCCUCAAGCAGACAAGCAGCAAUUUGCAUGGUUCAUAUCCGGAAAUUAAGUUGGGUUUCCGGCUUCCUGUGUACUUAUCGAUGAAGCUCUUGCGCAUUUGACAUGGCAGGCCGGGCAUGCAUGCAAGCCUUUUUUGACUACUUCUAUGCUUGAAUCAAUCUUCGCAUCUCUGGCAUUCUUGAAAAAAUCUUCGCAUCUCUGGUCAUUAGCUAGCCAGCUGGCCUUGCAAGAAGUGAUAGCUAAAAUAGCAUGGUGUAUUUGGUGGGAAUGGCAUUAGUUUGUUCACGGUGAGCAGGUGCAUAUUCAUCUCGCUCUCUCCCAUAGCCAUUAGUUCUCGUGGCGAACGUACAAUUCGAAGAAAGCCCGGGAUAAAGAUUCAAGGACGGGCUCGUCCUUUUGCAGGCACGACGAAGCUUAAUGUGGCUGCGGGUUUCAAUCGAUGCGGAUACAAUCUGAAUCAUGCCUGCUAUCUGGUGGAGACUCCGAAGGAUUGGCAGCAACGAUCUUUGGUACUCACGAGUCACGAGUAACUGUUUACCUUGCGAGAGAUUAAUUUGUUAAGGCAAUGCGUGGAAUGGGGAGAAUUCUAGUAAUCUUCCAAUCCAUAAAAAAUAUUGUCCACUUGGUAUAAAAUUGUACUAACUUAAUAUAAAAUCGACGACAUUUUUUAUGAAUCGGAGGGAGUAUAACUCAUCUAAAGCUUCUUGUUCUCCAUCAGGAUAUUAUGGUGAGGUGAUCCCCAAAUUUCAUUGUCGAUCUGAUGAUGGAAGAAGUAAUAUUGUUCACGAGUUACUAAAGGUGGUUUAAAAUAAAGUUUAUACAGGGAAAGAAAACUCUUCGAAAUUGUCAGGUUGGGCUUUGUUGUGCUCGAGCCGGCCCAAGCAAUGCCUGGUCAAAUAUGAAUAGCAAAAAUAAAUUAGAUUCUAAAAAACGUUGAAGAAUCAAAUUUUAGUAAAGAAUCGUAAUGACCCACUCUGAAAGCAAGAGAAGAAUCAUUCGUGAGGUGUGUAGGGACGCGUGACAUGAGAGAAGGAGGGAGGAAAGUUUCUCUCACGUGAUGUUGACUUGACCGAAUCAUACGAUGCGGAGCACAGCACAGCACAUCACGUAUUAAUAUGAGCAAAAAUACAAUAUAGGCAGUUAGCGCGCGAGAAUUCGUCCCGCCAUGGAGGCCACCUGCCUCCCAUACUGACAAGAGAUAAAGGUGAGAUCAACAUACGGAUUUGUCACAUGACUGUCUUAUAUUAUAUGAUGUGGCAAGGAAAAGCCAGCUGCACCUCCCCUUGCAUUUCGCAUUUAUCCACGUUUAAUUACUCUUUCCAUUCUAAAACACAACUCAUAUAGAUUUUUUUUCAUUUGUUUCACAAUACACCUCGUUUUUCUUUUGAAACCCGCACCCGGCCAAUAACUACUUACAUCCAUUUACUAUUAAUCCAAUAUGAAUGGUCAGACACUAUAAACGAGAGCUGACUUGGUCCAAAUGCACAAAUCUAUAUGACUUGUGUUUUGGAAACGUAGGGAGCAUGUGUGACCUGUAAUUUCCCAGAGUCCAAUCCAGGUUUUAAAAUCGAAGCUUUUGAUCUGUGAAGUGCAUGGCAUCAGAUUAUCUACACAUCAACGCAUGUGUUUGUCUCAUGCACCGACCUAUGGAUAAACUGGUCCGUUCGCGUGAGGUUAGAAAUAGAAAGUUGGGUGUGCUGAAGAUAUUCCAGGCGACGGUUCCUGCACGGGUAUGAGAAGAACAUCAUUUGUUUUAGGGGACGAGAAGAACAUCUUGUCGGUGGUUAAGGCCCCCUUAUUUAAAGGAAUUCCGAAGGAUCUUUGGAGGAUUUUGAAUCCUCAGGAAUUUUUCCUACGUGGUUUCGUUUGAUUCGAACGAUUACAAACUAUAGGAAACUUUUCUUGGCGUUCAUUUCUACUAGGUUUUGUAGAAAGAAUUCCAUCCAAUCCAAUCUCAUUGUAAGAAUCCUAUGUUUUUUUUUGCACAAUCAAACAUCAUCUAAUUACUGUAUUAUUGAAGAUGACAUGUCACUUUGACCCUGUAUUUUUCCUAUUCCUGCAUUUUGAAAAUCCUGUGAAUCAAAGAGGCCCUAAGUGGUUUCAAGGGGUACGAGUUAAGGUCUAUAAGGGGAGACAUGCAUCAACAAAGAACACUCAAAGAAAACAUUUUCUUCUUCUUUGUGCUUGCGAUCUUCGAGUCUCACCCUGCCGUGCAGCAAACAAGGAAAGCACUAGUCGACGGAUUGUCCCCGACAACCAAGUUUGUAGGAAAUGCUCCGUUCAUGUUCUCCAUCUCCUCUUCCCAUCGUUGUCUUCUUCCUAUAAGUAUGAUCACAUCACUAACUCUCCAUCAUUACUAACUUCGUACAAAAUGUCUGACGCUUAUUAUGGAUCGGAGGGAUUAAUUUUGCACUAGAUGUCCGAUACUUAUUAUGGAUGGGAGGAAGUAUCAUGUUUCAUUCUAUUUUAGAUGUGAUCAGGUCGUUGGUCGGCGCAUGUCGGAACUAGUUUGUUCAAUGUUUAUGGCGAUGAUUCAUGCAGUAAUAGCUUUUGUUUUACAACUGCUAGUAGAUAUUUUGUAGAUGUAUCUAUAUUAUCUUCUUUGGUUCGUAUGUUCGUAAUUCUUUCUUUUUUUUGCGUAUGUUCGUAAUUCUAUUCAUGUUGGAUCUUGCAUUACUUCCAACGACACUCGUCUCUCAUUAGAGCGUUCAUCCAACGGUGAGAAAUGGUUUCCACCUGAAUACUCUGUAGGUAGUACAUAAUUCAGAAUAUAAUACAGAGUGAAGAGAGAGAAAAAACGGAGUGAUGUCUACGGCGCGGUUGGAAGCAACAAAUGAAAGCGAUGGACGGUGCACAUGCUAUUUGUUUUCUCUUCAGUAAUUGAAGUCGCUGGAUUUUAUAUUCGUCGUUGGAUCAAGACACGUCAACUGCUCCUUUUUUGGUCUUAUAUAUUGCAGCAAAGAGUCCUAAAGAAAGUUACGAGGGUCUUACUGUAGUGUUCCAGUGAGCUGUCAAUUGGCGGCUACUGAAGAGAAAAAUAAUGUACAAAAUGCAGCCGCUUCUGUCAGCUAAUGUAUGUCGUUCAUGACUUUUGCGACACCCAUUCAAAGACUUCGACUGACUUUCAGCCUAAGGUGCUGCAUACCAAUGCCAAUGGGCCGCUCUCGAGGGCCCUUCUGCCAGUGGGCCGUGCAAACACAGCUAUCGUCGCACUGUUAGAAGCCGAAGCCACUUGGAGAGCAACCUUUGACCUAAAGAAAAUAAAUUUGGAGAGCAACGUCGGCAAGGAUUACCCCCCUGUGCUAAAAAAAGCAAGGAUUAUCACUGGAGACUUCUUCAACAGUUCUCUUUUUCUUUGGAGGAGUUCAACAGUCCUCUUUGGUCCAGUUUUUUUUAAUAAAAAACUUCCUAUAACUACAGGCCAUCCAGAGUUUUCUUUUGUAGUAAUGAGUGAAUUUACAAUGCGUAUUUCAUAUUUAUUUCAUCAGUUGUCUCGGACUGGAGAUGAUAUGCUACUCGGGAUUGAUAACCGUCCACUCGUCCAGGCUUGUUGAAUCCUCCACAUGAAACUCCAAGCAAAGCUUUGAGAACAAUUCUUCUACCAUGAGAACGUCUGGUGGGUAGGUUCAAAUCUUAGCACUGUGGAUCAUCAACCUUGGAGAAAUAUUUUUUUCAACUGCCACAUCGUGCACCUGAUCCAAACUUGGAGGCAUCCACUGCAAUUUCAAUAUGAUCCAUAUUCUGAGAACCAUUGUACAUUUGAAGUAAUAUAUGUGACCUUUGGGUUUCGAUCUUUAUCAACUAAUAUAGCCCUGCAUCCCUGCAACAGUAAUCCGGUUUUAGAUAUAUAUGAUCCCAAAUAAACAAGACCUCAAAGAAGUCUCUACUAAAGUCACCUCGCAUCACAUGGCAAACCAUUCUAUAUUCUCGACACAAGCAUUCGCCAAGUCUGCAGUCUUCCUUCUCUUAUCUGAAAUGACAAUCACAGAAAAAAAAAGUAAGAGCCCACAUAGAAAUGGGAUAUGCAUGAAAACUCACUUAGUUUAACAUCUCAUUGAAAGCAAACUUGGUUCACGAAUUGGUGAAACUACACAGUUCUUCAGAAGUUCUGAAGUAAAACUAAGACUUUUGGUACUGAUGCUUUUUUUAUAAUACUAAUGGUGUUUGGUGCAGCCAAAUUACUUUUUCAUGAGCAAAAGCAAAUAAGCUUAAUAUGUAAUGAUUCUGCUUGAGGUAGGAACUGGUCCAAGGUAGACCAUAUGAUAUUAUUAUGCUCAGAGCUGAUGGGUAUCUAACUGGAAUAGGCUAGAAGGUGAUAUAGAGAACACCACAAGUAGAUGAUCUGGAAAAUUGGCAGGAGUUGUAAAUUGUAACAAAAAUAAAUGCAAGAGGGGACAAGGAAGUUGAGAUGGGGUAGCUGAGCAGGGAGGUGGAAAGAGGGACAAGGCUGGAUCCAGUUAAGUGUGCACCGGUCUCACGAGUAGACACAAAGCAUCAUGACAUUGAGAAUAAAUUUGGUGGUAACUGCAGAUUUAAAAAAAUGAACAAAUCAACCAGUCCUUUUGUUAUGCGCCGGCAGUUGUGCAGAUAGCCAGAACACUACAUAGAUGCUGGGAUCCCACACUAUCAAUUCCAAGGCUUUUCAACUCAUAUGCCUGAACUCACAAUUGGUCCAUGCAAACUGAUACAUAUAUGGGAUUUAUCGAUCGUGCAAAAACACAGGAACCAAAGUUCAGCAGAUAGGACACUUGGAACCACUCAGCAAUUGGAACGUGGCUGUUGGAUUACCUUCUCAGAGACUGUGUGUAGAACCAGACCUACAUCUGAUUCGGACUCUUCCAGGUAGUCCUAGGUGAGUCAGCUCAGUGCUCCAAUUAAAGGUCGCGUCAGACUGAAGUAGGAAUCAUGUACUCCUAUUAGGAAUAAAAACAAGCCCAUCUAAGUCAACACCAGAGUCAACAUCGAAGUCGUCUAGACUACUGUCUAUAUAAUGGGGAUGGACACCCUAUAAUGGAAAUCAAUGAACAGCUUAGUUCCAUAUCUAUGUGUUAUUUGAAUUUUGGCCAGGACCUCUGGCUUCCAAUGUAGAAGGAGACGAGCACCCGUGCCAAGCUUGGGUUUGAAGCGGGUGAGGUGGCUUGACCACCAACCUAUGGUCAGCUAGGCCAUCAGGGUGCCACAAGGGUCGAGGUCCCCAGCAUCCUAAGGUCCUACCUAGCACAACUACUGCAUUCGAUCAAUACUAUACCAAGCAAUAGAGAUAUUCAGUAGAUGAAAUCAUAUCAAGGGUCAAUGGAUCAAACCAACCAUCAAUUACUAUUGAAUAACAUAACAUGCCAAGACAAUAAAACAAUUGACUAAAAUUAUAUGGAUAAUGAUGUUUUGGAAGUGUUUGAAAGAUACCGAUGCGAGAACAGAUUUUCAGACUAGUAGGAGAAGCCUUCGGCAAUGAUCGGAUUGCAGCAGUUAUCCAUCCAUCAGCCGCACUUGGAGCUUCCUAUUCCUGACAUGAUAGAUACCAAAUUUAGUAGGACAAAACACAUAAAUUCAUAAAAGCCACAAUUAACUCCAGGAGAACUCACAGAGCGGAUAUUAUUUCUUCGACUGUUCUUUCCGAGAAGCAUUUGUUGAUGACUUCCAGUCUUGGGGCACAAAAGAAGUGGAAGUAACAACGAGAGGAAUCAGGCAUAAUUGAUCCAAGCAUCAGUACAUAACCUUAAUUACAGGGCAACAUGGACUUCGGCUAGUAUAUAGAUGGGCCUUAGGACCAAAUUAAAACACAAUGACAAAAGCAAGUGUAAAUGAUCACUUCAGAUUAUUCAUGCAUUGCUAGUUUAAAUCAGUUGGAACAUAAUGUUAGGAAGUCUUAUGGACAAGCAAGCUGUCAUGUUGCAGAACUUAUAAUUAAUGAGCAAUUAGACAAACUGUUUUUUUACAACACAUGAUUAUGUCAGAGGCAAUUUUCAUACGACAUGUCAGCAGAAAAAAGAUGUCAAGGAUAUCUUGUCAGAGGCAAACCUAUGCCAUAUCUUAUGCAUGCAAAGGACAGAGCAUGUGCAUAACAACUUCUCUUUCUUGACCAAUAUAAACUCCACAUGCAUUCCUGAAUAUAAUUCCACAUACAUGAAUAGAUAAUACAAUUGCCCACCUACCUAUUCAGAGUGCUGCUUUCUUUCAGGGAUGGCUGUUGUGAGAACUGAUCGAUAAUGCCACAGACUUCAAAUGGGUCAGAAGUGUCCACCUUUUUAAGCGAUUCUUCAAGCAAUGACAUCCUCUGGAAAAAAAAACACUAGCAUGAAGGUCAACUAAAUAUCAACAACGUUAGCAAAGCAUGUGCGUAGCAUAGUAAUACAAAUCUGGACCACAAUAUAGGAAUGAAAAUCAUACAGUAACUGAAAGCAUGUAAGAAAAAAAAAACACAUAUUGCUCAACUUUCCAAGGAUGUAAGGAACAAGCACACGGUGAUGCAGCGAACAUCAAAUUUAAAUUAUCAGCAAACUUACAUUCAAAUGGACAAAAUGAGUUGCCAGGCCACAUGCAAGCAUUUCCGCACCAUCUAAUCUUGCACCAGUAAGACCAACAUAUUCUCCUGGAGAAAGACGUCAUUAACAGUUUAGUAAAAAAAAACAACAUAUUUCUCCUGGAGAAAGAUGUCAUUAGCAGUUUAAUGAAAAACUGUCUUCCAGGAUAAUUCUGCAAAAUCAACCUAAGAGUGUGUAUAACCAAUUGACAAAUGAUCCUUGACUCAAGUUGAACUAACCAACCUUAGAGAACCAGUGAAGUUAAAUAGACAUUCAGAACUUUGGCUACAUAUAUUUCCACAACCAUGCAGCAUGAAGAUAGUUUUAGUUUUCUAUGAGAUAAACUGAAGACUGAGAACCAGUGAAAUUUAAAGGCAUCCAGAUUUUUAUUUUUAUUUUUCUACAUAUAUUUCUAAUGCCUACCUGAAGCAUACCUUUUCCAUAAUUUCAUAGGUGUUUUUCAUUAGAAGCACCACGGAUCAAAAUCAAAUAAGGACAUGGUCAUUCAAAAGAGUUAUUUUAAGGAUAAUAAACGAAAAUUCCUCAGCAAUGUAAAAAAAAUGAAUAUAGCAGUACACAAACUAAUUUAAUAGUUGCAGAUUAAGUUGGUAUGACAUAUGAUUAUGUGUCAAAAAUCAAUUGAAUACUGAAGAUAUGAGAGAAAAGGUUACCAUAGAACCCAGGUAGUUUAGAAAAAAAAAGACCCUAGAUCUGGAAAGAGUCCCAAUACUGUUUCUGGCAUGCAAAAACAUGCAUAGACAUUUCAAUACAUGAACUCAAAUUUUGGUGCAUACAAACAUGCUGGUUAUCCAUAAAAAGGCAUCAAGAAAGCAAUCUUCCUACUAAUUACAAGAGCUGCAAGCACAGACAGGUAAGUGGCGAGUUGACUACAUGAUUACCGACCUAACUGUGAGACCUGACAAACAAGUUAGCACCUAAAAAAACAUCAAAAACAUGAGAAAUGGUUGGCUGAGAAAAGGCACAAAGAAGAGUAAGCACUUAGCCAUGAAUUAAUAAUUCUUGGUCAAGUACUUUGUGCCAACAUGGAGUAUAAUCUCCAUAACUUAUAUUUGACAUGCAUACAUCGCGGUGCAAUACAAGCACCAGUAAACAGUAUACAUAUGAGUGCCAGUGGCGGAUCUAGGAAUUCAACAGUGGGGGUGCCAUGCUUAAUAUCUAUUAAAAAAAUGUCGCAUUCAAACAUUGCAAAUUUAACACACAAAUUAAAACUUGUUAUAAUUACAAUACAAGUAGUUUAAUACAGUCACGGACAAUAGCAAUUGCAAUAAAAAGGUUCAAAAUGUGGGAAAAGCCGAUUUAAAACUUUAAGUUUAAAAUACUCUACAUGUUUUUAGCGCCAUGAAAACCUUGACUACAUUGUCACCGGUUACUUCCAUGAAGAUAUCUUGCUCAAGAACCAAGCAAUUAUUCAACUAUGGAUCACCAGUACUAUUUCAAAGCCGCUCAAGAAAUGUGACCAAGCAAUCAUUCAACUAUUGAUCACCAGUACUAUUUCAAAGCUUAAUCUUCACUAGCUUCAUCGCGGAAUAUACUCUCUCAACACUAGCCGUCGUCCAUGUCUUCGCUGGUUCUGCCGUUGUGAGGUUUCGUGUGGGGAUGGGGGAUCGAUUGAUUCCUCUGGACUCAUCGACCGGGUCGUUGCUACGUGAAUGGCCCAGCUUAUUUGCUUGCUGGGCUAUUAGGAUGGGUGUUGGCCCAUAACGAAUUUGUUCCUUUGAUUGUUUCUGAUUUAUAGUUUUAAUCUCAAAUUAUCAUCUAAUACACCCAGGUUAAGUGUAACUUCUAUAUUUUCAAAAAAUCUGCAUUGUUUGGACACCCCCCGCUGGAUCCGCCCCUGAUGAGUGCGUGUAUACAGUAUCAUCAUAAAAUAUUUAAAAACGUGAAAUUGAAUAGGGUAAUAUGCAAUCAUUACACAGUUAUAGUACUGGACUGAGUGUGCGGGAACCCCAACUACAACCCUAAUUAAAAGAUCUAAGUAACGAGGGAAACAAAAUGCCUUUUGAGUUUUGUUCAGAAAAUAUAUACCGUGUUCUCCGUGGCAACUAGAAACCUUCCAUGUAUAGAAACCCCAGCACCUCCUCCCAUGACAAUUCCGGCAAGUAGAGAAACCUACAACCAAAUGUUGUAGCUUUUAGUAGUGUGCAAUAGAGACAUCAAUGAUUUUCUGGAGAAUAAAUUUCAAAGGAUGAAGCUCACCUGUGGUUUGAUAUAAGUUGCAAUGGUCUAGUUUAACAAAAAUUCAGUCCGGAAAAAAUCAGCACCAUAUUUCCAGGUAUCUAAUUUCAGAGAACAUACAGUCAGUCAAUGUCCGGAGUAACAAUAAAUGAAUAUAAAUAUUACUCCUAUGAUUGAAUCCGUGCAGGAGAAAAUAAAGGUGACAGAAGUAACAGCAAAAAUGCUGAAGCAAUCAGCUUUAGAUAUUCAACUAGCGCAAUACCCAUCAUUGCUAAGGAUUAAAAAUAGUUACACACUUGCACUACAUGUUGAACGAAAAUUUUAUACUACCAUUUAUUGUCUUAGAUCAAAUAAUCUAUAUCCGUUCUCAUCUUAACCUUUUGUGCCACUGUUGGCAUGGUCUGAAGGUGAUGGACCGCCGCCACCAACUGAGAUCUUUAUAAGAGUAAAGAUAUCCUCAAUGCAAGUAACGAGUACCAUUAUUUACAGACCGGGCAACUUCAGCAACAUCACCUCUACCUUUACCCUGGAAAAGGUGGUGAUUGAAUCGCAUAAAGAUAUGAUUUGUUAAAAUCGGCAAAGGAAGGGAUGGAGAUCAAUCUAAGAGAAUAUAACAUAAGAAUAGCCGGAAAUGAAAAAAAAAAUGAUCCAAACAACAAUAUCAACAGCAAACUAAAGAACAACCCAAGUCUCCCUCUGUUUCAUAAUAGAGAAAAGUCUAUUUUCAACCCUGAUCUUUAGACAAAGUCUGAAUUAGACCCAACCUUUUAAUCCCUGGAUUUUGAACCCUAACUUUACCGAUCCCGGUUAAUUAAAACCUUUAAUCCCAGAAGUCGUGUUUGGCCUUUGGCGGACCAGUUUAAUUGGCUUGGGCCGGGAUAGUCCCAAGACGGUGUUUUCUCUUAUCUCUCUUCUUUCUGGCAUCGACGCUCUAGCGUAUGUAUAGCGUGCGACGCUGACCAGUACUUUGCAGCAUGUAGAAACGACGUGAUACCUUUUCCUUGCUAUUUAUAUUAUCAUUUUGUCGAGUGGGCUGGCUUUGUGGAUCUUCUAUACUUUCGGGUCCAUAAAUCCGGCCAUGUAUAGUACAGUAUGUUUACUGUAGGCAUAUACAUAGACCAUAGCUUGCAUGAAGCCAUGAGGCCCAUGAACUGAAGUCUAUAGUUACGUGCUAGGUUGUACUUGACAGCUAAAUGAUCAUCGAGUCUGCCAAACAGGAUUCCCGGGAUUAAGGGGAUAUUUGACCGGGAUCAGUAAGGUUAGGGUUCGAAAUUCAGGGAUUAAGAGGUUAGGGUCUAAUUCAGACUUUAUCUACAAGAUCAGGGUUGAAAAUAGACUUUUCUCUUCAUAAUAUAAAGACUAUUUCGUUUCCUUUGACCAAAAUUACUCCAUUAACAUGUAAUUUAUGUGAUAUAAAAUUGAUAUCAUUGUAUUCGUAUUCAGAAGUGCUUACUUAUGGUUAUAAUUUAUACCACAUGAGUCACAUGUUAAAGAAGUAAUUCUUGGUCAAAUCCUCGGUCAAAAGAAAUGAAAUACGCCUUAUAUUUUGGAGCUGAGGGAGCUAAAUGUGAAAUUGUUAAAAGAAGACAAUAUGCCAUACACUUCAAAUCAGCAAUGAGUACGGACGGAAAAAAAUGAGUGCAAGGCUCAGAAAACAAACGAUACUAGCACCAUAAUUGUUUGACUAAGCACAGCAUUGUUACUUACAGCUCCUCGAUUUUGAGAGAACUGAUUGGGUGACUGUUUCACUGCGACUUUCUUAUUACUCGGUAAUUUCUAUUUCGACUUAUGUGUUAAUAGACAGCAUCCUAAUAUUCAAAGGUGAGGCCCAGGUUACAGGACCAAAAAACAAGACAUCCACAAGCUACAUUUAAGAACUAAAUCAAAUAUUAAAUGAUAAUAGACAUGCAGUGGUAUCCGUUACCUUCGCAAUCAACAGUUUAACUGCAUUUUUUUUCCUCGUAAGAAUUGACACACCUCAGAAGUCCUGUAAACUGGAGGACAAUAACAGAAUUUUUGCCUCAGCCUUUCUAAAAGCAAGUGUGGCCACUAUUUCUACAUGCUAUAGUACUAGUAGAAAUCAUAACAAAACUCCCUUGCAGACAUACCAUUGCAGAGGAGAGGGCAUUCAACUGCCUUGGCCUAUUGAAAAUCAAUGUCCGUGUACAGCCUUUUGCUUCCAACAGUACCUGGCAAAUUGAGGGUGGAUACAAGGCUCAUUAUUUAUUUAUUUUGAGGAAAAAUGCUCGUUAUUUUGCGGUGAAAUCUAUUAGAGGUCCUUACAUGAAAAUUGAGUGCAAGAUAGCAUCAGGGAAAAGAUGGAGAUUGUAAAAGGCAAUAAGUUUGACAAUACAGCCAAUUAUUAUAUGAAACAACACAGCAUUGCUUGGUCAUUAAAAAGCAUGCAGACCCUUGGAAGCAUAGUGAGCAUCCUAGAACUAGCAUACACCAAUCAAAAUAUGUACUAGAACAGAAUGAAACCCACGCAACGACGUCACAAAAUGGUCCUGCGGAUGUAAACAAGGUGCUUCUUGAACACUUCAUUCUGACCAAGCAACCAACACUUUUAUUUUUGCAGAACAGACAAGACGCAUAAGCAGUCUGGAAUGUUCGAGCUUGGUCAAAACUCAAAAUUAGCGCCCUAAUCAAACAUGGACUAGUGAUUCCAGUCUUGCCCGGACAAUUUGUGAUCCAUCUAUCCAAUCAACCAUUCAUGUGUUAAUUUAUAAACACUAGGCGUUGGGCAAGCGAAAGGGGAAUCGCCAAACCUAUCGGAAUCGACCAAACUGCAGCUACGAACCAGGGCACAGCGGCUGUAAGACAGUAGAAGCAUCAAGCGUCCUUAGCCCUAACCUAACAAUUGAGCCUACGCAGUUAAAAGAGUCGAGCACGACCGAAGCAGAGCGAGAGAACGCCGAUGCAAUCGAUAGAAGCGCCAGCAGAGCAGUAAGACGCGGGGGUUGGGAUCGUGCGAUCCAUAGGCAACCGAUGGGUUGGGCUUGGGAGGGGAGAGGGGUAAAUGAGGAGGAGGAGGAGGAAGCGGCCUACCUAAUCGGAGUCGCCGCUGGCCGGCGAGGCCAUCUCGUCGGCCGUUGGAGCUCUGGAGCCUUCCGAUUUUUUUUGUUUUACAAUAUAUCUGGAGCCUUCCGCGACGACGACGGCCGACGAGUGAGGAGAGCAUGGGCAAUGGAUAUCCAUACCCGCAUACCCGAGGGUUUUUACCUGUUUAAGAUGGGUUUGGUAAAAACAAAUAUCCGCGGAUGUGUAAACGUAAGAUUUUGUAGCCGACGGGUUUGGCAUCUACGGGUAUGGUAUUCGAAGACGCGAACCCGUCUAUCUUUUUUUUUAGAAUAAUCUAUAACUUUAUUUAAACACGAGAACCAUUAUAGGUACAAUGCUUUGGAUCAUUGAUUCUAGAAACUACUUCCUCCGUUCCAUAAUUCUUGUCUCAAAUUUGUCCAAAAAUGGAUGUAUCUAUUCCUAAAAAGCGUCUAGAUACAUGUAAUAUUUCGACAAGAAUUAUGUAACGGAGGGAGUACAAGAUAACUCUUAUAAUUAAGAAUUACAAUGAAAUCUCUUAAGAACACAUUUUUUGUGAUUUCAUACUUUGCAACAUGAAAUUCUGCUAAGGCUUCAACAUAGAGAUUGCGAUCAGACUGUAGCAGCAACAUCGUUAUUGGUAUACCUGCACGAACUUGACUACCUUCAAAUGUUUCGAAAAGCCCCUUGAGUCACUCAUCCAAAAAGAUGAGAAGCCAUGAGCGUUGAACGUACUUGGCCGGGGAUGAUCCCCUAAACGUGCAGGUCGUCGAAACGCAAGAUCUUCAUCAGAACGUCAAAGAAGUAUUCCAAAAUUACAAAAGAUAAAACCAACAAAAGCAUCAUGAACGGAUCUGUGAGUACACAAACCCAAGAUCCACAAGAUCGGUACACUAAACCCACGGGGAUUAAAAAUCUCUGACUCCUUAGCAACGCCCGUUGAGGCACCACCACAGCAGAGGAAGAACUAGAGUACCUUUAUUCACGACGGCAUUGCAACCUCCGCCAUUGUGUUGCCGAUCGAAACCAAAUACUUCUGGAUAAUCUUAAGAGGAACCGAGGUUCCCUGCACCUCGCAGCGCCAGUACGGUGGCCGGAGGCAAGGGGAACGCUAAAUCUUCGACGGUGACGGCUAGGGCAGAGCUCUCGUGGAAAACCUAAUCUUUCUGUGUACCCGUCUAUCUGUGUAACUGCACCUACAGUUGUUAGUGCCUAGUACAAGAAGCCCAUUAACCCCUGUCUAAGACCCAACUCCGGAUGCCCAAGCCCAACCCAAUAUCCUUUGACUGGCACGUAUAUGCUGAAAUAAUGUUGUUUUGCGUUUUCAGCGGGUCAGGUAUAAAUACCCGCGGGUACUCCUUAUCCGUCAUGGGUCGCGGGUAUGGUAAAAUUUUAUACCCAACCACGGGUACACCACUACCUUAUGGUAGACAUUUGCCUGUACUAUGAUAGCCGUACUUUGCUCAAAUGUAGUUAAUUUUGAUUUUUAACCGCAUUUUUAGCACUUCAACCGCAGAUUUUGUCAAUAAAGUACGUCAAAUACUUUUGUCAACGCGAAUAUAUUCAACACUUUUAAAAUGCCACGAAUAUAAAUUGACGCACUUUGGAAUGCGUCCGAUUAUCUACCGUAACGUAGUGCGUGUUCGUCGAGGACGGUUGAGCUCUACUUGUACCUGACGAGGCCGGAUGCCAUCCAUCCGUAGAGGAGAAUGAGCAGAGCGACAAUAUUUGGAGACUGGAGCAACAUGGGUGAUAGGCCCAUAUCGCAGCGUGGGCCUACAAUCGCAUCUUUGUGGGCCCAGGCUAGGGACGGGCCAAAAUUACACGAAGUAGGUCACCUGUCGGGGAAAAAAAUUAGCCAGACCAACAUAGGCCUGGCCGGAUGUCGUUGCCGGGACGGGCUCGAGCGUGCCAAAAGAUUUUACGUUAAGCCCGGCCCAAAAGCUCGGCCCGGCACAUUUUUAUCUCUAUGAGGCCAAACUCGGGCUUGUAUUUCAACAUUUUUCGUUGGGCAGGGCCGGGGUCGGGCCAGGAAAUUUGGCCCCUCAGCCCCGACCAGGCCAGGGCUGAGACUUGAAAAGGAUGUAUAGCGUCGAGCUACUGUAUUUUUUUUAGAUUUGAUAAAAAUCUACAUAAAUUCGAUAAACAAAUCCUUUAUCAAAACAUAUAGAAUUUUUUUUGAUGAUUCCUAGGUUUCAAGAAGCCCACCUUAGGUGAAACAUAAAUAUUUCAUCAUAAUUUGAUGCUCGUUUAUGCGUUGCACACAUAGUUUUAAAAACCGGACCGGACAGCCUGUUGAACCAGAAAAAACCCGGAACAUGAGACAUUGUCGGUUUGUUACGCGCACGGACCGCCCCCGCCCCCGAGCAUGAAAAACCGAUAGGUUUUCAUAAACCGGAGGACCAGACUUUGUGGAAAAACGGACGAACUGGCCGGUUUUUAUGUUACCCCUUGUUAGAUUUAUUUUUAUGUGAAAAAUGCAACAGUAACUUUGGAAACGGAAGGAGAUGAUGCUAUCUCUAGUUUUUCCGGUCGAUCUCGAUCCACUCCAUGAAAUUAUAAUGUGAAUUAUUAUUCAUAUUGCCAAGUCUAAAUUUUGCAGUAUACAUUCUAAUCUGUUUAUUGCAGUAUUUAUGAACAAAAGUACACCAUUUUAUAUCUUAAAAUACCGGACAAUGACCGGUAAAAUCCGAAACCGACAGCCUCGUCGGGUUGAUCGCCGGCCCGGUUUUUAAAACUAUGGUUGCAUAUACAAACUCAAGUAACACAAAACAAAUCAUAUGAAAGUAACCAUCCAUCCCAAAAAUUGGAUUAUUCUGUGGAUGCUCUCUAAGAGUGUGAUAAACCUAUUACAUGUGUAGAAAAAUUAGUUAAAUAUUUAUUGAAAACCUUAUGCGCUGAGUAUAAAUUAAAUUCAUAGCUAGGUAACAUAAAACAUUAUGUAAUUGUGAACAUUUGACCUAAAUUGAAUUUAGGUUCAGUAUAAUCUAGUACUCCCUCUGACCAUAAUUACUUGUCGCAGAUUCACCAUAAUUUUUGGAUGAGUAUUUUACUUUCUUGCGAUUUGUUUAUUGCGUCGUACUUUUGGAAGGUGGGAGUUAAUCCGAACACACAUCGGCCACCGAAAGAAAUCCGUUCCGUCGGCAAGGUCGGUGAAAAAUUUAUGGCUUCGACAGGGCGAUGACGGACUCCGACUAGGACUAGAACUGGUGCGCCACAGGCCCACGCGCAAGACCUCAGUAUAUAUAUAGAUACCCUCCAGGCCAGCAUCCUUCGCAACCCCAAAUCACGACCGAAUUGCCUCGCAAAAUUAGAGCAAGCGAUCUGUUAUCGAGGAGCAUGUCGGCCGCCAUUAGCAGCCCUCUGGUGGUGGAGACGGCGUCACCUGGUGUCGACGCCGACGGCGAUGAUGCCAUCAGGAACACGGCUCGUGCUAUCUACCGUGCGGCGAUGGAAAUGUUUGGCCCAGAAGCGUCGAGGCGCGUUUUUGAAGAUAUGGAGACGGAGUUGAUGCUUCUUGAUGAUUCCGACGACGACGAACCAACGGCGCCGCUCCGGCCGGUCGUCGUCGACCCCACAUCGGCCACGGCGGUCGCAAAUCUCCGGCGGGUGAAAUUCGAGGACGGCGCUCGCAGCAGCAGCGCGGAGGGGUGCGCCAUCUGCCUCCAGGACUACAAGGAGGGCGACGAGCUGACCGAGAUGCCGUGCUCGGGCGGGCACAGAUUCCACCGGCAGUGCAUCCUCGAGUGGUUGGCCCGUCGACGUUCCUGCCCGCUCUGCCGCCAUCUGCUGCCCGGCCAGGAGCGAGAUACACCAAUGUUACUUUGACUUGCUUGUAUGUUUGACAUGGCGCGGCUUGUAAUGUAUGGAAAACAGUACUAUAAUGAACAAAAGGAUAUAUUGGGUUGCAAAGCUUAUUCCAUGAAUCAUGCAUGUGGCCAUAAGCCAUUGCUGAAAUGACGGGUGCCAAAGGAGCUGUUAAUGUGAUCUUGCUCCUUCAAUAAGAAUCUGAUGAUACCCAGAGUAUGCAACCAGAAAACACAAAAGCUCGCAACCGGCAGUGGAAUCAACCACCUGGUCGAUGCAAGGCUGAGCGAAUGAAUCCUUCGGACAUGCUUUAUUCAGACCUGUGUUUUUCUUUUGUAGCAAUACAAGUGAAUUUACAAUGCGUAUUUCAUAUUUAUUUCAAGUUGUCUCAGAUUGGAGAUGAUAUGUUACUAGGUAUUGAUCAUGGUCCACUCAUCCAGUCUUGGUGAAUCCUCCACAUAAAACUCUCAAUCAAAGCUUGGGAACAAUUCUUCUCCCUUGAAAACGUCUGGCGGGUAGGUUCAAAUCUUCCCACUGUGGGUCAUCAACCUUGGAGAAAUAUUUUUCAACAACCCCAUCGUGCACUUGAUCCAAACUUGGAGGCAUCCACUGCAAUUAACAGAAGCAUCAAUAGAAUUCAUAGAUUUUCUGAGAACCAUUGUAUAUAGUAUUAAGUAAUAUAUGUGACCUUUGGGUUUCGAUCUUUAUCAACUAAUAUAGCCCUGCAUCCCUGCAACAGUAAUCCCAUUUUAGAUAUAUAUGAUCCCGGUAAACAAGACCACUGCUGAAGAUGCUGAUAGUACCUCAAAGAAGUCUCUGCUAAAGUCACCACGCAUCACAUGGCAAACCAUUCUAUAUUCUCGGCGCAAGCAUUCGCCAACAGUUUGCAGUCUUCCUUCUCUUAUCUGAAACGAUAAUCACAGAAAGAAAAAAAGUGAGUCAAUAUAGGAUUGGGACAUGCAUGACAACUCACUUAGUUUGACAUCUUCAUGACAAAGACAACAAACUUGUUUUAAGGUAUUGCACCCACAUAAUUGUCUCCGGAUCCGCCACUGGACAUACUUACAAAACUACUACCUUCGAUCAAUACAGAUAUUCAGUACAUGAAACCAUAUCAAUCAACCAUUAACUACUAUCGAAUAACACAGCAUGCCAAGAUAAUAAGACAAUUGACUUGCAGUAUAUGGAUUGAUUGAUGAUAAUGUUUUGGAAGUGUCUGAAAGAUACCGAUGCGAGAGAGAUUUUCAGACUAGUUGGAGAAGCCUUCCGCAAUGAUCGGAUUGCAGCAGUUACCCAUUCAUCAGUCGCACUUGCAGCUUCUUGUUCCUGACAUGAUAGAUCCAAAUUUAGUAGGACAUACACGUAAACUCAUAGAAAGCCACAAUUAAUUCCAGGAGAACUCACAAGAGCAGAUACGAUUUCUUCGACUGUUCUUUUCGAAAAGCAUUUGUUGAUGAUUUCCAGUCUUGGAGCACAAAAGGAAUGGAAGCAACAACAAGAGGAAUCAGGCAUAAUUGAUCCAAGCAUCAGUACAAAGAUUUAAUUACAAGGAAAAAUGGACUCUGGCUAGUAUAUAGAUGAUGGGUCACUGGGCCUUAGUACAAACUUUAAACACAAUAACAAAUCAAGUGUAAACGAUCACUUCAGGUUAUUCAUGCAUUGCUAGUUUACAUCAGCUGGAACAGAAUGUUAGGAAGUAUUAUGGACAAGCAAGCUGUCAUAUUGCAGAACUUAUAAUAAAUGACAAAUUAGAAAAACUGGAUUUUUUUAGCAAGACAUAAUUCGUGUGAGAAUUUUCAUAUGACACCGCGCACAAGAAAAUGGCAAUGAUAUCUUGUCAGAGCCAACCCUAUGACAUCUCGCAUGCAUGCAAGGGACAGCAUGUGUAGAACAACUUCUCUGUUCUGGAAUAUAAACUCCACAUGCAUGAAUAGAUAAUGACAAUACAAUUGCCCUCUUACCUAUUCAGAGUACUGCUUUCUUUUAUGGAUGGCUGUUGUGAAAAUUGAUCGAUAAUUCCACAUAUUUCAAACGGGUCAGAAGUGUCCAUCUUUUUAAGCGAUUCUUCAAGCAGUGACAUCCUCUGGAAAAAAAUUGAGAACUUGCAGAAGUUACAUCAACAACGCUAGCAAAGUGUGUGCUAGCAUAGUAUUGCAAAUCUAGACUACAAAUAUAGGAAUGAAAAUCAUAACUGAAAACAUGUAACGAAAAAAUGCAUGUUCAUAUGUUGCUCAACUUUCCAAGGGCGCAAGGAACAAGCACAUGAUGAUGCACAGAACAUCAAUUUUAAAUCAUCAGAAAACUUACAUUCAAAUGGACAAAAUGAGUUGCCAGGCCACAUGCAAGCAUUUCCGCACCAUCUAACCUUGCACCAGUAAGGCCAACAUAUUCUCCUGGAGAAUGCCAUUAACAGUUUAGUGAAAAAUACCAACAUAUUUCUCCUGGAGAAAGACGUCAUUAACAGUUUAGUGAAAAACUGUCUCCCAGGAUAGUUCUACAAAAUCAACCAAACAGCACAUAUAGCCAAUUGAGUGACAGACAAUGACAAAUGACCCCCGACUUAUGCUGAACUGACUAACAUUAGAGAACUGUGAAAUUAAGUAGAUUUCAGAAUUUUGGUAUUCCCUCCGUCCAACAAAAGAUGUCUCAAGUUUGUCAAAAUUUGGAUGUAUCUAGACAUGACUCUUACUGUAUAGAUGCAUUCAAAUUUAGUCAAAGUUGAGACAUCCUUUGUUGGACGGAGGAAGUACAUAUAUUUUCACAACCAUGCAGCAUUAAGAUAAUUUUAGUUUUCUAUGUGAAAAACUUUAGACUGAGGACCAGGGAAAUUAAAGAGAUCCAGAAUUUUAUUUUUCUACAAAUGACUACCUGAAGCAUACUCUUUUCAAAACUUGAUAGGUGAAUUUCAUUAGAAGCACCACUGAUCAAAAUCAAAUAAGCACAACUGUCCAUGGAUAGCACCACCAAUAGAGUUAUUUUACGGAUAACCAAUGAAAAUUACUGGGGAAUGUAAAGAAAAUUUAAUACAGCAGUAGAUAAUUUUUUUUACUAAUAGCAGAGCAAGUUUGUAUGGUUAUUGGUGAAAAAUAAAUUGAAAACUGAAGAUAUGAGAGAAAAGGUCACCAUAGAACCCAGGUAGUCUAGAAAGAAAAUAAGAAGCCCCUAUAUCUGGAAAGAGUCCCAAUGCUGUUUCUGGCAUUGCAAAAACCUGCAUAGGCAUUUCAAUAGGUGAACUCAAAUUUUGGUGCAUACAAACAUGCUGGUUAUCCAUAAAAAGGAAUCAAGCAAGCUCUCUUCCUACUAAGUACAACAGCUGCAAGCUCAGACAGAGCCUGCAUAAGUGGCAAGUUGACUACAUGAUUACCGACCUAACUGUGAGACCCGACAAACAAGAUCUCACCUUAAAAAAAUUCAAACCGUGUGAAAUGGUUGGCUGAGAAAAGGCACACAAAAGAGGAAGUGCUUAGCUCUGAAUUAAUAAUUGUUGAUGAAGUACUUUGUGCCAACAUGGAGUAUAGUCUCCAUAACUUAUGUCUGACAUGCAGGCAUUAUGAUGCAAUACAAGCACCAGUAAACAGUAUACAGAUGAUUGUGCGUGCAUAUAUUAUAAAAUAUUUACAAGCAUGCAACUGAAUAAGGUAAUAUGCAAUCAUGACACAGUCAUAGUACUGGACUGAGUGUGAGAGAACCCAAACAAGCAGAUCUCAAGCAGCCUCAUGACAUAUCAACAUUCUGUGCACCCCAACUAAAACAUACAAGUAACAAGGAAACACAAUGCCUUUUGAGUAUGGUUAAUAAAAUAUACCGUGUUCUCUGUGGCAACACGAAACCUUCCAUGUAUAGAAACACCAGCACCUCCUCCCAUGACAAUUCCAGUAAGUAGAGAAACCUACAACCGAAUGUCGUAGUUUUUUAGUAGUGCGCAACUGAAUGAUUUUGUGAAGAAUAAAUUUCGAAGGAUGCAGCUCACCUGUGGUUUGCUAUAAGUUGCAAUGAUAUAGUUUAACAAAAAUUCAGUUCGGAAAAAAUCAGCACCAUAUUUCCAGGUAUCUAAUUUCAGAAAACAUACAGUCUGUCAAUGUCUGGAGUAACAAUAAAUGUAUAUAAAUAGUAGUCCUACUCCUAUAAUUGAAUCCAUGCUGGACAAAUAAAGUUGAAAGAAGUAACAGAAAAAUGCUUUAGAUGUUCAACUAGCACAAUACCCACACGUUGCUACAGUUUAAAAUAAGUUACACUACAUGUCGAAAGAAAACGUUUUACUACUGUCAUUUAUUGUCUCAGAUCGAAUAAUCUAUAUCCAUUCUCAUCUUAAUCUUUUGUGGUUACGGACCGCGGCCACCAAUUGAGAUCUUUAUAAGAGUAAAUGUAUCCUCAAUGGAAGUAAUAAGUACCGUUAUUUACAGACUGGGCAACUUCAGCAACAUCACCUCCAGCACAAAAUGCUCUCCCUUUACCCUGAGAAAAGUGGUUUAUGAAUGCCAUGAAAGAUAUGAGUAGUUAAAAUCCACAAAGUAAGAGAUGGCAACAAAUAGAUCAAUCUAAGAGAACAUAACAUAACAAUAGCCGGAAAUGAAGAAACAUGUGAUCCAAACAACAAUAUCAACAGAAAAAUAAAGAACAACCCAAGUUAUAAAUGUGAAAUUGUUAAAGAAAACAAUAUGUCAUACACUUCAAAUCAGCAACGAGUACGGACGGAAAAAUGAGUGAAAGGCCCAGCAACAAAUAUUACUAGCAGCAUAAUUGUUUUACUAGUCAUACACUUCAAAUCAGCAAGGAGUAAUGAGCUCCAAAACAGUAAGGCACUAAGCACAGCAAUUUUUGUACUUACAGCUCCUCGAUUUUGAUAGAACUGAUUGGGUAACUGAUUUCACUGUUACUUUCUUAUUGCUCAGUAAUUUCUAUUUCGAAUUAUGUGUUAAUAGACAGUACCAAAAUAUUCAAAGGUGAGGCCCAGGUUACAGGACCAAAAAACAAGACGUGCACAGGCUACAUUAAAGAACUCAAUCAAAUAUUAAAUGAUAAUAAACACACAGUGCUACCCUUACCUUCACAAUCAACAGUUUAACUGCAUUUUCUUCCUCAUAAGAAUUGAAACACCUCAGAAGUCCUGUAACCUGGAGGACAAAAACAAGAUAUCUUACCACAGCCUUUCUAAAAGCAUGCAUGGCCACUAUUUAUGCUACAGUACUAGUAGAAAUCAUAUCAAAGCUCUAUUGCAGGCAUACCAUUGCAGAGGAGAGGGCAUUCAACUGCCUUGGCCUAUUCAAAAUCAAUGUCCGUGUAGAGCCAUUUGCUUCCACCAGUACCUGGCAAAUCGAGGGUGGAGAAAAGACUAGUUACUUAUUUAUUUGAGGAAAAAUGGCUCGUUAUUUUGUGGUGAAAUCGGUACUUAGAGUUGAAAGUUGAGUGCAAGAUAGCAUCAGGGAAAAUAUGCAUAUAGUAAAAGGUGAUAUGUUUGAGAAUACAGCCCAUUAUUAUACGAAACAGCACAGCAUUAGUUGGUUAUAAAAAUCAUGCAAACCCUUGGAAAUAUAUUGAGCAUCCCAGAACUAAUAUACACCAAUCAGAAUAUGUACUAGAACAGAACAAAACCCACUCAAGGAUGUGACUAAAUGGUCCGGAUGAUUAAAGAGGGUGCUGCUUGAACUCAAGCAACCGACUCAUUUCUUUUUGCAGACCAGACGAGACGUGUAAUCGGUCUGGAAUGUCCGAGCUUGGCCAAAACUCAAAAUUGGCGACCUAAUCAAGUAUGGCCAAGUGAUUCCAGUCUUCCGAGGACAAUUUGUGACUCGUCUAUCCAACCAACCAUUCGUGUGCUAAUUUAUAAUCACUAGGCGUUAGGCAAGCGAAAGGGGAAUCCCCAAACCUAUUGGAAUCGACCAAACUGGAGCUGCGAACCACCGCAUAGAGGCCGUCAGACAGUUUAAGCAUCAAGCAUCCUUAGCCCUAACCUAACACUUCAGCUUACCCGAAGUUAAAUAAUGAGAGCACGAACCGAAGCAGAGCGAGAGGACGCGGAUGCAAUCGAAGGAAGCGCGAGCAGAGCAAUAAGACGCGGGGGUUGGGAUCGAGUGAUCCACACAGGGCAACCGAUGGACUGGGAUCUGGGAGGGGAGAGGAGGGGGAGGAAGCGGCAGACCUGAUCGGAGGCGCUGCUGGCCGGCGAGGCCAUCUCGUCGGCCGGUGGAGCUCUGGAGCCUCCCGAGUUGGAAGCGACGAGGCCAGGAGGGAGAAGAACGAGCAGAGCGAAAGUUGCGUCCGGGGCACUCCUGUCAUUCCUGUGCUAGUUACUCAUGGGCCACCCUCUCAACAGCAGUACAGCACAGCCACAAAAACUUUUGGGAUUUGGUUCAGAAAAUUUUCUAGGGUUUCCAGCACGAAAUUGCCGAGACUUCUAAGUUCAGGCCUCAUUUGAUUCUCAGACGAUUUUCAUAGGAACUUUGUAGUGUUGAAUUUCCUACGUUGAUCGUUUGAUUUCAUUGGUACUACAUUUGCUUUUCUCAUCUACUCCAACCUCUUGGUACAAAUUUUAUGGUGCAAUUAAAUAAACUCUGGGACAAACAAAAUCUUAUAAGGAUCAAGCGGACAUAACAUUACAGUCCUUCAUUUUUGUAUUCCCUUUUUUUUUCAAUCAUGUGAAUCAAAGAGGCCCUCGAUAGGUGCGUUAUUUUUGCCCAUCCUGCAUGAUAUCGAUUACACGAAGCUAAGUAGUUUUCAUAAGGUGAAACCCCAGAUUAAAGGUUGAAAUCAUUUCGAUUUUGCCUACACGAAGCCAAUUUUCAUACGGUGAAACACCAGAUUAAAGGUUGAAAUCAUUUCGAUUUUGCCAUACAAGAUCUCUUAUACUCCGUAGAUCAUCUGAAACAGGUUUUUAAACCGUAGGGUUCUGUGAUAAUUUUGUACAAUCUUUUGUGUGCAACUUUUGAUUUUAUGCAAAAGGGGUUUAAUUCGCGUGAGUAACAGUAAAUAUACCAGCACGGAGCACAGUUCUUCCAGAGCAACCCACAACACAAUUGAACUGCAACACGACAACAUUCAUCAGCCAGUUAAAUCACAGUACAUGGCCAGAAUAAUGCAUCAGACAGCAGCACACAUUGGCAGCAGUACACAAAGGUCAAGAAAACAAGCUAAACGUUCUUGAAUUGAAAUCAAAGCAUCCGAGUGAAUCCAUGAUCCACGGCAGAGAGCAAUCAAACGACUAGCCUAGAGUCGAAGAUCUCAGCACGCAUCAGUACAUGACAGGACGACAACGAAUGAUAAUACCUCGCGUUAGUGACAGCGGCUUAUGAGGCUACAGCAUUACACUAAAUUAAAUCUUACUUCUGGAAAAACAGCAGGCGAGAUCAUGAACCUAAAUCUCCUAGCUAGCAGGUCAACCAUCAACGGUCAACCCCAGACGACGUUACAGGAGGCAGGCGCGCAGAACGCAGUGCCAGACAACCAUCAGCUCCUCUCCAGCCCAGCAAACAAAUGGGGCUCUCUUCAAAGGCUGGGCCUGCGGUGUUAGUUCGACAUCAUCUUCACGUCGCCGUCAUGCCUGUUGUUGUUCUGAUGGUGCGCCGAGUGCGACCAGCCGCCGGAUGCAUAUGCAGGCGGCAUGUGCUGCUGCUGCUGCUGCGGGUGCUGGUGCUGGCCGGAGUGGUUGUAAGGCAUCCCGCCAUGGUUGAUGGGGCUUCCGGAGUCAUCGGACGAUGCGCUGGAUGUGCCCUCUGAUGGAGGGCUGGCCACGGGAGCUGGCACGUAGUUGGCCAUCUGUGGAGGGGCCGACAUUGGUUCAACCUUCCGUGCCUCGGCCAGUUUUGAUUUUUUACCUUCCGCUAUGAAGCUAGCCACAACAACCUGAUAACACAGAACACAUGGCAGAAAUUCUAGGUCAGCACUUUCAAAUAUUCAAGCAGGCGGAAGCUAAAAAGGAUGAAGACAGUGCUCAAAUGAACAGAACCUGAACAGGUGUUGCAGCUGUUAGCUGCCCAGCUACACAUCCACCAAGAACACGACCGUCAGAUCCUGCAAGUGCAACACUCAAUCCACCAGUCCUGCUACGAGUGUCGCCGUCCUCUGCAAGCAGGAAAGAGCCAGAUAGAGAGAUGAUCUCGAAACGGCCCUGCACCAUAAUCAUAAAUCAGAAUGUUAGCCAAGUAACAUGGUCAGAAAGCAUUCUGCUUGUAAGUAGUAUUCUUACAAGAACACAUCUCCGUUCGAUUGAUGUGUACAUUCCAAUUUGUAAGAACAAUUUACAGCGGAGAAGUCAAUACUCUUCCAAUUUUAAGUAUAUCAAAAAUCUAGGAGCAUCAAUCAACUAUUCAGCCCGAACAAGAUAAUUAUGUACCUCAUAAGUCACUAGCCCACCGGAUGUAGCCGGCUGCCGAAGUGUUACAUUGCUUAUUGCACCAUUCGCUGAGAGAAUGCAAACUGUGCGAGGUCCUUGCUGUGAGAAGGACAUUAUUUUUGAAGCAACAUCCUGUCAUAAAAACAUGGCAUUUAGUACUAAAAGCAAGAUUCCAGCCACUGGCCCACAUGAACAAGUGGGAUGCUGGCUAAUUUAAACAUGAAUUAUGGAUACAAUUCUAUAACAGAUAGAAAUUCCAUAGAAUUGGAGAAGUACACAUAAGGUGACACCUCAAACGAAACGACGAACACAGACAUCUACAGCUAGUAAAGAAAAGUCACAAACAGCUAGCAGCCUAGCACAGAGGAGUAAUCAAUAUUCAUUCACCAAAUGCCAUCUGGUGUGUAUACACAAACCCAACAGUACUUGAAAUUUUGAAUGAGGAUCUGACACCAAACAUAAUUUCUUUCCAACACUGCCUACAGUAUCCACUUAAUUAUGGGAUAGGUGAGUUACCAGCCUACCACAAAUAAAUGAAGAGUGGACCUUUGCAUGCAUUGCGCCAGUUACGUACGCUUAACAACAAAACUAUUGACAAAUUACACACCUAAUUAGUUCUUCUAGCACACCUAACUUGAUCAAGAGUAGUUACACCUUAUUACCUAAACCCUUUUACUAUCAGUCAAAACAUUGUCACUGAGCAAAGUGAACACGAAACUUUUGACGACGGCAGCAACCAUGAAUCAAAGCAAACUUGCUCAUCAAUCGUUUCAGUUAGUCACAAUCUUGGAUGGUCCAAGCACAACACUAGCAACAGACACAGGUGUCUCCACUUGCAGGUGGCCAGGCAAGCUUAGGCAGGAGUGUGGAUGUGUAGUAGCAAAAAGGCCAGAACCCCAUCUCCCAUGGUUUUUUCAACUCCCACUUGAAGCUGACCGGUGGGGCCGGUCAACUGACAGCCUUGCUGGGAAUCUGCCGGCCACCACACAGCACCACAGGUUGCCGGCUUCCACACCGGCAGAUCCUCCUCCCAUGUUCCUUUCCUACGGCAAGGAAUUCCAACUACUCGCUAGCUAGCCGCCGCAUGGAGACAUAGAUCCACCGCCAUUAGUGCAAGUAGAAGUACCAGGUAAAGCAACAAGAUGCAUGCACGGAUGCGGAGGGAGUAAUCAAAGCAGGGGCAGAGAAAAAGCAAGAUCUGUGGAGUUGGUUGCUACUACCUCGCCGGCCUUGACGGAGAGGAUGUGCGGAGUGAAGGAGAUGCCCCAAGACCCUGCAAGAAAACAAAAAUGGCAGCCACCGCAAAUCAGAUUUGUGCAACAAGGACGCGGCGCCGGCCAUGGCAAGUAACGUUGCUGGAAGUGAGGAGGCAGAGUGACAUACCCAGUGCUUCGAACUGCUUCUUCUUGCCGGAGCCGGGGGGCCUGCCGCGGCGCUUGGCGUUGGGGUCGGACGGCGGGCUGCUGAUGGAGAAGCCGCCGUGCUGCUGCUGUUGCUGCUGGCCAGGCUGCAUAGGGGAGCCGCCCGAGGCGGAGGACAGGGGAGCGAGCGCGAGCGCCAUGCUCCCGUCGGGCGCGUACUUGCGUGGCCGGCCCCGCUUCUUGCGCAUCAUGUCGCCCAUGCCCAUGCCGACGCCACCCUGGGGCCGCACCGGAGCCCCAGCCGCGUGGGGUGGCGGCGCGGCGUAGAGCAUGGGGCCCGGAGCGUGGUGGUGCUGGCCGGGCGCCGCCUUCCCGACCACCUGGUCAAAGGACAGCCUCAUGCCGCCGCUGCCCGGCAUGGGCGCGGACGGGUUCGCCGAACCUGGCGCCGGCUGCUGCUGCUGCAGCGGCGGAGGCGGCUGGUGGUGGGCGAACGGAUGCGGCGGCGGCUGGUGCGCGUGCGCGUUGGAGGUUGCCGGUGGCAGCGGCUGCGACUGGGACGCCGGCGCCGGGACCGGCGCGGCGGGGACAGCGGCGGUGGUGGCAGCCGUGGUGAGCGGGGCGACGUCCUUGGCCUCCAUUUCGGUCAGAUCUAUUCAACCCAGUAGCUCCUAAACUUGUGCUGCUCUCCUUCACAGUGGCAGAGCUCUCCUUGGUCCGGACUGAACAAAGCAAAGCAACUAAUCAAUCUGGUCAGUCUGAGUUUGACCGAGCUGCUUCUUCCUCACACUGCUGCAAAACCAAACACGGGGGCUCAUGAGCAAAAGGAAGAGAGCGACAUGGGAGGGAUCGAGGAGCAAAGGAACAAACUCUGGAUUAUCACACGAAGCCGAUCUUUAAAACCGGGAGCAGACAAAGAAGAAGAGAACAAAAGGGCGGUGCGCGAGAGAUUAGGUGGGAGUUAGGAGGGGCCGCGCGCGUGCACGCACCUACCUAGAUCGCCAGGUCCAUGCCACCACUCUCUCCUCGAGCUUCUUCUUCGUCUUCCCUCCCUCCACACCAAACGCCACUCACACUCUGCUCAGCUCAGCUCACUGCCGAAGUCUGUCUGUCACUUUGCUUGAGAGGGAGAGGGAGCGGGCGCAAAGCGAAGGAGAGAAGAAUACUCCAGGGAGGAAAUUACGGGGAACGGAAAUUGGUAAAAGUAAAGGUAAUAAAGAGGAGAGAGAGAGAGAAAGGGGAUUUUGGUACGGGUACACACUUCCCUCACAUGCAUGCGCGCUGCAUUUCGGGUAAUAAUAAAGGCGGGCGGGCGAGAGGAGGUUGGGGUUUCGUGAGCGAGAAAUAGAAACGAGCCUCAUUUACUGCGCUCAAAACAAAAACUCCGCUUUCUUUCCCAACCAAAAGAAACCAACGAAAAAUAGUAAAAUACUCCUGCUCCUCUAGAGAGAAGGAGAGACUAGUCCACACUCCGCUCGAAAUUCGAAAGGGACGACGAUUGCUUGCUUUGCUUUGCUUGUUUUUCUACGCAAGCGGGGGGGAUUUUACGCUAGGAGGAGUAUUUAAUGGUGGUACCGGGUACUAGUGGUGGUCUUGAUGACUAGUGCUACUAGUAGCGGUGCAGUUUUUAUUUUUAUUUUAAAGGGUGUCUUGUCUUUUUGGGCGUGCUUGGCGGGCAGGAAUCAAUCAUCCCUCCCUGCCCAUGGUCGUCAUUACUGCCUUUUUCUCUUUUUCCAGCUUUUUUUUUCUCUUCCAGCUUCGAGCUUUAUCUCUCUCGCCUGCGCCAUCUCGCCUCUUUUCCCGCUUCAUUUUCCAGAAAAUGAAUUUUUGCUGUACGGGCCCCACAGGACAGUGAGAUAGGGCCAGAGAGAGAGAGGGGGUGAGGUGGCCUGGUCGCCGGUCAGAGGAGAAGAGAGGCGAGAGGGGAGGGACACCGGGCCAGGAUUCCAGGCCCAUCACGUGAUACCAUCCGCAUUCGGCCCCAAGAAUUAAAUACUUUUAAGCAAACAACGGCCUCCCUUCCCGAGGCCGCCACCUCCCUGUGGACCCAGCAAUUCUCUUUUUUCUUUUCUUUUGAGAGGUGGACCCAACAAUGCUUCUGCCUUCGUUCCGGGCUCCACCGCUCCUCAAUCACAUGGGGGCCCAUUUCCUUUUGGCGUCAGGGGAGCUCGACGGCGCCAGUGUCAGCUCUGCUCGCAGGGCGGCGGCCGAGACGAUGAGAUACGCCGAUGCAGAGGCCGUCGGAAUCGGAUGGGAAACGGGAUCUUCGCAGCCAAGGUUGGCGCUGGCGCGCGUCUCUCAGACAAGCGUUCAAAGGAAAGGAUCAGCAAACUUCCCACGACGUCACCCGUGUGUUGGCCAGCCGCGUGUUCGUUGACCAGGCCGGAAAGUCAACGCUUUGGUGAUCCGUUGGGAGCGACCGAACGGCGCAUGCAUACGACAAAGACCGCCUCUUGCCUACUCAUCACACCAGCGGUACUGCUCAGUGCUGGACCGCGCCGGAGCAAAUAAUAGCGGCCGGGCUCGAGGGCACUCCCGGGAAUCCACACGGGAAUUGCUCGUUAAACUAGGGUUUUAGGGCGUUUUGGUAAUUCCUCGCACGAAUCACCUCAUUCUGUACCUGCACUAGGGGGGGACUAGUAGACCGUUGUGCCGUGUGAUGAACUCUAGCUGACCGCUGGAUCCGAUCCAGUCAACUCACAAGCAGAUCGGUGGUGUACAAGUUUACACAGAGUCUCCGAAUUGACCUUAAUUUUUCUUUUCACGAAAACCAGUACUAGCAUAGUGGUAUUCAUUGAUCCAUAGUUAAUUUCUCAAUUUCUUUUCCUUUAGUUUUUCAUAGAAAAAUUCUCACCCUCUAGAACAAUCGAAUCCUUAAAGAUAUAUGGUCUCGGUUUUUGCAGUUUUGAGCCCUCGUAUUCCAAGCGGGGCCUCAAACAAUCAGCUGGCGGGUCUGCCAUUUGUGUUUAAUCCUGUUUUCUUAUCCUAGAAACUAGAGAUUUUACUAUUUAUCCAUUUUUUUGGGAAAUUCUUAGUCCUGGUCGUAAGGCAAAAAUAACUUGUCCGCCUUUGCAACUCUAGUUCGAAAGCUCAAAAUACAACUGCACCGAGCAGUAUGUUCCGCUGGUGGUGGUUAGUCCCGGAUUUAACGUGGACCGUUCAUUCGUAUCGAUCCAGGGGUAAGUAAUAUCUGGCACUCCAUUAUUAACUUUAGAGAGUACGUAAUCAAAAACUCCGUUAUUAACUUUGGGGAGUACCUAGUAGAAAACCGCUAGAGUACCUCAAUUUGGAGGGCAAAAUCGGAAAACGUGUGGGUAGUUUGGUCUUUCCCGUGCGAAACUGGAUCUUAGUUUGCGACUAAGAAAAAAGUCACAAUUUGUUUUAAACACAUGACGAGGCUGCCGCGUCGGAGGUGCCGACGAGAGGACCGGCAGAGCAGACGAAGCUGCCGCUCAGUUGGGCCGCUACGCCGGCAGAAUGGACGGGGCAGCCGCACCGAAUGAGGGCAUGCGGAGCGGACGAAACUGCCGCUCAAUUCAGACGCCAAAGCGACUGGAGGGGCGCUACCGAAAGAGAAAUGGCUCCGCCAGCUGAUGAUGAAGGCCGGAGGAGAAGCCACAAUCUGAGCAGGGCCCGCUGCUUGAUUGGGCCAUCGCGUCGGCGGGUUGGACAGAAAGCGUAGCACGACGACCACUGGGAGACGACGAUGUGGCGGUUGGCCGGAGACAAGUUGAGCACAACAACAUACAAAGGUGCCCAUGGAGCUAGAUUGUUGCAGGGCCGGCCCAAAUCAAAUCGAUCGGGCCCUUUUUUCUGCAUUACUAACAACAGAUCGAGAGGUUAAAUGCCCAAUUGGCCCUUCACCAUGGACGGCCAGAUCUAUCUGGUGCUCCCGUAUUUGUUGUUGUUUUCAUGUGUGGGUGUCACAAGGCGUCCAUACAGUUCGGUUCCAGUCAUUACUAUUUCGUUUUGGAGAAGGAUGGAAAAGACAAAAGGAAAAAUCUGGCACGUUUUGUUAUACGAUGAUUUUCCUUUACUUAUUUACUCAAAUACAAAGAUAAAGUAGGUGAAACAUAUCGAAAAAAUCUAACUUACACAGAUACAAAGAUCUCCAAUAAAAGUAAGAUUCCAUCUCAAGAUCCUUGGAAGCCACCAUUUUUUGUGUAUAUGGGUCAUCGGAUAGUAAGAUUCCAUCACAGGAUCGCCAAUGGGAGUAAGAUUUCAGCAAAGACUCAAUCCUUGUAUUCGGCGCAAGACUACAAAAUAUCAGGCAAAUACAUGAUGAGCUAACCUUGUAAGAUUUAAAGGUUGCAUCAGUCGUCUGCUUAAAAGAAGCGGAAAACUAAUGCCCAGGACACGAUCAUCGAAAAGCAUGACGUGAGACUGCUGCUACAUCAAAUACAGAAGGAAAUUUUGAAGAGCUCCAUAGAAUAGGCUGAGGAUGGAGCCUGGAUACUAUUUAUCCUUGCGACGCUUCCUCACUAGGGAUGAAACCAGAGUGCAUACGAAAGUAGAUAGUCUAAACUUUAUUUGCUAUCAUAUUAUAAUGAUUUUACAUUGUUUCGCGGAUACCUGACGCGUGGCUAUAGAAUGCGGCAUGGUAUCAAUUUUUUUUAGAAACACAAUACAAACGCAACGCAGUCGCUCACAACAUGUACGUACACUCACCUCUAUGAACGGACACACGGACACCCUACCUAUGAGUACCUUCGAAAAACUGAGCCGGCAGAUCUCAAGAGAUUGACGAUGGUAUAAAAAACAUCAACAUAAAUAUUCAUGUUUUGGAGAUGGAAGGCUCUGGGUUUCAUUUGUUUGUUUUUCCGGCACGGGCUCUGGGCUUCCUUGGUAACAAACGCGAGGUGGGAAAUGCUGAAAUGCCGCGUCUUUCCCCCAUAAGGCCGGCCAUGCCUGCCUAUGGCCUGUAGGCCCAUUCGCCCAAGAGAGAUUGCACUGGGCUCCAAUUCGGCUCGAGAUUUUUUUCACAAAGAAAACAGAAACUCCCCGAGGGGCUGCACGGUGGUCCCCACGGGACAGACAUCCUUCUCUGAGAAGGAAAAAAAGAAAAGAAAAACGCGUCCUAUGAUCCUAUCGUUCUCCUUCAUCGGCCUGGCCGCAGGAGACCCACGUCCUCCUCCUGCGCUCCUGGACCACCCUAAUCCUCUCCAUUCUCCUUCCUGCCCCGAACACGCGAAGGAACUCUUCUCCGUGUCCUCUUCCAAUGGCGCUCGCCUCCACCACCGCCUCCCGCCUCAUCAGCCGCCGCCUCCCGCCUCCUUCUCCUCCCCCCGCCGCCGCACCCUACGCCGCCGCGCUGCGAGGAGGAGCCUGCUGGGCAAGGCCGCGCGGGUACCUGUCGGUGCGCUGGGAGGCCAGGCCAAAGGCUCUCAUGGGGGGGUUGUCCGACGCCGACGACGAUGACGAGGAGGUGGACGGCCGUGGCGUGCUGAGCGGGGCCCCGUCGCUGCAGCAGGACGUCUUCGAACUCGCCGUCGCUUCCUCCUCCGGGCCCGAGCGCUGGGACGUGCUCGGCCUCGGCCAGGCCAUGGUGCGCAUGCCUCCUUAUCUCUUCUUCGCCUUCUGAAUACUCAUGUUCAGAACCAACUGUGAAACUGAAAAAUUCAACAGUAGAAAACGUGGGAGGUAUUGAUUGGUCUAGAAUUCCUCAAAGGCAAGCAUUUCAAGCCUUUGUGGCUUUCCUUGUUUUUUUUUUUGCUGGUAGUGUUAAUGGUUCAACUUUGUGCAAUGGCUGACGAUUAUUAGUUACCUGUAUAUAUGUCACGACACUCUACUUCUACUACGAGUCUACAACGGCUACUUGUUUCUUGUCUACUUCUACUACGAGUCUACAAAAGGUUCACAACUCUAGUUCGGUCGUGGCACCUCUACUUUUAGAGAUUGGAGAGCUAGCUCCCUGUUUUACUUCUUUUGUAGCCAAUCAUUAUUCAUUCGGUCCAUCUGUGUGCGAAGCAUGCUUGCACAUUGACGGUAACGAGUAGUUGGCUGGACUCUGCUCCAAGCUUAUUGGCAAGCAGCCUGAUGGCUGAUUGUAUUUGUACCUGGAGCUCUUUUGUUGAAUAAAGCUCUAUGAAUUCCACGAAAAAAAUGUUACAAAAUAUGGGGGAGCUGAAAGGUGAUUUUCUGGUGCCACAUUGCGAGAAACUAGUACUUGGGAAAAGAAAACUGACUGCUUCCACGCAGCAAAAAAGUUGUCAACAAUAGCUAUUAAAUGGCGAAGACAAGCUGUUGCUAGGAUUCAUCUGGUGUUGCAUUGUCAUUGAUUGAUGAUUACUUGCUUCUUGUGUGUAUGCUUAAAUAUGUCUUGUUCAGCCUAUGUGUUGUCGGGGACAAAUAUAUACAACUGACAAUCGAUGCACAGAAGUUCUGUUUGUAUAAGCUGAUGGGAUCCUUGCUAAACUAUUAAUUGGUUGGUGCACAAAUAGGUUGACUUCUCUGGCAUGGUGGAUGAUGAAUUCCUCGAGAGAUUGGGCAUAGAGAAGGGUACGAGGACACUUGUGAACCAUGAGGAGAGAGGACGGGUCUUGCGUGCCAUGGAUGGUUGCACCUACAAGGCUGCCGCGGGAGGCUCACUGUCUAACUCACUUGUGGCUCUCUCUAGGCUUGGUAGUAGUCAGAUCACUAGUUACCCGGAGCUUAGAAUUGCAAUGGCUGGCAGUGUGGGCAGCGAUCCGCUUGGUAGUUUCUACAGGUAAAUUCACUAAGUUGAUGAUAUCUUCAUUUCACUGAUCCUGCUGCUUUAGAGCAUUGGCUGACAUCAAAUUGUUGUUUGGAUUGUGCUAUUAGGCAAAAACUGCAGCGUGCUAAUGUGCAAUUCUUGUCCAAGCCAGUCAAGGAUGGGACUACCGGGACUGUGAUUGUUCUAACAACUCCAGAUGCGCAGCGUACUAUGCUUGCAUACCAGGUCAGAUCCUUCACUAAUGGCUCUUUUGUUUCUACAAUGAUUGGCCAGUACUUCAGCUAUUGCUUUAUCCCUAACCUAAUUAUCACUCUCUCUACUUUUUAGAUGCUUUAGGGUUGUGGUGAAUUGUUAAUUCCUUCCUGGAAAUGUAGCAAUUCACUAUUUGGGUUCUUAAGAGGGCAUCCAAAUUAUUGACAAAGUUUUAUUUGAAAUAAGGAUGGUCAAUAUUGAGAACAUACGUCUUAUAUAAAGUUUGCUUGCCAUGUUAUUACAAUUGGCAAAGUAUCCGGUGAAAUUCGGCAAACUCGCAAAGUGGGUCGUCCGAUCGAUAAUGGACGGCAUAGAUCAAAGAUGGGAUUUCUGAACAGCCACUUAACUCUAUGACGUGGGUAAAAGAAAGGGGUUAUUGCAAAGUAGAGUUAAGUGGCUGUUAAGAAAACCCACCUUUGAUGUAUACCGUCCAUUGUCGACCCACCGGCCCACGUUGAGAGAUCGCAGGUUUUCACUGGAUACGUCGCCAUUAUAAUUUGGCUGCACUAUUUUGUUAGCCAAUCAAUUAGAAAUUCUCCUGGCACUACUUUAUUAUUAUUUUCUAACUGUAACUUGUGUUGCAGGGUACCUCUUCAACUUUGGCUUAUGAUUCAGACUUGGCUGAUACAGUAUCCAAGUCAAAUAUACUAGUUGUGGAAGGCUACCUAUUUGAGUUUGCUCACACGAUUGAAGCCAUCAAGCAGGCUUGUGAAGAUGCUAAGAAGAAUGGUGCACUUAUUGCUGUUUCGGCAUCAGAUGUGUCAUGCAUAAAGCGCUGCCACAGUGAUUUUUGGUGAGUAGCCUCCUUGUGAAGGAUCUCCUGUUAGUGUCACAUCUUGCAAUUAUCUCGUCCCAGUUGCGAACAAUCCAGUCUCAUAAGUCAUCUUCCAUUUCAUUUCAAGUAACAAGAGGGCUAUGGGUUAUUCACUAGAAAAAAGAAGGUUCUUUUUACUUGCUUUCAAUGGUGGUGCUGGUGCAAGUCCACUAUAAAAAAUGUUAAGAAUCUCGCACCACAUAAAUACGCAACUUGAUAAAAGGCAUCUAGUUCUGUCUUGAUCACAUUGCUGAGUUACCAACUGAACUGUAUAGCGAUUUGUUAUCUUGACUGUUCUUUUACUUCAUACUUUCUAUAUUACGAGAGCAUAACACUAUGUAGCUCCCAACACUACUGAUUCUGAUCCAAAACAUUUACAGGGAUAUCGUAGGAAACUAUGCAGACAUAUUAUUCGCCAAUGCCAACGAAGCAAGGGCUUUCUGCGAGCUAACCUCGGAAGAGAGCACCAUGUCAGCAGCGAGAUACUUAAGCCAUUCCAUUCCUCUGGUAUCCGUUACAGAUGGUAAUCACGGCUCCUACAUUGGGGUGAAAGGUGAAGCAAUAUACAUCCCACCACCGUCGUGUAUACCUGUUGAUACCUGUGGAGCUGGUGAUGCAUAUGCUUCAGGGAUUCUGUACGGUAUUGUACGAGGAGCGUCCGACUUGAAGGGCAUUGGCCUCCUGGCUGCACGUGUAGCUGCUGUUGUAGUUGGGCAGCAAGGCACGCGCCUACGAGUUAAGGAUGCCGACAGAUUGGCUGAGUUGUUUGAGUCCCACCUUGAUAACUUGGAGGUUUGUUCAGAUGCUGAAACAGAUCAGGUUUCAAACUUCUGAUUAUUUUUCUUCCUCAAGUCCAAGUCCUCAGCUAGCAGCAGCGGCGAUGGAGAUUUUUGAGGGCCAAAGUGGGUCAUUGCGCCCUUCUCAAGAAGAUUUCUGAAGCAAGUACUUGGUUUUGUCACCCAGGUUCUAUCUAUGCUGAAGUAGCCCCUCCUUUCAAAGCAUAGCAAGUAAAUUUCAUCAGAUUGCCCCUUCAAGCUCUGCCAUCGCGAGUCCUAGGCAUAUUCAUUUGUAUAUAGCAUCUCAUUCCUUUAGGCCUAGGCCUUUUGUUACUUUUACCAGAAGGAUUUCAAAGAAACAGAUCAUCAUAGGGAAGAAAGUGAUGCAAACCCUUACCAUAUGUUUGGCCGAGAUGCAAACUCUAAUAAGGGGAAAUACCAUCUUGCUCUGGAAUGUGAAUAAACUCUUUCGGCAAGACCUGUGGUCCAUUGAAUUCGCACUCAGGGGAUAUGCUAUCAAAUUGUAAUGUGAUCAUCCGACUUUGUUGGAUGGUAUUCGAUGUGGUUGGGUGAAACAUCGACAUCAUCUUGGAAAGGUGACGCUGAUAGAAUAUCUUAGAGCACUAGUCAGAACUAGUACUAUUCUACCCAAAGCAGGCAGACCCAGUGAUCCCCAGAUUCAUUUCUUUCUGUUAUAUAUAUAGCUGUUCUGCGUGAUGUGAUUCAACUUUGUUUCUAGCUCGUUAUUUUUCUCCAACAGGAUGCUGCGUGCAGCGUACGUAUGAUUUUUGCCUGCGACGACAUGAUAUGAACUUUGUUUCCGUGCGCCGAUGCCACCUGAUCCAUGAAACGAUCUUUCGCUACGGCCACGUGUGGAGCUCACACGCCAACUGUGUCAAAGAACUCACGUAUUGGAUUUUGUUUUUUACCCGCGAGAGCUAGGAAUCCCGGCAAUUUAUCGGACAAGAUUUCUUAUCAUAAAAAACCCGCGAGAGCUAGGAAUCCCGGCUAUUUAUCGGACAAGAUUUCUUAUCAUAAUUUAAUUACAUUUUUUCUUUUAUUAAAGAUGAUUCUGUAGCUGUACUUAUGUGAUUCCGCAAAUGCAAUCACAGUGAGCGAUCUCUUCUAUUCGGUGGUCUUUCAUCCUGCCUUAAGUUCAAAAUUUUCAAAUAAAUAUGAGAUUUUAAUGUCCGAUAUACCUAUUUUAUGAGGACCAGAACCUUCAUACGAGCUUGAAAUUUAUACUCCAUCCGAUCCAUAACAAGUGUCUCAGAUUUUGUACAAACUUAGUACAAAGUUGUUUUAAAUGUGAGACACUUUACUCUCUCCGUCCGAAAAUAAGUGACUUGAAUUUGUAUAAAAUUAUAUACUAAGUUCAAAUCAUCCACAACGAAAAAAUUGAACAAGACUGCACUUUUCUAUUUUUCAACGUCAAAAACUGAAAACGUUAAUUCGGAUGGGAAAUAUUGCAUAAUACACCGAAAAUACACUCGUUAUACAGAGCUUAUGAACGGCGUUACAUGAGGUCAUGAGCUUUGACGUUAGCCAAAACAUAGCGUAAAUGUGCUAUAUUUGACAUGAUAUACGGAGUACAUACUUUACUACGCCGAGUAUGACCUGUAUUGGAAAUAAACCCAAAUUUGCGAGAAAAUCAGGGCUCGUGAAUCAGGAUUGAAGUGGCAUAAAUUUCCUAGAUAAAAGUCCAAUUCUCCUUGGAUUCAUGACGCCGCCUAUGUGAAUUCCCAACCUGCCCACACAAGGCGUCAUAAAACACAAGCGACAUCCAAAGUCAAAAACGACCAUUUUUUUUGGGUCCGGUUUGGUUGGGGUUAAAACUGCUUUCUGAAUUUUGACUUAUAAAACACAAAAGCACCAAAUUAUGUGCUUUCGGGUUUGGCUUUAGACAUUUGACUUGAUAUUGUUAGAUGACAGUAUAAACAAAAAUCAAAGUCAAAGCAGCUAUUUAGGUGCUGACUUAUAAGACAAAAAUAAAAAAACAGUUUUAACCCAACCAAACACACAGUUCCGGAAAACCCCACGCAUCUCUGCUCGGUCCCUCUCGUGCGUCUAUGACUCAACCGCUGGGUCAGGGCUCCGGCUCAGAAUCCAACGACACGAAACAAACACACCGCUCGCUCGCUCGCUUCCUUCCUCCUCUCUCCAACCUCCGUAUCCCCCCUACCUUCCCCUACCACCGCCCCGCCUCCUACCCCGAAGAAGCGGCGGCGAUCGACGAUGGUGGUGGCCACGGAGGAAAUGGCGGUCUACUGCUUCGACACCCUCGUCGCCUACUACGACGGCGCGCAGCCGCCGCCGCCCGCCUUCGAGGAGGGCGUCCAGUGAGUUUCUCUCUUCCUCCCGGUCGCGAUCGGCCCGGGGCCGAAUAGGGUGGGGUUUUGCGGCGGCUCCGGCGUGGUUUCGGGUCAGUUUUGUCCGAGAUUUGGGCAAAGGGGGCGCCUUUGCGGCAGCAAGAGUGGAUUUGGUGGGAGUUUACGGCAGGAAGAGUGGAUUGGAUAUGAUUUGUCAUAUGUGUUUGCUAGUUCUGGCUGCACAGACUACCUUAACAAGGGAAUAAUAAUUAGUUUAGGUGGGUUUAUUUUCUUGCCUCGGUUAGGGUAUAUAGGAUGUUUUUGAUUGUUUGAAUAGGAGUCAGUCUGGAUUUUUCCUUAAAGUGUUCUUGGUGGAGUUCCCUCCUCCUAAAUUUGUCAGGUUAUCAAACUAAAUUUUACGUACAGUAUUAGUUUGUGAUGAAGUUACUGUUGUUGCUUUGAAAUAUAUGCAAUGUCUCAACUCAGUCGGUCAAUUUUUGUAAGUUCAGCCCACUAUUUGUGACCUGGAAGAAGGCCACUAAUGGUUCGGAACCACGCCUCCGGGGAUGCAUCGGAACCUUAGAGCCCCGUCAGAUUGUCAGUGGCUUCAAGGAUUAUGCGCUCGUGAGGUAACUUUUUUAAGAACACUGGGUUUCCAUGUGUAAUUUCUAUUGCAAUACAAAGGUGCGAAGGCACUAAAGCAAGCUUUGUGUUGAUUAUAUCAAUUUAAUAUGCUAUCUCUUGCAGUGCCCUGAGGGAUCGUCGCUUUCCACCAAUACAGUCGAAAGAACUGCCACAUUUGGAGUGCACAGUAUCUAUAUUGACUGAAUACGAACCUGCACUCAACCACCUUGAUUGGGAGGUUUGCUUCUACAGUAUAUUUUUUCACCAUGAUAUUAUCUCGUGAUAAUUUUGCAUCAAAGUUAUUUUCUUCUAUUGCUGCAGGUUGGAAAGCAUGGCUUAAUUAUUGAGUUCACCGAUCCAGACUAUAAUGUAAGACGCAGUGCAACUUAUUUACCUGAGGUUGCUGCCCAUGAAGGUGAGCACUUAUCUGCUACAUUUCUCCCAAGAACUUUUUAGUUACUAAAACUACUAAAUUUAAGUAUAGAUAAAUCAAAACCCACUGGAAACAAAAUCUAUUUAGUUACAAUGACGUGAUUUAUUUAGAAAUUUGGUUCUAGGAGCAAAGGUAUAUUAGGUUUGUCUAUAACUACAGUGAGCCUGUUAUUUGUCUAGAAAGUGAAGGUCCCAAUCUGUGCCUCCUUUAGAAAUUAUUUGAGUCAACAUGGUCAACUCACUUGCUUGAAUAUAUACGAAAAGUUCAUGUAUAUACGAAAAGUUAAUGUGAGGAGAGCCUCAAGUGCUGCAUAUGUCAAUCAUAUGAGAUUUCACAUAAUACGAACUGAUAUGGCUGAAAUAAAAAAUUGAAGAGCAUGGAAAAACAGAUACAAGUAUUUAAUCAGUACAUGCCUGUCUCAGUUGCUACUACCUCCGAUCCAUAUCUAACUUAGGCUUGAUACCUGACAGGAUGGACACAACUAGAGGCUAUUGACUCGCUCAUGAGGAAGGCAGGCUACAAUGGCACCAUCACUGAGUCCUUGAGGAAUAAAAUUCGCGUCACCCGCUACCAGAGCAGCCUGUACACCAUGCAAUAUGGCGAAUAUACUGCAUAUGUCAAGAAAAACAGAGAUGAAAUUAAUGGGGCGCCCGUAGUUAAUGGCUUCAAACCAGGCCAUUGAUUUAUCUGUAUUCCAGCAGGUAAUGCAACUAUUUAUGAUUUGUCAUGGAGUCAGGGUGAGAAAUUAUUUGAAAAAUUCAACCCUAGUCAUUGCUACGCCAUCGUUUCAUUUCAUUCCAUGAAAUGUGUGGGGGGCAUGUAACUUGCCCCAUAACAUCACGUCAUUCUGGGACAAAUGAUGAUGGUUAUGUAUCUGUAGACCUAUGUGCUUCAAUAACAAAUGAUUUCGUGACAAUUAAUUGAUUCAAGUGGGGCAUUCACAUGUAAUGGUCUCAUUAAUCUCGUUGUAACCCUCUUCUGAGAUAGGAUCUGAUCUGGAAUGUUUUUCAAGUACUCAAAUCAAACGUAACAAUAUUCACAAUAAAAUAAUGGAUGGACUUACAGUAUGAUCAUUGAGUGAUCAAGUGAAGAACAAUUCUGCAUCACUUGGAAGUAUGGCAGUGUCCUUCUGUUCCUUCCCACUUUAGACAACUGGUGGCAGGAACCUCACACAAGGAGCAAUAACACUGCUUUGUGCACAACGGCCAAUUAGACUAGUUAUGUUUACAAGUAGAUGAGAACAGUUUGUGGGUGGGUAAUCAGAUUACCUUACGACAACGGCUCUCAUGAGAAGUUGUAUCAAAUGGGUAAUUUCCACAUAAGUGCCUUGGGUGUGGAAAAUCUCUCAGUGCCACCUAUUUAUCCACAACCAUGGAGCAAAAUAGGAGUAUUAGAGUUUUGGAUUCAACAUGAUUACAAAAAUCAAAACAGUUCAAGCCACAAGAAAUUUUCAUCAAUUGUACUCUGAUUUGAAGGAGAUCGGUACAUCGUUUUUCUCUUGCCAAGCAUACUUAAAUCACUGAAUACAUAGCGGAAAGAGGCAAAAAAUAAAAUAAAAGCCAGUUCACAGAGACUCUCUCCCUACAACAACGAAAUCAUCACUGUCUUCCUCGUCAAAAACUCCUCCUCCAGGUCCAAGGUACUCCUCGAGGUUGACACCAUCCAUCUCAGGGAUGUGAUCAUAAUAAGCAUCUUCUUCUUCAACACCUUCAUCAAUACCAUUGCUGUCUUCAUGCUCGCACUUCACAGGCAACAUGUCCUGAAUGAACACCUCAAAGUUUCCAAACUUCACCGGAUUCUUGUCCGAAAGGCAUUUCACAUCAGCGAGAACAUCAACCUUGUUCUCGUCUGGAAUACAUUUGACAUCUGCAGCAUCGGUUUUGAUCUCGUCAGGGAUGCUCUUGGCAUCAGCAAGAACAUCGAUCUUGCUCUUGUCAGUAGUGCAUUUGACAUCACCAAGAGGAUCGAUCUUGUUUUCGUCUGGAAUGCAUUUGACAUGAGCGAGAACAUUGGUCUUGUUCUCGUCUGGAAUGCAUUUGACAUCAGCAGCAGCAUCGAUUGCGAUUUCCUCAGGGAUGCUCUUGGCAUCAGCAAGAACAUCGAUCUUGCUCUUGUCAGUAGCGCUUUUGACAAGAGCAUCGAUCUUGCUAUUGUCAAGAAUGCAUACCGCAUCAGGUUUGGCCUCAACAGAUUCAAUCUGCCGGACGCUAGGUUCAUCAUCUUCGAUCUCAUACGGGUUUUCCAAGGAAUAGCCAGCAGCGCAUUCAUGCAGGUUGCCAACAAAAGUUUCUGCAGCGUGCCCCGAUUGAUCUAUUUCCACCUUCACUUUGAUCUACAGACAUGAGAAGAAGAAGAAAAAAGAUGGUUCCAUCGGUUCAUGGAUUUUUUCGAUCACGAUGACUAGUCUUCUACUAGUAAUGUGCAAAAAUUCAUUUAGCCGAAUCUAUUCUAAAUUUUGCUUUAUGUGCCGUCUCAUCUCUUAUACAGCAUCACAUCUAUCGAGUAAACAAAACAAACUAUCUAAAUCCAAAUGGUGAAUUUACCGAUUAAGCAUGAAAUUGUAGAGGUAAGGAGACAAAGAAUCAGAAAGACCUUACCUGUCCCUUCGCAGCAACAAUUACCACUUCAUCAUCGUCUGAUUUGAGAUUGACCUUCUUUGCGAACUCGGCAGGGUUGAUCUCGCAGCAGUCGUCAUCUUCCUCUGCAUCAGUAGGCUGUCCUCCGAUCUCCAGUAUCUUCACCAUGUUCGUCCCAAGUGAGAGAGUCUCAUUUCCCAGGUGGAGCUCCUCGUUUUUCCACUCAGAAUGAAUGACUCCCAUUCAACGUGGAGCCCUUUAUAUAUACAGCAGGUAGCAAGCCUGAUUUAUUAGCCCAGUAAAAAUAGGUCGCAGAAUCCCAAAUGACACGCCAGGUAACGAGGAGCCUUAUAAAUGUCACGUGGGAAACGAAGGGGCACAACGGGAAGUCGUAGAUGCAACAUACGAAGUACUCCACUGUGUUUAAGCACGCAAACCAUUUCGCAACACACGGAGUAUCUAUAUCAAUAUAUUAAAUUGGAGUUGGUGGUAAUGAUACGUGCGUCGCGGUACGUCAUUUUACCGAAAUUACGAAUUUGCCACCGCUAUCCUCACGCGUCUUUUAAUUCCGGUUCCUGCGGUCCUCAAGCGCAGAAAAAACACGUACCGCAUAAAAAAGAAAAAAAACAAUAGAGCCGUUCUCGCUCCUCCUCCUCUCCUACGAAUCUCACCCCCAUCUCCUGCCCGAUCCGGAUCUCGCCAGCGCCCGCCGCCGCUCUUGGUCACCUCCACCAGCUCGUGCGCAUCGGCGGUGUCCGUGUGCGGAAAGCGGUUGCGGACCCGCGGCUCCGUCGCGUGCCCCGAUCGCCGCCUCUACCGGCUCGUGCACGCCGCACUACACCACGCCCCAUGUUAGUUGUCGAGCUGUCUAUUGGCAAAGAUAGAUUUUAGAUGACCACGUGCUGUAGUGGCGGUGGCUCCCCGCGGGACUUGGACGGCGAUGGGAUGAGCCUAAGGCCGGGAUGGCGGUGGCCUCUCGCAAGGCAGCAAGGAUAGCGUCGGGUGAGUCAUCGGUGGCCCUCCCGACGGACAGUGGCGUGUGGCGAACAGUGGUCGGACGCGAUGUGUGGGUGGUGCGCGGGCGCGACAAACGGACGGCGCACAGAGGGCGCAGGCGGGUGGCGCACAGGCGUACCGGGCUGCAGGUGGGAUCAGGCGGCGGGAAUCUACGGGCGGAGGCGGUGCGCACAAGCAGGCUGCCGCGCAUGGCGGCGCGAUGUUCAGUGACGGGAUGAAUCGGGCGGGGAGAGGAGGAGUUUGCACUCAGGAUGGAUGGAGAGGGUAGUCAGAGGAAGAGCGAGAGAAAUUGGGAGAAGGGAUAUGAGAGCCGGGCAAGGAUCCAUUAAGCAAAAUUUAUACUGCCGCUUGCUUUAUGUGAUGGCUGAUGUUGCUGCUUGCUGUCUUGAUCAAUAUACCGAUGCUUGUUGUUUAAAUCAUCACCACACGGGGAGGUCGAGCGGUUUGGACGGACGGAAGUGAUAAACAUUAUCAUUGCUACAUGUUCUUCAUUAUUCAUGAUUAUAUUGAGAAUCACUUCAUGAAUUCAGCAAAAAAAAAUUAAAAAACGCUCACACAUGACUUUUCAAGUGUGGUGUAUGUGAGAACAAUGAUAACCUGGACGUAGAGAGCAAAAGACUUGAGCAUGCGUUACUUUCUUUUCACACGGAAUAUAGAAAUAAGACAAAGACAAGUGCAAAAGCGAAAGAUACCAGAAUAUAGCCUGCUAAAAUAAACGUAUCAUAAUCGUUAUAUACAUAUGUGCUCAUGAAACACAUCAUCAUUUAAUUUGACGUUUUGAUACAAUUUUCUGUUAUUCCAUAGCAACGCACGGGUCUUUUGCUAUUACUAGCAGUAGUUGACAUGGAAAUCAACACGGGUUUGCUGAUUUAAGCACACGAACAGUGGAGUAUAUAAACUUGCAUUGGCUGGCUUAUCCUACAUGGCAGAUGUGAAUACGUGCUGUUCUCAGGGCUCAGGCCUAGUGUACCGGUAACCUUAACGACGAGUCGUAUGUCCGGAGUGCUCGGCUGCUUGUUUAGGCGGCAUGAAUGUGCACCCGACAGAAAUGGCACAAGCGAAAAGGGCGGUGGCGCUUCGUGGGCAACCAAGGGCCGGGGUUCGGGCCGUUCGGCAGAAGAGGAUGAAGCAGUACUCCUGGUCGAUGCGGCGUUUCUGCCGCGGCGUCCACAUUUCUAUCUCGUUGGGGUCGAUGGGCGCGGGGGUCACGGGUCAGCCGGUCAGCUCUUCCGCUCCCCAUCCUUCCAGGCUCUCGCCGACGGGCUGGGGGACAUCAGCUUUGCUGCUUCUUCGACCACGGCGGGCGCCUAGCCUGUUAUUCGUCGUUGACGAGUGCAUCCUGCAGUGGCGAGGGCGUGGGCGCCAAGUUGGCGGAAAAGUGUUUCAUUCACAAGGUUUUCUUUUUAGAGGAAGUUUUGAUUCGCAAGUGUGACGCGACAGGCUCUACACGACUGCACGAGCCAGGCCCAGACGCCAUAUCUCUCCUCCGGCACGCUCUCCGUGGAACCCUGCGGGCCCACACGCAUCCCGUCUUUCCCAAUUGAAAAGCGUAAAAAUAAAAGGAAACUGAUCACCACCAUCUCGCAUUUGUUUAGUCGUGCUGCCUCCUGAGCCAAUCAUUUUCCGUUUCUUUAACCCUCUCGCCUCCAAAUCCAACUAGAUAGGACCGAUUUGAGAAAUGGAGACGCGAAUCUUGCGAAAAGGCACCCGACGACAAAAUAAAUUCUAUAAUGGCGGUCCACCAGUGACCAGGUCCACGCCGAAAGGAAAGCCCGCAUGUUCAUACGCAGUAGUAAACCGCAUAGAUCUCUUUUACGCCGAGUACGUGACAAUCACGCUAACUUUUUUUUAAGGUAUAAUCACAUUCACUUCAAAAACAAAAUGAGUACUACGUGACAACCUAGUUCUAAUUUUGCAGGGGCUUGCUAGUUUUGUUCGGUGAUUUCAUCCUACGCAACUGCAUACAGCAAGUUAGUAGAUUGAGAGCUGUCUGUUUGAUCGCCGGUAUCCAUACGUAGGCUCUACGGCUGCUGAAAUAGGUUGCGCUGAAUUUAUUUUAUAAUUUAGAGAAACAUACAAAUGAAUAGUGAAUAUAGGCUAAAGUUGGACGGAAGAUUAACCCUUGUUUGGUGUGACUUUGUUUUUGACUUACAAGGAAAGAAAAACAUCUAUUUAUGUGUUUUUCGCUUCGGUUUAUACUUUUUGAUUUGAUAUUAUUAGACGAAGGUAUACGCACUCUUCACCACUGCCAAUCUCAGCCAGACUUACUCACAGGCGUGUCGGGUUUUCUUUUCAAUCUUUUGCUUUUUGGUACAAUUGGUUUUACUUAUGUGGGAGUGUCACACGCACCACUUCUUGUAACUUUUUGUCUCACUCGUAGCUCUGGUGGUGUUUAGGAGUCACAAAAUUGGCAUUGAACCAAAUAUGCCUAAUAGUAAAAUUAGCAAUUUGUACGACCAUAUGCGUGAAGGGUUAUCACUAUAACAAAUUUGACAAUUGUUAUCCAACUGUAAUACCACAUAAACAAAUGACAAUUCAUUGCGUUUAACGAAUUUGACGAAGUAUCAGAAAACCAUGACUCCUGGGGUUUUGAUACUAAAGUUCUAAAAACAUGGGUUCCUUCAUAUCAUUACUCUUAAAAAAUACUCAUUCUGUCCCGUAAUUCUUGUCUCAAAUUUGUCAAAUAAAAUGGUUGUAUCUAUUCCUAAAAAACAUCUAGAUACAUGUAAUUUUUCGUCAAGAAUUAUGUGACGGAAAUUACAAGCUGCAGAGGGCUGAAAUCGGAAUGAAAUAUUUUUCUCUGUUCCAAAAAAUACGAAAUGGAAUGAGAAACAGGGAAAUUGAAAUUUGUGGAACUGAAAUGAUUUUUUCUUGCAAAAAAUGGAGAAGUGAUUUCCAGUAUAGCACCGUGGGAACAUUAUUUUCUAUUUUCUUAUAUAUGGAACUUCUCUUUAUCAUAGCCUACACGUGGCCCAUAUACAUUGAGCCCACCCCAGCCCUAUCAUCCCAUCGACAAGUUUUCAUUGCGAACAUAAUAUUUCCUCAUCACUUGAACGCCUGAUCUCCCAACCCUUUGUGACCUUGCGGCCCUCGUGAGUCGUGACUUCACAUGCUCCAUAACAACACUUGUCGCCGACCUCCUAUGGUCUCAUCCUCCACGCAACCACGCGGGGUUUCCGGUGCACGCCUCUUCACCGGCGCGGGUGUUCUUCAACCGUUGCGUGUCUUCUUCCGUCAUCCGACCCUCGGUGCCGUUUGCUUUCCUUCUUCUACAUGCUUCAAAGGUUUUCUUUUGUUUCAACAAAUAUCCGUUCGCAAUUCAUAUAUGUGUGUUCCUCUUUAAGUUUAAAAUUGUCUGAUCUUCCGUAUGCUUUCAAUCACCCAGCUUAAUUGAAAACAUGAGGGCAACACAUUACAAGAUUGCUUGUUUUUGUUGCCGGGACGCUUAAUCUCCCGAUAAAAUGGGCAUUCAUUUUUCCGGAACUAAUUAAUUCCACUUUUACAGUUUGUUAUGAAUUUCCAUCGCUAGCUUGCAGCACCUUUCAUAAAAAUUGGAGUGACAAUUCAUACAUUUAAAAAGGUUACUAGUUUAACAAAUUUGAAAAACUAAAUCACAGUCCUUGCACCUAAAGAAAAACAAACCAAUUGAUAUAUUAAUUAAUAAAAUAAAAGUAACAAUCCUUGCACCACAAGACUACGGGUACUUUAAUCCAAAUCAUAGCUUCACGCGAAUGAACAUGGAGAAAACCAUCCGCCCUAGCUUGGGGGAAAACUUAAAGAAUCGGGUUAUCUCUAAUGUAAACAAACAUGUCAAACAUUCAAAUUGAAAAAUGAGAAAACACAAAAUCCAAAGAGAAUACACAAAAGAUCAUUUUUUUUGGUAAAACAAAGACAUGGAAUGGAGGGAUCAUCAUAGACCAAAAAGAAAUCGAAUAAAUAAAAGACGGAGAAAACUGUUCAAAAACACCCCAAAACAAGAGACGGAGAAGAGAGAGAACGGAGAGGGAGGGGUUAGAGAGAGAAAGCCCAAAUCCCAAUUCCCCAUCUAGCCUCAGCUUCUCGCGCGGCUAGAGCCUCCAGCAGUAAUAAAUGUACUAGCAGGCAGCUCAUUCUUGCAAGGCUACUCCAUCACCUCGUCGCCUCGCCCCCCCUCAGCUCGCUCUCGCAGGCACCCAUCCCAUCCAGCCUCGUCCGUCGUCGGGUCGAACCCAAAUCCCAUGGAGCCGCAGCAGCAGCCCGACGCAGCGGCCGCGGCGGGGGCGGGGGCAGGGGAGCCGGAGGUCCCGGCGGGUCUGGGCCUGACGGCGGCUGAGUACGCGCAGCUGCGGCCCACGGUGGAGGCCUACCACCUCUACGCCGUGGGUCAAGGUCAAUGCUCCUCCCUCCUUGCCCAGCGGAUCGAGGCGCCGGCGGCCGCGGUGUGGGCCAUCGUCCGCCGCUUCGACUGCCCGCAGGUGUACAAGCACUUCAUCCGCAACUGCGCGCUCCGCCCGGACCCCAACGCCGGCGCCGGGGAAGACGACGGGGAGCUCCGGCCCGGCCGCCUCCGCGAGGUCAGCGUCAUCUCCGGCCUCCCCGCCAGCACCAGCACCGAGCGGCUCGACCUGCUCGACGACGCGCGCAGGGCCUUCGGUUUCACCAUCAUCGGCGGGGAGCACCGCCUCCGCAACUACCGCUCCGUCACCACCGUCUCCGAGAUCCGCGCCGCCGGCGCCGCGGCCGUCGUCCUCGAGUCCUACAUCGUGGACGUCCCCGAGGGCAACAGCGAGGAGGACACCCGCCUCUUCGCGGACACCGUCGUCAGGCUCAACCUCCAGAAGCUCAAGUCCGUCGCCGAGGCCAACGCCGCCUCCAACGCCCCCGCCCCGCCGCCGGCGGAAUAACACCGGCUGGUGAUUCUGCUUCUUUUGGGAGGGGGUUGCUUCGAAUUUGACGCUUUGCAGGGGCUUCGAAUAGGUGUGAUUCCUGAGGUGCUGCCUGUAAUAAAACUCUCUUUUCCAUGGAUUCCUCCCUCCCUGUCUUCCUUUCUUUUCCUUUGGAAUUCUUUUACCUUUGUCGUUGUGAUUGCAAUUGGAAAUUCAACUUUGGAUGCGAUUCAUAGCUCGGUUACCUGCUACUACUAGUAGAUGAUUAAGCCAGUUAAAUUACUAGACUAGUAGUACUCAAAUGUUCAUUAGCUUUGAUUCAAAACUUACUCUAGCACUCAUCGAUCAAGUGAUGAUCGAUCGGUGACGCUGAUAAUGGCAAAUUGUUAGCACCAUUCAUAGGAAGCCAAGAUAUAUCUAUCUAUAAACUCUAUGAUGAUGAUGAUAUCUUGUCUACUGUUAUUGUUGACGGUAUUGUUGAUUGUCUUGAGAUGCUUGUGUAAGUAGGUGUAGCUUUUGUCUCUUGUUGUCAUGUUUUCCUGCUCCGUGUUCUCCGGGAUUGAAGAUUUCUGUGGCGACACUUGUUGUUUCCUAAGCCCCCUGGAAUAGGAAAUUUCGCUUCCAAUUUUCCAAAGCAAUUCUGUGUCCAUCACUGCAUAGUUUUCUGAAUUCAUUGCCAACUUUUUUUUUGUCAGGCUGAUGGUUGCUUGAGAUUGUAAUGAACAGUUAUAACAAGUUUAGACCGGCUAGUGUAAACGAAAGCUUCCAUUUUCUAGGAGAAAAUAUGCAUAAAUCAAGGAUUAUUGCACUUUGUGUUAGCCGAGCCUUCCAGAAGCUGUACCAUGUGACGGCUGAUGAAUGCCAUUGCUAAGUUAGUGCUUGGAGAUUCAGACAUGUAAGGAGAAAGCUAGGACUACUUGCAAGAUGCGCAUGAAACCCAAUGAGCAUCUCUUUUUUCCGUCUUCUUUCUCCCCGGACCCCGGUCCCUCUUCUUUCCGGGGACAAACCAGUUUGGAACUUGCUACAAGUGAAAAAAACAAAAGAUUCGUUGGCAGUUUUCCUCUUGCCUUAAGUCAAGUGACUGAUGAAAAGCCCACUUUGGAAUGACAAAUUUAAUUUAGCAGUGAUAGUACACUAUAUUUAGGUGCUCCACUUGCUAUUAGUGGAAUCCCCUCCAAACAAAUCCCCUUCGCCCCAUUGUCAAUUUGGCAUCAUCAUGAAAAGAAUAAUCACUAGAUCUCCUUUCCUUUCCAUUUCCAUACAUACAUCACGCCGUUCACACACACAUACACUCUCCUUCUGACCAAGUGACCAAAAGUCCAAAACCACUGGUGGGCGGCGUUUCACGGGGGCGGCGAGACAGAUGAAUGGGUCACCGGUGGUGGGCGCCGGCGCCGGAGACGACGACAGACGCAUUGAAAGCCUAGCAGGGGAGGGGGGGAAGCGGUUGCAGGGAUGACAUUUCACAUGGCGCUGUCUUUCGGACGCCGACCCUGACACUCCAUCCUCGUCCACUUGCGCAACUUGCACCCAAUAAUCAAAGAAGCCAUAAAAAGGCUCCACCUUUUUUUUUCUUCCUUUCCCCCUUUUUCUUUUUUUCUUCUCGCCGUGGACAAAAGAUGAAGCUGCUUCUGGCUUCUGCUGGUGCUCAGACGACAGACAGCGGCGAAAAGACGGUUGAAGGGUUUCCUUUUUUCUUUUCUCCGGCGGCGUAGAAUCUCAUCUGUGACUCGAAACCAACACUACGUCGUUGUCUGACGGGCGAGUAACAACUACUGUUUGACUGCUGCUGUUGAUCUUUUGUUUUCCGAUGGGUUUUGACAGUGAUUAGUGCUGCAUCAAUCAGGUUUGCUUGCUCCUGCAGGCGGCAGUUUGAAGAUCUACCUCGGAAUGAGCUGCUAACUUCCGUUCGUUCCGGAAAAAAAAGGGAAAUUGAGUCCUUCUCUCCGAGAUGGAAACGGAAACAGAUUUUACGUGCUCCGUAUGAGUUUUCGGUUUUUAAUAUGUUCUUAACCAUAGUCAUCCGGCCAAAAGCACAUUCAUCGUAGUACUAAGUAUUUCUGAAUAAUCCACCAAGAGAAAAAAAGAUAUGAUUGGUAGAUAAAAAUGAACUAACAAACCAAUAGCUAACUUCAUUUGCCAAGUGGAUUUAUAAAAAAAUUAUAUCGAUUCGUUUCACUACAAUCUGCUCACUGGUUUCCCUGAACUAAUCAAUUAGAUUAGGAUUAGAUAAAUAGGGAAUCGACAAUUAACAACAGCACUCAAAAAAUAAAGUUGAUUGGAUAAUCGUUACUUGGAUUUUUUUUAAUCCAAUCAUCCAAGCCAUCAGGAAAACAUGUUGAUGGCUCAUUGAAAGAAAUGUAACAAAUUUAUCGUCACUAGUGGCGGAGCAAGGUUAAACUCAAAGUCUGGACAAAGACUUGAUGUUGUGCCAUUUAUACAAAAAAUCAUCACCAAUUUAGUCAGUUUUUGUUCCAAGGUUGUUCAUGAUUAUACAAGGGACAUCACAGAUUGGGCCUGGGCAAGUGCCCAAGGUGGUCUGACGGUGCUCCGCCAGUGAUCAUCACUCAAGAAGCGGCCCAAAAAACUUCAAAACGAUAGAAAUUUUAAUUUUCAUCGUUAACAAAUAUGCAUCUCUUACAUUACUGACAAAUAUGUAUUUUACUUCAUGUAGUUUAAACUUUUACUCACUCCGUUCCAUAAAGAUUGACACGACAUUGAACUAGCUCUAGUUUAAAACCGUGCCAAUCUUCAUGAAACAGAGGGAGUAAGUUGUAUCUCCGUAUAUUUGUGUCAAUUUUUAUCAUUAUGUCGUACAAAUUGACAAGCGCCGCAACAUGCCCCAUCAUGUUCUAGCCCCUUCUUAGAACAAGACAUGGGGCAACGCUCAGACUCCACGACACGGAUCAACCAACGUGCCACCCUAACCACCAAUCGGUUUUGUUGUGUUUAACUGUUUUCUAACGGUUCUAAGGGCUUAUGUGUUCCAGCGAGCAUCUGCUUUCGUAUAUGUGCCGCUCCAUGUUUCGCUCUUUUGCUUUAUAUUACACUUAUAACACUGAGUAUUUUGAAUUGGUUCGACUUAAGUAAGUCAUGAUUUAAUUUUUGCAACAUACGACUCUCUAGUCUCUUUGCUCCUCUUAAAGAUAUCGUUUUAGACAUUGACAUGGUCUUUGUAAUAAUUAAAAUUUGACUCGUAAUAUAUUCACAACAUAAAAAAGUGUAUUGUGCAAGUAGUUUUCGAGUAAAGUUUACAUAUGGUUUGAAAUCUGAUAAAUAUCUAUGAAGAAAAAGUAAUUUAAAUUUUGUAAAUAUGACUAUUUUUGUUUGAAAUGAGAGUUAUUAAGGGACUGAAGAUGAUAUACUAUAUAUUCACUCCGUCCCAAAAUAAAUGACGCGGUGUAUAAGAAUUUCACGUCAUUUAUUUUGGGAUGAAGGGAGUAGAUCAAAGACCAGACCUUUUCGAGUAAAGUUUACAUAUGGUUUGAAAUCUGAUAAAUAUCUAUGAAGAUACAAGUAAUUUAAAUUUUGUAAAUAUGACUAUUUUUGUUUGGAAUGAAAGUACGAAGGUCCAUGACAGAAAUAGACCAGAAGGUCCAUGACAGAAAUACAGAAAAAAUUGGGGUGAGAGAGGCUCGAACUCUCGACCUCAGGAUCACUCACUUUAGCUAUGAGACCUACGCGCUAGCCAACUGCGCCACCACCCCUUUGUGACUUCUUGAUCUAAUUAAGGUAGUAGUAGGCUCGGUACUAAUCUGUCUUUUAGACACAUGGACAAACAAGAGCAUGUGUGACAGUGUGAGUUAUUUCAAAAGCAUCCAACGCAUCUUUUUUGUUGCCUCUUUCUUCCUGACAGCAUCACCAGAAUCUAGCAACAGUUCGAGUUGAACUGCGAGCCAGCCAUGAGAUGAUCAGCAUACAUCACUGGCCCUCCUACUCCUACGAUUCACGAGUCAUGACCUGACAUGGCCUAUACGAACUUCAUCACCAACCAUCGGAUGAGAGUCGACACAUACAUACAUGUGUUUUUGCCGCUCUUUUUGGUAAGUUCAGAUUUACCCAAGAAGAGUAGGGAGUCCCAUGUAUUAAGACUCAAAUUUAUCUAAAUAUUAAUGUAUCUUUACUUAAAAAUCGUCUAAAUACACACCACACUUACAUGAGUCGGAGAAAGUACAUCACAUGGCAGGCAGUGAGCCUCUCUGUCGACCAAAGGUAGGAGCAUGUUGGGAGGAAUAACGAACCGACGACGUGUCUUGAUGCUGUCAAGGAAACAUCUUCGCACAACAAAUAAAACAAAAAGGGCGAAAAUCAAAUAUUCUUUUGCAUGUAAAAAUGCAGAUUUCAUUCGGUUCACAAAGCUCCAUUUUCUGUUACAGAGGUGCCAUUGACUGAAUUGUCCAGAUGACGCUCGCUGAAUGAAUGAACCGAUGGAGAAGGGAGAAAGCAGAGCAGGAGACAGCAGGGUUAGCUAGAGCAGAGACCUGGUGACCUCGUAGGCGAGGAAGCAAGCGCCAUUAGCCGGGACGCUGCGGGCCAUGGCGGGGCCGAACCCUCUGUACAGCCCCUUGACGCCAUCUGCGGCGAGGAUCUUCUUGAAGGCGUCCAUGGCCCCCGAGUACUUGGGGUUCUUGUAGUCGUCCACCUGGAGCACGCUCUUGACCACGUCCGUCGGGUACACGGACCCCCAAAACGCGGCCCCGGCCACGCCUCCGGCGACCACCAUGGACCCCCUUCCCAGCCCCGACGUGUCCUGCCCGCCCGCCAUGGCCUGCUUCGUCGCCUCGUACACCCCGAACAUCACCGCGUUCCCCGGGACCUCGCGGGCCAGCGUCGGGCCCAGGCCCUUGAAGAGGCCCCGCACGCCGCCCUCCGACCUCAGCACGUGCCUCGCCACGUCCAUGGGCCCGCCGUACUUGGGCCCAGCGGCGGCCGCGGCGGAAACCGUGGCCGUGGCGCCGGCGACGGGAGCGGCAGCGGCGGCGGGAGCAGGGGCAGGGGUGGGGAGAGAGCUCUGGGCCUGGAGGCGGCACUUGAUGAGCUCGGUGGGGCAGGCGAGGAAGGAGACGGCGACGCCGGCGCCGGCGCCGGCGGCGACCUGCUGCGCGACGGUGAGCGGCGCGCCGGGGGAGGAGCGCAGCGCCGCCUCCAUCUGGCCGCGGACGGUGAAGAGGACGGCGUUGAAGGCGGCGACGGUGGCCAGCGGCGCGCCCAUGCCCUUGUACAGGCCGCGGGGGCCCUCGGCGGCGAGCGUCUGCUUCACGGCGUCAAUGGCGCCCGCGAACUUGGGCGGCUGCCCCGGCGGCGGGGUCGGCUGGCUCUGCAGCUUCACCUUGAUGGUGUCGAACGGGUGGCCCACGACGAGCUGCGCCGCCCCGCCCACCGUGCCGGCCCCCAGGUCCCUUGCCACGUCGCCCAUCUCUGCUCUCGCGAACUCGGAACCUGCAAACUGUCUAGGUUCAGAAUGGAGACCACCUAAAUACACGGCCCAAUUAAUUACCGUAUUAACCCCUUCCGAAAAAAAUUAAUUACAUUAUUAACAAAUGAAUAGCAUAUUAAUGUCAUCAAUGUUUGCUUCCUGCUCCGUUCGAUGACAAAAAGAACAUGUCAGUACACGAUGGCGUCCGUUCAACACCAAAGGAUCCUAUCCUAACAAGAAUGUCCGGCAAAAAAAGGGCUUCCUCCGUUCGAUGAUCUAUGAAAAUGUUCUUUUUGUCAGCUACGGAGUAUAUAUCUAAUUAAAACGUCAUGCAGUUAGUAGGACAAUGUAACAGUACUACAGACCCACAGUGCUGACUGGGGCACCAAAACUUACGAACUCGUUCGCAGCGUUUCAAAUGCACAUCCAGCAGAUGAACAGGAAAGCAAUAUCUUGUAUUCAAAAAAGAGAGAAAGAAUAGAAAACAAUUUCCCAAACAGGUGUCCAAAUCUGAGGAUUAUAUUGUUCAAUGCAAGAACCUCAAAAGAUCAUCGCAUCCGAUGAAUCUGAAAAACUGCAAUCCCAAUCAGGUGUCCAAAUUAACUCUCCAUGGCCUGGAGAUGAACAAGGGCAGCAUGCACAACAUGCAAAUAAUCUCUCCAUGGCCUGGAGAUGGACAAGAGCAGCAUGCACAGAAGGAAAUGGAAGAGAAUUACCUGUACUCCGAGGCAAUGGAGCUUGGCAAAGGACCCAAUCCACAGGGAAGAGAGCACUAACCAGAGGCGAAAAAAAUAGGCCAAGGAGGAGAAGGUUGAGGUGGUUCAGAUGCCAAGAAAGAGCAGAGCCAACCACCCACUCCCUCACCAACAAAAACAAAGGCCCCAUCGCCAUCAGACUAUCAGAGAAUCACUCCCCAACCAUUGGAUCGCCGUCUGAUGGCCAAUCCACUCCCAGCCAACCAUUACGACAAGCCAUACUAACAGCUACAAUCACUCCUCCACACAUGACACAUGCACAUAUUAAAAGCUUAUUGCAUCAACAACCCUGCCAUUGCUGCCAAUCUUUGCGAGGUCUUUCAGACAUGCAAAUGUUGCCGUGAAGAAUAGUUCGAAAGAAAAAAAAAAACUUGCCAUGGCACCAAUAGUUCUAAGAUAGCUCUGUGAAAUGUUGCUUUGUUCCAGUUGUGUAUGAGAAGAGACGGAGACGAUGCUGGAGCAUGGGUCAACCCAUAGCAGAUCUUGUGAUCUCGUAGGCGACGAAGGUGGCAGCGUUGGCGGGGACACUGCGGGCCAUUGCAGGUCCAAACCCCUUGUACAAGCCCUUCACACCAUCAGCUGUGACGAUCUUCUUGAGCGCGUCGAUUGACCCUGAAAACCUUGGCUUCUUGUAGUCAUCCACCUGGAUCACACUCUUCACGACGUCGGUCGGGUACACCGUGAGCCACAGAGCUCCUCCAGCAAGGCCCCCAGCGAGGAUGAGGGAGCCCUGGCCGAGGCUCGACGUAUCCUGGCCACCGGCCAUGUACUGCUUGACGGCCUCGUACACGCCGAACAUAAUGGCAUUGCCAGGGAUCUCACGGCCCAUCGUGGGCACCAGUCCUUUGAAUAGACCUUUCAAGCCAGCAUCCUUCAUGACAUGCUUCGCCACAUCCAAUGGCCCUUUGGGUAGUGCCACGCUGGAGGCAGCUGCUGCCUCAGCUAAAGAGCUCUGGGCUUGCAACCUGCAAAAGAGAAAGCACUAAAAUGGUAUGCCUUACACCUCUCUUUUUCAAUAAGAGAUAGGAAAGUACAACAUGGAGUUAUAAAUUCUCUGGAUGUGCGUCAUAUGCCUAAUUGUAUUGGACGAAUUCGAGAAAGUUAAUUUUAAGUCAUCUUCUACUCAAGAUGAGUUUUGCAAAGGGAAUAAUCAAAGCACAAUUGAGAUAUGACGUCUGUUUGUAGUUGACAGAGGUAAAAUUCAGAUUGAGCUAUGAACUACUAUUGCCUUACAGCACAGUGAAAUUAAUAGUCAGGAGCCUUUUUCAGUGAGACUGGAUUCAUAGAAUUAAUCCAUUGCAGCAACACAAGAUGUCAUGAGGAAAGUAACAUAAAAAAUGCAUCUAACUGAAGAGCACA